rnacentral:lncRNA from 1 species
CCCCCCCCCCGGGUGAGUUUUAUAAGCUCCAAGGUCUUCACUAGGAUUCUGGAUAAAGUGCUGAGGCACUACCGAUUACUAAUCACAUCCUUCAGUUUUCAAGAAAAACUUACCUAAUAGGUGAAAGUAAACAAUUUUCUGCCUCUGGAAUCACCUAUACCCUUUCUUCAGUUUCUUUCAAGAAUCAGCAGUUCAUAAGCAUUUUUUUUUUCUUAUACACAAUGAUUCCUUUUAUGACAUGAUGAAGUAGUUCACAGUGUCAGAGACAAAAUACACUUUGGGGUCGAAAGAAUUGAAGAACGAUAACAAUGGUAAUGUACCAACACAAUUUUAUAAAUAAAACGUAAUCACAACAACAACCAUAAAUAAAACAUACCAUCCAUUGCUUGACUUAUAGAAUCAUAGUCCAUAAAGGUUCUACUUGCUUUGUUGUGAGAAGUUUGCAUUAGAAUGAUCGUGUGCUUGUUCGCCUACAUAUGAAGAAGAAAGUACAAUUUAGUCAGCAAUUGAACACGAUGGACGCAAUUAUGAAAGCAUGAAAAGUACUCUCCAAUCAAAAAACAUCGAAAUCAUCAUAAAACAAAGCAUUAUUGAUAUAACACCUGUAUCAUACUGUAAUGCUUGACAACAAAGUUCAACAGCAAAUUCACAUUCACUUAACACGGUUUCAAAUUCUAAAAACGUAACCUUUCGAAAAACCCACAAACCAGAACCCUAGCAGUCUGUUUGGUUCCUCAGAAAACAGAGAAAAUAAAGAAAACCUGACAUAUUAAGGAAACAGAAAAAAAGAUUGCAAAUUCUAAGCCUAAUAUGCUCUGGUACUCUAAUUUUGUCAAACCCAUCAGAAAAUUCCCUUUAAAGCUUAAUCAGUAAAAAACCUAGAUUCUCAGAAUCCGUACAAAAUCCAAUUUACAGAACAAAACCCUAAUUUUGCAUAAAUUUAUAAAUAGAAAUUGCAGAGGAAAAAUUACAGAGAAAAGCAUAAAAAUGGUGGGAGAGAAAGAAGCUAGAUUACCAUGUGAGAGCUGACAGUGACGACCCAAAAGUUUGCAGCAAAAUUAGGGUUCCGCAGAGAAGACGCGACAGCCGGAGGAAGAGAGGGAGUGGGAGAGAGUUGAAGACGAAGACUUUGACCAGGGCCACUAGGUUAGGGACGCGUCGGAGUUGAGGGUAAAAUAGACAAUUACGAUCUCGGUUACGGUGGUCUUUUUUAAGGAGAAUUCAGACCGUUGGAUUUGUUUACUUUGUCUUUUGUUGCAACAGUCAAAAGUGUGGGGGAAAAAGGAAUUAGAUCCUCUUCGGAUCUUCUCACUGGGAAUCUGAAAAAUCAAUGAAUAAUAAUCUUCAUUAAAAAUCGUGAGACUACAAUUACAUAUUUUUUAUAUUUUCAAAAGUAAAACAGCUUCGUUUUGUGUAAAAAAUAUAAAAAAAUUAAGACCGUGAGAUCUUUGAUGAAUGGUUACUAUUUAUUAAUCAUCGGAAUCCCAUUGUGGAGAUCCGAAGAGGAUCUAAUUCCGGGGAAAAUGGAAAAAUAGAAAGACUUUGGGCAGCAAAUAAUAAAACAAAAAAAGACCACCUUUUUGGGGGUCAAAAAACGAAGGAAGACUUUGGGGCCUUUGGGAUGAGAAUUGGAUCCUCUGCUGAGCACAAGCUUAGGAUCAUGCUGAUCAGUUUACGUGAGCUGUUGGAUACCUAUGAUCUUUUUAAAAGUUAUAAUAAUUGUAACUGUUGAAUCAAAAAUCAAUAACUCACGUGGGCUGGUUAGGAGGAUCAUGAGCUUAUGCUCAUAAGAGGAUCCAAUUCCUUUGGGAUGGGGCAGGUCAACGCAAGUCAAUGGGUGAAGGGAGGUGAUUGCGGAUAUAAAGCUGUUUGAAUACGAUCAGGUGAAUUCGUGUGCAGUAUAUGCUCUAAUACUAUUGUGAAAAGUGUCCUACAACUUAUAUUGUCGAGUACUUCUACUAAUGUAUCUCUUUAAUGUCAAUGAAUAAAUAAAAGGGAUGUGGUUUUCACGUAUCUUUUUUUACUUCUCACAUACCCUUUAUUAAUUUCUGCCUUUUGAUGUUCUUUAAUUUAGUCGAUCCGACGGUCGUAAAUAAAGAGGGUGUGUAUGAAGUAAAAAGAGAUGUGUGAAUAGUACAACCCUAAAUAAAAUUGUUAGACGUAAAAUAUUUUAAAACUAUAUGAUCUGUCCAAAUCCUCUGUAUAGGACAUUCGUCCAUAGUCGAACGAACCAUUUAUGUACGUUCGUCCAUAGUCAAACGAACCAUACCUUCGUCUAAUAGUAAUUUGCACCAUGAAUAGUCCAUGGUAUAAGAUACUACGGGGAUGGAGAAGGAAUUCGAACUUCAGACAUUUCUCAACAUUUGCAAGAUAAGUGCCCCCAAACCAAACUUGUCAUGUAAAUUUUUGUAUAAUAUGAGGCAGCGAUUGCAAUAAUCGUCACAAAUCUUAUAUAAAACCAAGUUACGCUGGCACUACUUCCUCUCACCCUAAAAAAUUGGGCACCUAAACUUCAAUCUUCCCCUUGGAUGGGACCAAUUCCAAGCUCUGAUCAUCCACAUCACUAAAUUCAAAAGAAUUCUUGGUCAAAAGAUCAGAAGGAAUCAACAGAUCAAGCUGAUCAGCCUUGGGAACCAAGAAAAUCAAACCAAGAGUCAAAAAUCUCAACACAUUUCUAAUCAGAAGGGCCAGCCACAAGUUUGUAAAAUUAGUCCUUGUGACAUUCAAGGCAUGAAGCACUGCUCCUCCACCCCAUUUCGACGACAGCGAGCCAAGGCUGUCGAUACACAUCAACAGCGCGAAGAACGUGCCCUCGAUGCCUAGAGGGCAGAGCCUCGUGCUCAGUACGAUCAUGGGCAUCCAUCGGAUCUUGGUAACGAUUCGAAACACGCAUUCUUCCAUGAUCACAAAGAAGUAGUCGGGAAUGCCUAGAGCUAGGUUCCACCUUAGGAUGAAAGUUAGGUCGAGAAGUCCGGACAUGGCGUAGAGAAGUUGAGCAAAGAAGACCAGGUUCCGAAAAGGGUAGUUUUUCAGAGUCUUGUGGUAGAUCAGAACUCCUACUAUCGAAGCCACUGCACCAACUGCAUAAAUCAUCCCAACAAACUCCUGCUCAUGGAUAAAAAUAGCUAAUCAGUUAACAAAUGAUCCUAAAACAAAGAAGUAAACUGUAACAUGUGACGGAAAUCAUUAUUAGGACUCCAAAACAGUCGUCCUGAACUCUGUGGAGAAUGACUAUCUCAGAGUGCUAAAAACAACUCUCGUUCAGCGAGGAAUAUUAAUUUUGUUGUAGAGAUUGACCUGAGAGAAUGCAGGGCCAGCUGAAGGGUCAGUGUACCAAUAAAAAUUACCUUCCUGAGUGUUAAUACUGAGGGCCAAGGAGAGGUACAUGUAAAGGGAAGGUUUCCACACCUGAGGUAGUUUGAUUGUUUUGUACAUUCCGCUCAUUGCCACUCCCACUUCUUCCACUGCCUGCAAACAUGAACACAUUGGUACUUUAACAUGAUCAAAUUCGAGCUUUUCUAACACGGAGGUUAACCGAUUUUUGCACCGAUCGACUGCCAUGCACUGGCCGUAUGAUCGACAAGACGCAAAAUCGGUUAAAAGUGGAAGAUUUAGAUUUCUAACCCUCUUCCUCUGAGAGUGAAGGUUGGUUGAUCUUUGUUCAUAUAUAACAAAGCCCAGAACAGUUAGAAAGAUUGGUGGGAUUGCCAAAAGAAUCAAUGCACCCUACAACACAAGACAACAUGUCGAUUUUUAAAUUUUCAGAAUUCAUAAACCGCUUAUUAACACAACACUCUUUGACAACCAAAAUUCUGAAAAAAAUAUCAUUCUAACUCCCUCGACAAAAAUUAUGAACAAUUUAAUAACUGCACCGUAUGUAUCUCACAGCAUGUAAACAUAACAGGUAUUUUUAAAAAUUAAAAAAUAUUUAUUCUAGUCUCUCUUAAACACGUUACACACCCGUAGGGAUGCAUAUACAAUAGGAAUUAGAACCCCAAAAAUUAGUUGUUCAUUAUUCUAUUCCUAGUCGUCCACAACUUUUGGAUAAAUAUUGCAUGAGUCGUUCUUGAAACUUGAAGAUCUGUGGUGCACAAAAAUAUGCCAUGCACGCACACCGAUAUAUGAUAAGCAGUCAAAUUUGCAUAGUAUUACUGUUUACUUUAACGAAAAACCAUAUUUUUACACUAAAAAAUCAAUCAUGGUACUAUUCACUUUACCCUUUAUUUUGUCCUUAUCAUUAAAACUCAAAGUUUUCAAGGCUUUUUCAUUAGUUUUCCUUAGUAUUCAAUGAUGUAAAAACUGCACAAGGAAAAUUAGUAAACAAAAUUUUCUUUUAUCCACAAAUCCCGAUCUCACACGUAAAUAUGAUUACUAACUUUUUAUGUUAUGAUUGUUAUAAAGAAAAGACUCGAGCAAUGUUCAUAAGAGAAAUGUUAAGGAGAUUAUCUAAAUGUGAGACUCUUCAUAGAUUCACUAUCAUCUAACAGUUUAGCGUUAAUUUUCAUGCUAAUAGUAUAAACAUUAUGUCAAAAAUAUGAGGUGACAGAGCGUCCAUAAAGAAUCUCACUUUUGUUUUGUGAAAGUCUCCUUAGCAUUUCUCAUGUUCUUAAUCAUAGAUUGACAUGUAAUAAAUAUAAACUCUUCUUCUCUUAAUUUCAGUAAGCUACUUUAAUAUAUGUGUUGGUUCGUGAUUUGCAUAUAAAUUAUGAAAAAUAAAUAAAAUUAUAAAGUAAUAUUGGUACCUGAGGACCAAGAUGAUGAACAAAAAACCCACUAGUAGAGUACCCAACCAGAGCACCAGCAGAAGAGCAGAAACCACAAAGGCUCUGCAAAUCCGAAGCCAACGACCGUAUCUCAAUACUAUUCCGGGCUAUACACGCGUCGAUCGUGACAUCCGCAAUCGCCACACCUGCCGUGACACCGAUCAACCAAGUCAAUGCCACCACAGCAGCCAAGUUCCCACUGAAUGCAACCGUGAGAGCUGAAACUGUCCCUAUAACUCCGGCCAGAACAAAAUAAGGCCGCCUUCUGUAUCCCCGGACUGGAAAAACGUCGGUCAACAAGCCCCAAACCGGCUUCAUGAGCCACGGAAUAUAGUACAGUCCAAUGUAAAGCUGGACAACAGAGGGCUGGAGUUUCUGGACGUCUUUCCAGUAGUAGUCCGUGACCACUUUGAAAUAAGAGCCUGAGAAGCCCUGGCUGAGUCCGUAAACAAGAACCACACCCAGGACAAAGGUAGGGUUUAGCUCUGAGGAGAGCAUUUGGAGCCAUUGGAUUGGUUGUUGGAGGAUUUGGACAAAUGGGUUGGUGGGAUUUGGAUGGUGGUGAUCGUCUUGAUCAUCGACGUUUCGGUUUGAGGUGGUUGUUUUCUGGGUUUCUUGAGAGGAGUAAUCAUCCAUUUUUAAGUAACAGGGGGAGCUUGGUACUGGGGAAGGAGAGAGGAGGUAAGACUCUGAGGGGCUCAAAGAAGAAAGUCUAAUAGGAUGACUGGGAGUCUACAAAUUACGAGUGCGUCUUUUGUUUAUGUUAAAAUGGUUUUGUCUGCGCCAGGAAGAUUCGAACUUCAGUGAAAAAAACCAAACGUAUAGACCUGAUUCACAUCUGUUGAGAAAGUUAAUUAAUGACCCUACAUGAAGUAACAAAGACACAAAAGUAGGGUUGGAUGGAAUAAAAUAAUUAGGGAGUUGGUAACUUAGAAAACAAAGUCUGCUUUUUGCAGCUUUAUGUUUGAAUCAUCAGGUGUUAUAUGAAUAAAAAUGUAAAAGUUUUAAAGACAACGUGUACAGGCAAAGUACUUCAAAUUUGUAAAUGACUUCAAGCUUAAUGUGUGACACGAUAAAUAUAUUUUUCGAUCAAACUGUCAUCAGUGCUGUCGAUGGUAUUGCUGCUACAUUAUUGGAGAAUGAAGCUUAUCUUUUUUUAUAAUAUUCUUAAUCUUGAUUCCAUACUUGUUGUUCUUUUUUUUAAUUAUAAUUUAUUAUCUGUUACUCAAAUAAUCGAUGUUUAUAUUGUCUUGCAAUCUUUUGGCCUUCCUUAUAUAUUUUUAAGGACAUUCGGACUCGCAAGAUAAUUGGGUGUGGUAUUAGGAAGAGAAAGCUCUACUACUUGGAGCUGACAUCGAACAGUAGCCGAAUGUUGAGUCAAACUCUUGUCGUGGAAGGAUCUCAAAGGGAGAAGAAUAAAGCUUCGAAGGUUUGGUUAUGGCAUUGUCGACUUAGAAAUGCUCAUUUCGGCUAUUUAUGGAGGUUGUUUCCCAACCUAUUUGUUAAGCAUGAUAAUUCUAGCUUUAAAUAUGAUGUUUGUGAACUAGCUAAAAGUGUACUUUGUUUUCGUCCAGUUAAAAGUUCAGUUCCAUUUAUGAUAAUUCAUUAUGAUGUAUAGGGACCAUAUAAAACUGCUACAUUUGGUUUUGUUCAUUGUUUCGUUACUUUUAUUGAUGAUUGAACAUGUAUGACUUGAGUUUGUUUGAUAAAGUCCAAAAGUGAAGUUACUUUACAGCAGUUCCACAAAAUGGUACAAAUAAAGUAAGUCACAAAAACAGGUUCUCAAGAAUGAUAAUGAUGGUGAAUAUGUGAACUCUAAACUUCGUGCCUUUCUUGAUCAUGAUGGUAUUGUUCAUCAAAUUACUCGUCCAUAUACUUCACAACAAAAUAAGGUUGCGUAAGACAAGAACCAUCAGCUUCUGGAGAUUGUGCUUCUUUGCUUGAGGCAUGUCUCCCGUUAUCCUAUUGGGGAGAAGCUCUCACUUGAACUACAUGUAAUCUUGAGAUUCUUGGUUUAGUACAAUUUUAUAUAAAUUAGCUUUUUCCUUAUUGAUAGGAUUUGUAAUAUCUUAUAAAUUCCUCCUUGAGAGAUGAAUAGAGACACACAACUAUUCCAAAACAACAUUCUCUUCUAGGAGUUCGUCGAGUAAAAAAGGAAAAAAAAAAUUACUUGGCUCAUUCCCUUGGAAGUCGCCAUUCCUAUUGAUAUGCUAAUCAGAGUUUGACACGUACAUAUGCAGAAAUUUUACUCUCUGUUUCAAAUGAGUUAUUUCCAUACAUGUGCUGCAUGAAGGAGGCAUGACUCAUUCCAAGAAGGCGCCAAGCAGUGUUCAAAGAGAAAGCUACUGACGAGACGAUAUUAACUACAAAGCAGUAUACAUGGAUUUCCAUAUACACUCCAUCUUCUCCUUACUGGUUGUCGCCGUGCAUGUUGUGCAGCUCUUUCACUCAAGCUGCGACCAGUUUCUGGAUAUCCUUCUGAAAAAAUUUCGACAAAGAAUCAGACCGGCAAAACAGAGAAGCUGAGAGCAGUUACUUGUAAAGAGAAAAGGCUUAUAUAUAUUUUCUUUGUUCAUAUUCGAUGCUCGAGUUACCAUGCUGUUUUACUUCAGGUGCACACUAAGCAGAAAAUGCACAUGUCAUUUCGGCAACCAAUAUUAAGUUUCAUAUUUUCAAGCUUCGGUUGUUGAAUUGAUGUUGAUGCUACUGAACUAUCGCCUUUUCUUUCUCCGGUACCAGUGAAAUUUAGUUCAGCAAACAGACUCAACAAAGCAACUAUAAGAUAUAGUCUCAGGAGAUUUACAGGACCAUUCCAAUUAGCAUCAGUGGUUAAACAAAAAUAUUGGCCUUGAUCAUUCGGUAAGUUUCAUACUUGAUCAAAACAAAAAGUGGGCUGUUACGAGGACAGGAGACCUGAAAACUAUUUCACUUUAUCAACAUAAUAGCGUAAAUUCGAGUCUUGCUUGACCACCAAAUCAUCAAGUUCCCUGAUUCUAAUUGAAAGCUUGAACAAGGAUAAAUGUAGUUCCAACAUGCGGUCAACGUCUAGAAACAUAAUUCUAGAAACCUAGGUUCCACCAAAUCAUCAAGUUCCCUAACAUUUUCUUAGGUAUCAAUGAAUUUACAAACCAAAAUGAACAAGGAAAUUCAUACCUCAAUUUGAAAAGGGGAUGUCGUUGGUGGGUAUCUCUCAACAACUUUUCCAUUCUUGUCCACCAAAAACUUCUCAAAAUUCCACUUUAUAAUGUCACCUAGAAAACCUCCUGCAAUUGAUUUCAGAAACUGGUAAACUGGAGCUGUGCUGGGACCGUUGACAUCAACCUGUAAUGCAUUCUUAGUACUUCAAACAUCCAUAUCCGUGAAAAAAAAAAUUCCAAUAAGAAAGUAAUGGAUGGAAGACAUGCAGUUAAAUUCCGCACCUUGUCAAAAAUCGGGAAUUCGGCUUUAAACCUUGUACAAGCAAACUGCUUGAUUUCCCCAUUUGAUCCGGGUUCUUGGCCCCCAAACUGAUUGCAAGGGAAAGCUAGAAUCUCAAAUCCUGCAAACCAGCAACUAUUACCACCUUAGCAACUAAGAAAAUAAAUUCUCAAUUAAAAGACUUUUGCUACAAUGUUUCGUGGUCAAAGAUGAAUGAACAAAUACAGCGCAUUUGAAAGCGAAUCCUCCCCGCACACACCCACCUUGAUCACCAAAAAGAAGGUGACUUGUGUGACAAGAAAAAGCACUCACCCUUAAGGAUCUAACUCCAGAACUAAUCCAAAGGAUCUCAAAAAUGCAUAAUAUCGAAUCUAAUGCAAAUUUUUGCGGAGAACAAACUGUUAAGGAAACUGAAAAACAAGGAUUUCGCACAGUUGCAGAAUACCUUGAGGUUUGUACUUCUCAUACAAGUGUGACAGUUCUGAGUAAUUUGAAGAAGUCAAGCCACUGAAAUUCAAAUAAACAAGUUUUGGUCAAUUCACAAGCAUCUCAAACUUUCAGUCUUCCUGUUUGGGCUCAAAUUAACAUGUUGGGCCGAGUAUAGAACCACUCUCGGCCCAGGAGGCCGGGCGGCAAAAGGACCAUGGAUCGGUCAACCCGUGGGAGUCCAAACCUAGGGCGGUUAGGACGAAUCCUAGUGCAAUGGGGAGUCUCGACGGGAUCGGAUAUCCAGGAAACUAAUCCAGCUUAGCUAAGGACUAGGUUCAUAGUCCUAGUAGGUGUAGGAUUGGUCGAGGUGAUCCGGAGAUGGAAACCUAGUCCGAGUAGGAUGUAAACUCGGACUCAAGGUUCAGUACUAUAAAUAGGGGACGCUGUGCAUCAGGAAAUGGCCUACAAAAUCAAUACAAAAUUGCCCUGCGCAAACUCUCACAACUUGUGAUUUUUCUUUUUCUUUUUUCGCUGACACAUCUUCCGUUGGCAUCAACAGCACUGUGAAGGCAACCGGUGAUAUCUUAAGUCGGCAUAGAUAGCUCUGUCACCGUAGAAUCAGCCGAUCUCGCAGCAUCUUCCGUUGGCAUCAACAGCACUACGGCGAGGACGACUGGUUACCUAUCCAAGUCUCGGUCGAGAAGGAUUUCCGAAUCCUUAUUGGUCGAGGUCAUCUCAUCAGCCUUCUCGGCGAAGUGAGGUGUUACCAGGUUAUUGUAUUCGGCACGUUGAAAGCCGAAUUCGGUUCGUGAACUUCGCAAAUUAGCAGCCUUGUCUUCAGGCUCUAGAACCCAAGAGGCCGAGAAUUGUUCCUUCCUCGGCCGCAAUCGCAAGACACAGAAGUCAUCAGCGCGCUCAACGCAACAUCAACAAAUUUACUCCUCGGCCGAGCUCGGCCGACGAGUUGGCACGCCCCGCAAUCACCGAAGGACGUAGUUAGCUUAGAAAAUACUCGGCCUGCGCGCCACGUAGGCUUUGUAGUUUCUAGGGUCAACACUUCCACACAGAACUUCCGGAAAAUUCGAUUUACAUAUAAAUAAAUAGUUCAAACUCAAUAAAGAAAAUAAUACCAUCUUGAAGCAACAUUGACAACCAAAAGAACCUUCCCCUUGAACUUGCUAAGAGGAACAUCCUUACCAUCAAUAUCCUACAUAAACAAAAUUUCAGACGUUAGUAAAGGUUGCUCCUUUGUACCAAAAUGUAUCGGAUUUAAGUCGUGAAAACAGCCUCUUUGCAAAGCAGGGUAAAUCUGUCUACAAUAGACGUUCCAACGCUCGCAAAGAAGAGCGUUUUUGGCUUGGGGUCGCCCCCAGACAUUAGUGCAAAAAGAAAAAAACCAACCAAAUAGUUCAAAUUUUCUAACUUCAGAUUUGAUUCUCUUGAACUUACAACAUUACAUGUAUAAAAAUCAACAAAAAUCCCACAAACAAAACUAAAAAACAACAUAAUUUCAUCAAAUAAUUAGGGAAAACGAAAAAAGAUGCAUUCUUUCAAGGAAAAUAUUAUUAUAUAUAUAUAUAUAUAAAAGGUCGUACCCAGUGCACAAGGGCUCCCGCUUUACGCAAGGUCUGAAAGAGGUGAAUGUCGGCUAGCCUUACCCUCAUUUAUGGAGAGGCUGUUCCCAAGUCUCGAACCCGAGACCUACCGCUCAUGAUAUAUAAAAUAUACAUAUACGCGCGAACACAUACCUUGACAGUGAAAUCAUAGAGAGACCUUUCUGUAGCUGCUCUAGCAUAAACACCCAAAGACCGAGAUUUGAUCAAAACCCCAUUAAAAUUCUCCGAUUGCAAAGACAACCCAUUUCGGAAAAGUGCUGAUUUAGAAGACCCAAGUGAGUAUUUGAUCCAGCACGCCAUGGGAGGGCAUGAAGCUGAAGAAUUCGAGCUUAUUUUUGCUUUUGCUUGAGAAAAACUCUGUAAAGGUGUUGAAAAUGUUGCAGAGAAGGACAUGGAAGCCAUUGUUUUGCUGGUGAGGACUUUGGAACUCGGUGGAAAUAUGGGACUGGUAAGCCGUAGUGCUUGCUCUUCCCAAUAUAUAAGUCUUCCUUCUGUGGAAGGUGUUUCCACACGUGGUUUUUAUUUAUAUAUUCAUUUUUAAUGGUUGUUUUUCUUUUCGGAUGAUUUGUGUUUGGUUUUUUUUCUAGUUAUUUUUCAUCUCUCUUUUCGGUGUUUAAUUAGGCCUAGCGGCACUUCGUGAUUCAUAUUACGGUAAAGCGAAAGUUUUUAAUGGUCAAUAAAUGUUUUAAGUUUCGAAUUUUGUUAAUGACGGGUUUGAUACCAACAAUACAGAUUCAUAUUUAAAAGAAAUUCUAAAAAAAAAAAUUUCUUAAAAGAGAGAUAACUAGUGACAAGUCAUGGUUAUUCAUAUUUAAAUUUCACUAUGUCCAUGACCACUGUCAUAUUAAAUAUUUCAUAUUGACCCUACUUAAGAAUCUUAAAUCCCUCACCUUGAACAUACCAUAGUUCUUAUUGUUUUUCAAGUUUUUUUUAUAUAUAUUUUUAUGAAAAGUGAUUAAUUGAUGAUUUCAUCACGGUAGUCUACCAUUUCAAGGAUCAAAAAGACUCAUAUAAGCAUUUUUUAACCUCCCCUUAGCAUCAUCGUGUUAUUCACCAGUGCUAUAAAUCGAAUUAAGAUAUGCCGUUAGUCUAGAAUUCGCUCACAACCACUGAAUCACCUUGUGGUAAUUUUUUUUCAAGUUGUUAAGUUGUACAUACAUGGCGGCUUGCUUAUGAAAUUUUCACACGCAAACAGUAUCACCUCAAACUCAAGUCAAUUUAAGAAACGUUUUAAUUGGAUUACCUAAAAUUCAAGUCAAAUUCAGAAACGUUUUGAUUGGCCAAUUCCAUACUGUUGGCAUGGGAUUUGGAUCCUCUUCGAGGCGAUUGGUCAGGAUCCUUUUGAUCAGUGUCUGUAGGUCUUUGAAUUUUUAUCUAACGGCUACAAUUUUUUUAACUUUUAUAAGGCCCUCUAUUUGUAGCUAUUGGAUAAAAAUUCAACAACUCACAGAUAUCAAUCAGAAGGAUCCCGACCAAUUGCCUCAAAGAUGAUCCAAAUCCUUUUGUUUCCUUUCUUUUUCUUCCUCUACUAAUCCAAGAGGAAAGGAAAAUAUGGAAAGUCAAUGCUACAAAAGUAAAAUAAUUUUUUUUAUCAAAAUAAAAAAUCUGAAUUAGUUUGGAAGAUAUUUAAUUAAUUUAAGUAAGUAUCUUGAAGGAGACAAAAUUCAAAAGAAAAUUGUUAUUUUGGAAAGCUUUUAUUUUUACUAUAGAAGGUCUAAACCAGGAAAAUGAAUAGUUUCAGCAAAAAAUAAAAUAAAAAUUUAUAUUAAUUGAAAAAACUUAAAAAUAAAUUGUAGUGCCACAAUAAACAAAGUAUAAUUUGCACAUACGCCAUAUAGACUCUUUAGUGCAAUGACCUACCGAUUAUAAUCUUUUAUGACGAAUCACUAAACUUAUAAUGUGGAACACUUGUUACAUAACAUCAGACAUUCUGUUAAUUGAUAAAAUCAAGAACACGUGACAUAAAAGCCACAUUGAUAUCAUAUAAACACAACAAUUCAACAAUCAAUAAUUUAAGACUUUGCUACGCGUCGCAAAGUCCGAAUUGAAGUCAAUACACUGAAGAAAAAAAAAUUUGGUGGUAUUAAAAUUGAAUUACAUUUACCUAAGUUAUUUUUUUGUUGGAAUAUUUGACCUUAGUCCACAAUCCCUUAUUCAUUUUUUACACAUUUUUCUUAAUUUUUCAUCGUCGGAUUAAAUAAAUUUAAAAAUAUAUAUAUACAAAGUAAAAAUAAAUGUGUAAAAAAAUGACUCUGCAAAUACAACUUUUGGUAAAUACGUUAAAAAUGUGUAAAUACGUUGCGGGAAAAUUUAAGCGUUAAAAUAUUUUGUAAAAUAAAUAGGGUUUGCGUUUCUGUCUCUCUUCCCUAAUUCGGAGCGCGCUGCUGCGAGAGAAGAGAUUGCGCGCCGACUCUCUCUGCACAUACAGAUAUAUAGAGAGAGAAACCCUAUCCACCGUUCCAAACACCCCCCUUCCCUCCCCUCCCACCCUCUCUCUCACUUCUACCCUGUCGCGCGGCUGCAAUCUCUUCCGCUUGUCUAGUCGGAAAAGAAAAAUCGACGGCGGCGAGUUAUGAUGGCGGAUCCAACGGUGAUAAGCUUAAGACCUGGCGGCGCCGGCGGCCUUCGUGCCCCCAGAUUCCUCGCGGCUCGCUUCGAUUCUAACUCUUCUGAUGCUCAGGCUCUCCCCUCCCAUGCCGGCCUCGCUUCCGCCUUCAAGGUCCCUCCUUACCCUAGCUUCCCACUCACAUAAAAAUAAUAUAUUGUAUAUAUGUAUUUUUAUGUAUACGUAUAUGUGUACGUAUAUAUGAAUGUAUAAGCAUAUUAGUGUACGAAUUUGUAUUUUCGAAUGUGUUUGCUCGGUCUGUAGAUCUGGUGUUCUGGAGGUUUAAUAAAUUCGAAGGCUUUCUUUUUCACUUGUUUGUGGUGGAUUUUCGAUCUCGAGUUUUGAAUUGUAUGCGUUUUUGUUUUGAAUUCCAUUAUUGGUUGGAGAAAAUUGAAAGUUAACUGAUUGUAAAAAUUGGAUCUUCAGUCAUUGUUCCGUUAGAUCCUCAAACAGUAGGCUUUUUUGUAAUCCUAGACCAAAAUUUUACUUUCAGAUGCUUAGAAAAGGAGUUCGUUGUCGAAAGAGGGUGAAAUUGAUAUUUUUAGAUUUAAACGUCCUAAUUCUUGGCAGGGCUCUCAAGAAUGUGUACCAGCUGUAAAUAUGGACGAAGAGUUCUAUGUCGGGUUUUUAGGUGGGCUUGCAAUGAGUCUGCAAUGCCCAUAAAGGACCGGCAUUACAUGUUAAGUGUCUUAAGUAUAAUGUUGGCUUAUGUUUGUUGGGAAAAUUUUUAGUGUGCCGGGAACACAGCCUGUUACACCAAGUGUAAUAACAUAUUUGGUUGGAAUUUUUUUUUUCAAGUUUCCAACCAUUUGCAUUAUUACACUUGGUGUACACGGCACACUGAAAAAUCUCUCAUGAUUGUUGAUUGUGAUGUGCAAUGCAUACAUGUGGGAUAAUUGAAUGUGUUUUCACUUUAGAAUACAGAUGUUCGUUAUGCUUGGUCACACAUGCCAUCCUCACUCUUCAUUGAUAUCAUAUUUCCUAUGUGUGUGCGUGUUUUUAUUUCUGUUUUGAGGUGUAUGGUUCAUUUACCGAGGAUUACCAUUCAUAUGUUUCAACACUUAUUACUGUGUUCUUGUUACAGACUGGUGACUUGCGGUUUGAAGGUCGUGAGCGAGUUCGAUAUACUAGGGAUCAGCUAUUGCAGCUUAGGGAGGUACUGUUGUGAUCACUUUUCUUUAUAGCUACUAUUGUUCUUUAACUAUGUUAUGGAGCACUAAAAAGAUGGAUAGAAUAUUUCUUAGUAACUAUCCUGGAAGGUGGGGAUGAUAGUGUUUUUCUUAUAUGACGAUCUUACUUUGGUAUAGGCGCCCACUACUAUCCCUGAAGAAAUUUUGAAGGUUAAACGAGAAAUAGAUGCUGAGUUUGCUAUAGAGGAUCCUACUUGGGGUCGUGCAGAUACUACCAAUGUGAGUAUGCUUAAUAUUCACUUCUACCAUGUAGCUGUGUUAUUUACCUGGACUGAAAACUCAUCAAUAUCAAUUUUCACGGUUUCAUGCGAUUGGGUGCUUUCAAAUAAAUUUUUCAUCCUAUAAUUUUGUAGUCUGCUAUACUUAUCUUUUCUCUAUAUGUUUUUGGGAAUUCUAUUUCUAACUUUUACUUCAAUUUUCUUUAGCUGCAACCUCAACCCCAAGUUCGAUAUUCUGAGCCAGAUAACCGUGAUUGGCGUGGUCGAUCUGCACCUGCUUCUGAAGAGGAUAAAAAGCAAUUCAAUAACCAGCAGGACCAGCUAAAUUCCCAGUUUGGAAGGGCGCAAAUUUCUGGUAACCAAGGGGUAAUAAGUUAUUAUCCGAUUGCGUAAAGGAUAUAAAUGGUGUACUGCUGAUCAACUUUGUUUACUCUUAAGAUUCUAUAUUUCCCAUGCUGUACUGCAGAUCAACUUUGUUUACUCUUCCUGGUUCCUUGACCAAUAAAAUAAUUACCAGCAAAGUAGUACAUGAGGCAUGUUAUUUGUAGCUUGAAGUCUUGGAUGAAUUUAUAUCAAAAUUUUGAUGUCAUUGCAGAAUAUUGUGUGUUUCAGUUGUUUGAUGGUUGUUAAUCUUGAUUUCUCUUCGUACUCAGUGAGGGAUCAUUGGCUGGUAUAUAUAAUUAACUAUCAAAGGUUACUACCGGAAGCUAGUAAUAGCGGGCACUAGGCACCAAAAUGUUGACGUGUAUUUGUAUUGCUUACAUAUCUUUGAAUUAUUUUUCAGUUUCAUUAGUUAUGUUUCCUUAUUCUAGCUUUUUGAAAAAAACCAGGCGGGGCCUGCUCCUACCCUCAUUAAGGCGGAAGUUCCGUGGUCAGCUCGAAGAGGAACACUCUCUGAGAAGGAUCGUGUCUUGAAGACAGUGAAAGGGUAAUUAAUUCUCUGAUUUCUAUCAGCUGGAGGAUUUGCUUGCAUUAUCUGUUCAACAUUUUAAAAGGAUGCAAUUUAAUAGAAGCUAGAAUGGUUUUGUUUUGUUUUGUUUUGUUUUUUUUUUUGUGCAACUGCUUGUUCUAUCUGAUUCUCUUAUUAAAAGUGUUCUAAUUUUUGUGCAGUAUACUGAACAAAUUGACCCCGGAGAAGUUUGACAUUCUCAAGGGCCAACUGAUUGAUUCUGGAAUUACCACUCCUGAUAUUUUAAAGGUUUGUAUUAAGGUUUGUAUUAACUAAAAGUCUUCAAAUACUUAUUACUAGCUAUUACUUUCCUGCUAAUGGACUUGAGGAUUCACUUUGAAUUGCAGGAUGUUAUCUUUCUUAUAUUUGAUAAGGCUGUGCUGGAGCCAACAUUUUGUCCUAUGUAUGCGCUUUUGUGCUCAGAUCUUAAUGCAAAGCUUCCUCCUUUCCCGUCUGAGGAGGAUGGUGGGAAAGAAAUCACAUUUAAACGUGUUCUGCUGAAUAAUUGCCAAGAGGCUUUUGAAGGUGCUGACAACUUGAGGGCAGAAAUUAGGCAGAUGACUGCUCCUGAGCAAGAAAUGGAACGUAGAGAUAAAGAACGGAUGGUUAAGUUGCGAACUUUAGGAAACAUACGCCUUAUUGGAGAACUAUUAAAGCAAAAAAUGGUGCCUGAGAAGAUUGUUCACCAUAUUGUUCAGGUUCUUGCUAGUGUUCAUUCACUUUGUUUUUUUUUUUUUUUGGGGUUGUUGUAUAGGAAUUUGACUGUUGGACUAACUCUGCACUUUUGUCUAACACAGGAGCUUCUGGGUGAUGGCAAAACAUGCCCUGCUGAGGAGAAUGUGGAGGCAAUAUGCCAAUUUUUCAACACCAUAGGUAAGCAGCUGGAUGAGAGCCAAAAGGCUCGGCGAAUCAAUGAUGGCUAUUUUAAUAGGUUGAAGGAGCUGACCACGAACACCCAACUAGCACCACGGUUGAGGUUCCUGGUCCGUGACGUUCUUGAUUUGCGGUCUAACAACUGGGUCCCUAGGCGUGAAGAGGUGAUUUUACAUACCGUUGUCAUUUCAUCUUUUUUCUGUAAAGAGGUAACCAUAGAAUGCAUUGUGGUACAUUGUAGUGGGAUUUGUGUAUCUGACUUAUGUUUUUUUCUCUUUUUUGGAAGGUGAAAGCAAAGACCAUUAGUGAAAUCCAUUCAGAUGCAGAAAAGAAUAUGGGGUUGCGUGCAGGAUCGACAGCAAUGAUGAGAAAUGCUCGUAAUGCUGCUUCCCAGGGGGAUUUGAGCCCAGGAGGUUUUCCUGUUACCAGGCCUAUGCCUGGAAUGCCCGGGACUAGGAAAAUGCCAGGAAUGCCUGGUCUUGAAAAUGACGAUUGGGAGGUCUAUCGAUCCCGUUCAAUGACCAAGCGUGAUGGUUUGGGGUCCCAGUCUGCCAGCCGUGUCCAGCCACCGUUGAUUAGCAAAACACCUUCUCUUAGUUCAAAAUAUUUACCUCAAGGCAGUGGUGGCAUGAUAGCUGGGAAAACAAGUGCCUUAUUGGGAGCUGGUGGUCCUCCUUCCCGAGCAGAACCUUUUACUCAAAAUCCCAAACCUGUAGUUCCGGCUGCAUCAUCAAUUCCAGCUGAGAAACCUCUGGCUCCUGCAACCGUAUCAAAUUCUUCUAAGCCUUUGACUCCUGCAGCUAUAUCAAAUCUUGCUGUUCUACAAAGGAAAACUGUAUCUCUGCUGGAGGAGUAUUUCAGUGUUCGGAUUCUCAAUGAAGCACUUCAAUGUGUGGAGGAGCUGAAAGCCCCAGCUCACCAUCCAGAGGUUGUCAAGGAAGCUAUUAACCUUGCUCUGGAAAAGAUCCCACCAUGUGUUGAACCUGUUAUAAAGCUCCUAGAGUUCUUGGUCAAUAAAAAUAUGCUGACAUCUGUUGAUAUAGGAACCGGGUGCCUUCUUUACGGGUCAUUGUUGGAUGACAUUGGCAUUGAUUUGCCAAAAGCGCCAACUAAUUUUGGUGAGAUUCUUGGGAAAUUGGCUGUGGCGAAGGUGUUGGACUUCAAGGUUGUGAUGCAAAUUCUCAAGAAGGUGGAAGAUGACAUGUUCCGGACAGCCAUCUUUGGGACUGCUAAGAAGAGCAUUGCGUCCAGCCCUUCCGGGCAGGAAUUUUUGCUUGCCCAGGAAACCGAGGUCCAGGCAUGUGAGAGUUUGCUUACCUGAUUUAUGCUAGUUUCAGUCGACGUGGGAAAGCUCUGUGGCGUUGGGCUUCCGAGGGGGUGGAGCAGUAGCUUACUUCUUCCCCUACAUAUUUUUGAAACUUUUAUCAACCGUUAAUUUUAUUCAGUUGUAUAUCUCUUUUGGGGGGUUUUAGUUCAAGUUUUGUUCUUUAAGCUGAGAAACAUGAUGUCUUGAAUUCCUCUCGAGCUCGGGUUAAUUUUUUUCCCGGGAACAAUCGAGACGGAAUAGGAUCUUGACAAUCGUUUUGUUAAAUUAGUUUUGCAUUCUGUGUACCAAUAACUCUUGAUUUUGUACCUGGCCGGUAUGUGUGGCCUUAAAUUUUCUCUAUGGAUAUUGUAGUCACUUUAUCUUCUAGCUUCAAUAAGCUUCCACCUUAUUGUUUGACAUCUUUGAUAGCCCCCGUUUCGCCUCGAAAAGCCACCGUUAGUUCUGGAUAUUGAGAUGGCUUCUGUGACCUGCAACUCCACUUCCCUCUCGCCAUCAUCCGGUGGUUCGGACCAGCGAAGGUGGAACCAAAUUGUAAGGAAUCAGGUGGUGAAGGGGAACGUGGAGCAUGCAAUUCAAUCAUACAUUGGGAUGCAGAAACUUGGUUUCUCUGCUGAUAACUACGCAUUUCCCCUUCUGCUCAAAGCAGCAGGUAAUACUUCUUUUGCGUAUCGGGUUAUCGCUCCAUGGCCGGACAGUUAAAACCGGUUUCUGCGACCAUCUUCUCGUCCAAACUGCUUUGCUGAAAGACUCCUCGUUAAUGCUCGUAAGGUUCGAUAAAAUGCCCGAGAGAGAUGUGGUAGCCUGGAACUCCAUGCUAGAUGUGUAUGCUUCUAGCGGCCAGAUGGAUAACGCAAUGGAAAUUUUCGAUACAAUGCCGUCACAAGACCUUGCAUCCUUCAAUAUAAUGAUCUCCGGGUUUGCAGGCGCAAGAAGCGUGACCUCUGCCAGAAGUAUUUUCGAUCGAAUUCCUGAGAAAGAUGUUGUCUCAUGGAACGAUGAUAUUGGCGUGCACGAACGGUGGAGACACGGCUGAAGCGUGAAUGCCGGAGAGAAAUGUCGUAACUUGGAAUUUGUUCUACAAAAUGAAGGCUGGAGACAUCAAACCCAUGUAUCUGACUGUGACCGGCGCUUUAUCUGUCUGCGUUCACUUGGGAUAUCACUCGAAACAGGCGUAAAGAUACACAUACACUGAAAUUCUUGAGCAGCCAUCGAGUCCCCAUGUAAUAACCGUGCUGAUAGACAUGUAUGCUAAGUGUGGAAGCAUACACAACUCCUUAGAGGUGUCCUACAAGUCGGAAAACAAGGACAUCUACUGCUGGACUGCCCUAAUUUCCGGGCUCGCGCUUCAUGGUUUUGGGUACGCCGUUCUGAAGCUCUUCAACCAAAUGAGAGAGAACUGCAUAAAACCAGAUGACAUCACCUAGUGCUUGCAGCCAUGCAGGUUUGGUGAAGGAGGGAUGUGAAAUCUUUUAAGCGGAGCCGGGCUCUUUGACUCGACACUGCAACUCGUCGAGAGGAUGCCGUUUUGAGCCCGGCAAGUCGGUCUUGGGUGCUCUGCUUAGUGCUUGUGUGAUUCACUAGGACCUUGAGAGAUGGGGAACACAUGAUGUUUUCUAACUUGUAUGCAUCUUGUGGUCAAUGUGAAGAAGCAGGAAGAAGGAGAAAUAUGAUGAACGGUUCAGGAAUUGUCAAGACUGCUGGCUGCAGUGAAGUCGAAAUCAAUGGAAGGUUUCACAAGUUUUUGGCUGGGGAAGGUUGGUGUUGAACGAGGUUUACACAAACCCUAGCUGCAAUAAGAAUCUCAAUAUUAGUAGACGUGGGUUAGGCCGGGAUAGUUUGUGCUCUUCAUUGCGUCUGAAUUCAAUACCAUUUAUGUACGUUGAUGUAGUUUAGAAUAUCGUCUAGUAAAUCAAAUCCUGACUCAGACAUUUGAUUUACAUCAAUGCUAAUACAUCUUCCCCUAAGCCAUACCAAAAAGACCCAAGUUUGACCCGUGAGUCACAAUUAUAACCGUCAAUACUUCAGAUCAGUUAAUGAGAAAUUUCAAAUCACGUGAUGAGAGAAAUAGAUAAAAGAGGAUGAUUCAGUCAAUUAUAAGACAAAAGUUCACUUUCAUCACAUAACAUGAGGAGAGAUUUCAAGUCACAUCAUUAAAAAGAUAAACAUAAUAAACAAUACAAAUGAUUACAAGACAAAUUCUGGGCUCUGGUGGGAUCGUUUGAGUAACUCAGCUGCCAUGGAUGACCCUUUUAGACAUUAACAAUUUGGGGUGACUCAAACUACCAGCAGUGUAUUUAGCCCUAAAAUUUGAGGACCACAAGUUCCCAUAUAGAUUUGUGCCAGCAGUAAUCAAUGUGGAAUAAUUUUAGGCUAAAUUGGAUUGUUCAUCCCUAUGGUCAUAGGACACUUGCAUGAUGACCUCUGUAGUGAAAAAACUAGGAAUUAAACCCCUGUGGUCUAGAAUGUUAGCAAAUUUAGUCUAAAAGUAAGAUUUCUGUUAAAGGACUGUUAAAAGUUGGGGUAAAACUGUAUUUUUAGUUCCAAUUGACAUUGAAUUGGCGCUUUUUUUUUAUUUAAAAAUUAAGCAUUAUUUUUUUUGUUAAAUGUUAUAAAAAAAAUUAUUUAUUUUAAAUGUCAAUUAGAAUUGAAAAUACAGUUUUACCUAUACUUUUAACAGUCAUUUAAUAGAAAUCUUACUUUUGGACUAAAUUUGCUAACAUUCUUGACCACAGGGGUUUAAUUUCUAGUUUUUUCACCACGGGGGUCAUCAUGUAAGUUUCCUAUGACCACAUGGAUGAAUAAUCCAAUUUGGCCAUAAUUUUAUGUGAUCCUUUACAACCUGCCCCAGAAGAACUUUGAGGAUUUUGAAUAUCUAAUUAUCCUACACAAUAUCCCCUUUUAAAAAUUGUUUAACCAGAUUCUGGUUCUCUGUAUUAGGGAAUUUUUGUUUUUUUAAUUUUCUUCUAAUUAUUAAAUAAUCGCCCUCUCACGGAUGCAAAGAGGACGAAGAAAAGAAAUACGGAGGGAAAGAGAUAAAAUAUACGAGAGAGACUUACCUACAGCUUAAAAUAUCCAUAAUAUUAUAUUAUCAAUUCAGAACAAUACAGUGACGUUUUCAAAAUAAGAGUGUAUGCAAGUCUUUAUUGCAGUAUACACAUUGGGUUGCUAGGACAUUUGGUAUCCUAUCAUAUCUUUUGUCCAAAGUUGAUCUUAUCGUCUACAAGCCAAACAAUCAAAGCUUAAAGAACGAGUUAAAAAAAAUGUGAAACUUUAGAACCACUUGAAAUUGAAAUUCUCUCCAGAUCACAUUUAGAGCUCACGAACCGAGCAAUUUGGAUCGUUCAAGAGAGAGAGAGAUAAGAGUGUUGAAGAGAGAGAUUGUGUGUGAAGCUGACCAAUGAAAUGGGUUAAUAAGAACAUCAUGACUUAUCUGAAUCCCACGUUAAGAGACCAACUUAUACAUUUAUACAACGACAUAAUGAGUGGCGUUUGAUUUACACUUUGAUGAACUUUAUUUUGCAUGUUCCGAGGACUAGAAUUUGACCAAUUUCAGGCUAUCCCUUUCCUUGUCUCUUAAAAAAUUGGGAAAUUUUUUGCUUGUGCCCGUAACACAAGUGGUACAUCACGUGUUGUUAAAUAAGUGAUGAAAAAUGUUAUUUUUUACAUUAUUACUUUUUUAAUACAAGAAUAUCACCACUUGUAUAGGGACACGUGGUGUAUCAGCCCGUGUUUCGGUCACAUUGAAAAAUGUCUCAAAAAUUGGUCUAUACAAUUAUUAUAAUGAUUGAUUAUUAUUAGUGCUAUACUUAAUGAUAGAUGCUCUUGUUUCUCCAAAAGCAUAUGAUAAUGAGUCUCUCAAAAGUGGGACUCUUCAUAAACUCUCUGUCACUUUAUGUUUUUUAUACAAUGUUUUAUAAUGUUAGCUCUAGAAUUGACGUCAAACUGUGAGGUGGUAAAGAGUCUAUGAAGAGUCACUUUUGAAAGAGUCCCCAUAGCAUUUCUCUUCCCCGAAUAUUAAAUAUAAAACAUGUCACGAGUUCAAAUAUCAUAAACAAAAUUAAACUACGUCUAAAGGCGCGGUUUUGAUUAACAAUUUGAUACUGCACAACGUAGCGAGUAUUUGGUCUGUUGGAGGAAAACUAAAACAUGGAUGUGAUUGCUUCUCCUUAACUUUUACUUUUAUAGAUGAGUAGCAGUGAGAAAGUUGGUAGCACUCCCAUUUCUAAAUUUGAGAUCAAAUCUUCUACAUCUAAAAUGGGUGUUGCAUCUCUGUUGUCUCAAUCAUUAUUUGACACAUAUUAAGUUUAUGACAACAAAGCUAAAAAAAUUUAAGUUUAUAAACAUAUGUCGGUCAAUGAUAGGUCAUAAAGAGGCCACACCUAUUUUGGAUUCAGGAGAUUUGGUAUCUUUAAAUUUUGACCAUGAGAAAUGUUAAGGAGAAUCUCUCAAAGUGGAACUCUUCAUGAAUUCUCUUUGUCACCUCACAAUUUAACGUUAAUUUUCAUGCCAACAUUACAAAAUAUUAUGUUAAAAACAUGAAGUGACAGGAAUAGUCAGUUUGGCAUGAGUCUUCUUCACAUUUCUAUUUUGAUUGUGACACGCAACGAGUAAGAUACAGACAAUGUACGCACUCUCGUUCGCCUCGACACUAAUCGAAACACAUGGAUGGGGUUAUAUCCGCACUUACGUUUACAACUUGCCAUCUGCUUGUUUUCAACGAAAAACGAUAGCCAAUUACUAAAAACAUGUUAGGUUAUUGGCAUAUUUAAGGGGUUGGGACCAUAAGAAUUCAACAAUCCAGUGACAAACUGACGUCGAUGUCAUACCGAACUCUACCUGUGACUUGACUUUUAUCUAUCCUUUUAAUGAAGAGGAAAUGAUGGUUCAUUUGCACAAGAAAUGUUUGGAUGAUGUGCUAAUCCAUGCAACAUGUCAGAUCAAUUAAGUUGGCUAGAACAAUAUGUUACACUCCUUGCAUCCAGUGCCAUAUGUAUAUUGAGAGGUGAUCUUCCGAGAACACUCUAAAUAUUUGAUACGGGUCUCUUUUUAGCCCACCAAGUUGUUGAUGAAAUGACUAUCACAAGUUGCUUCGAGAAACCUAACAAAUUAUUUCAGUAGCACUCGUCAGAUUGUUUCACAUGUGUCAAUACUUGUUGAUAUGUGUGCAGUUUGGUUCGGCUACUAACACAAGUCCACCAAGUGUUCAAUAAAAUGUCUUAGUAAAUAAACUAAAUGUUUUUGCGCACUUCACUCUGUUUCUAUCUAAAAAACUUCAAUCGUUAACACAGAAAUCCCAAUUGAAUAUUGAAUUCGAAUCUUUAAAAAUGGAAUGCCAUCCAAGGGAGGUGACCUUGCUCCUCAACGUUGUUCCUACUUUUGGUAACAUUAUAUAAACAUAAGGACUAUGAUUCUUUCUCUUUCUUUUUUCAUCCCCUUUCAUUCUAUCCUCUCACAUUCUCUUAUUUUGUCUUUUUCUUGCUAUAAAAAAUUAAUAUAAGAUAUUGACGUGGCUUAACUGUGACCUUUCAAAUAGAAGAUGAGGAAAGGGAAGGGGAAAAAAAGAGGAGAUAAUCCUACUCCGACAAUCGUUCCAAGUGAAUAAAUUAUUUGGCAAUUGACCAAAACGUAUAAUGCUCGAAUACACAAAAGGGGUGUGCUAUUCAUACACCCUAUUUUACUUCUCACACACCCCUUGAUAAUUUUUGUCCGUUGAUCUUCUUCAAUUCAUCCGAUCCGAUGACCGAAAAUUAAAAAGGUGUGUGAGAAGUAAAAUAGGGGGUGUAAAUAUUAUAUCCCUACACAAAAAAGUGAAGUUAUUUCAUUGUCUAGUGAAAGCCGCCAGCUGCAUGUGGCUUAGAAAUGCCUACAAAUGGAAGGAAAGUUCGAGGCCUUUGUUUUGUUUGCUGAGAAGUGCUAAGGAUUAUAUUUUUUGUAUAAUUUUUGUGCCAGUAUUACAUUGUGUUAAAAACAUGAGGUGGCAGAGAAUUCAUGAAAAAUCUGACUUUAAAAGAGACUCCUUAACAUUUCUCUAGUUUGUUUAUUUGUUUGUUGUCAUGUUUAAGUGGAUGAUUUGAUAUAUAACAAAAUUAUUUCGUAACAGUAAAGCUUUAUGUUGACACGAUGCUACGAAAUUUGUCAUAUUAUCGAUUGUAUACGCAUAAAACUUUCUCCUUUAAGACGCACGAUUUAGAAUUGACUGCUUACGGAAGAAACUGAGUCUUUUUGUUGGUUGAUUCGUGUCUAAGUUGAUGAAUUGAUAGAUAAAUAAAUUAUUUCAUAACUGUGGAGCUUUCGGAUGGCAAGGUGCCGGAAAUAUGUCCUAUUACUAAUUUAUGAGUUGAGAUUUUUUUUUGAAUGUCUGUGUCCAAUGUUAACUGAUUUGAAAAUUCGGAUCACUUAUUUUAAAUUUUACGGUCUUUAUGGGCCUAUUUUACUGGUCCAUCUCACAUAAACUAAGAAUCCAUAUAUUUUUUUUUCUCUUCAACGAUCCGUAUCCCUAGAUAUUUGGACUCUGGACAAAGAGAUUCAGAGAGAAUCUUAACUCCUUAUUGUAUAAAAAUUUCUUCAUGAUGCCAUGUGAUGAUGAAUUGCCUACAAAUGGAGAUAGUUUUUUUUUUUUUGCUUGUUUGAUUGUUUGUUUGUUUUUAUGUUUAAGUGAGGGAAUUUAAUUGACGAAAUUAUUUCAUACUUGUGAAACUUUCUACUUCCUUGAGAUCGAAAUUUUUAGUCAUAUUAUUAGUUGUAUAUAAAAAAAUUUCUCCAUGGUGCUACGUGACUUACGAAUGCUCUCCAAAAUGCAGAAAACAACUUUCCUUUCUUGUUACACAAAUUAUGAAUAUUUUUUAAUUUUUUUUCUUUUAAAAUCAGUUGGUGCCUUCAUUACGAAGGUCCACCAUAUCUGGGGUUAAGAAGACUUACAUAGGCAUUUCAACCUCUUAUAACCAUUAUUACAUGAUUCAUCAACGUCAUGAACCGAACUCAUCACGUACCGUAUGAAAUACGGGCCUACAAAAUGGUUUUGUUGCAUGCUUUAGUGGGUUGUUUAAUAGGAAAUUAAUUGAUAAUUCGGUGAAUCUAUUAUGUAUGUGCUGCCAGCUACAUGCCUACAAAAUGGACCAAUUUUAUGAUGAGUCAUUUUCUCGUUGUUUUUUGUUAUGCGUCGUAUUUAUAAGUCGGUGAUUAAUAGUUUAACAAGUUUUUGCUAGCCUUUCUGCCGACAAAGCCAAAAACUUGAAAUACAUUAGAAACUCCAAACGUCCAAUUCUUGGGAAAUAGAGAGUGAUUUUUAUAAAGGAAUUAUGGGCCAUAUAUUCUACACAGUAAGUUCUGAGUUCGAUUUCUAAUGUUGGUAUCAUACGAUAAUGGUUAAGGAAGAAUGAAAUACCUCUGUGAGAUCCCGGCUUUCGAAAAUGCAGAAUACCGUGAUGAAACCACUAAUCGAUUCCCUUUAAAAUUAAAUAGAAAGUGAUUUUUAUCUGCAUUUGUUUUUGCUCAUGUUUUUGUUUGUAUCUUCUGAGGGAAUAUGAUAAAAUAGCGAGAUAAAAUCAAACAAAGAAAAAAGAAAGGGGUAAAAAUUAGAGUAAUUUCUCGAGCUAUAGGAUUUCUUGCAAUUUUUUACAUGAGAUUGAAUUAAUGUACCAACACAAUUAAAAAUGGACAGUGCUAUUCAUACAAUAUAGUAAAGAAGCUACAUGUGCUUGAGAAAGAAGACGACUCCAUAAACACUGUUUGAUCCUGUAUUUUUUUUUUUUUGAACUAACGAUAUUAUCUACACUAAGGGGAUGUGGAUUUAGCCUUACAAUAAGCGAGCAAUAACGUGAUUCAAAUGCAUCUUUGGCGAGAAUAAAACCUAAAGCUUCUUAUCUUAUAAGUGAAAAAGAAUACCACUCGACGUAGUACUAAAUAGCCGUUUGACUCCGUACUUAAAAACACGAGGAAAAAUACACAAAAUUUCUUUCAAAAGAAAAUACAAAUUACCCGAGAUAGAAAGACGGCUAACGGCUUGAAUAAAAGGAAGUACCCAAUUUAUUUCCUCUUUACGAGAACCACGAAAAGUCCAUGAAGCAGUUCGUGGACAGUGUGAGCAGAAGAAAUUACCCAAAUUUCAAACGAGAUCAUUCUUUCCUCCAGAAGUCAUCAUCUUCUCUCUCUCCUCCGAUGAUUUGCUCUUUCUCUCUCUCUCCUCUUUCUCUCUCCAUCCUCUGCCGUUCCUGAAGAAUUAUUGUCACUCUCUCUCUCUCUCUCUCUCUCUCUACUCUUUCAUCCCACCUCUUGCCUGUUCGUUUUCUCUUAGAUUCCGUCAAAACUUCACUCGCCGGCUCUUUUGUCAAACCUCUGCAAAACCCACUUCUCCACAAGCCCCAGCAACCAUUCUUUCUGCUCUUUCUUCCACCUCCGAUUCUGAUAUUUUGCUCUGUACCCCCUGGUGUGAAGGACCCUCAAGCAUCUCAAGUCAUACUAUUCUCCAUGUAAAAGUUUCUUUCUUGGUUUCAUCUCAUUAGUUUUCGUGCAAAUUGGCAUCUGGGAUUUUCUUACUUAUGGUUAAUCUUGAAUUUUUUUAAUGAUUUUUUCCCGUUUGAAUGUAAAUUUUGCUUCAUUUGAUAUAUGGGUUUUUCUUAUAAUUUGUGCUUUAUAUGUUCUUGGUGGUUUCCCGAUUACCUUUCAUAAUUUCCAGUCCAAUUUUUGCUUAAAGUUUGUGAAUUUAAUACCUUAAUCUGACUUUGUUUGCUGCUUUUGAAUGUUUAGAUCAUUUGAUCGUUAGUUAGUUAAGUUUAAAACUGGCGGAUUGGCUGUGAUCGAAUCGAUCCAGUCUCGAAUAGUGUGGCAUGUGAGAUGAUAACAGACUAACAGAGGAAGAGAAGUUGAUACAUCUGUGGUUGCUUUACAAAUUUUGGCAAAUCCUUGCCAUUUCUUUGGUUUCCUGGUGAUUUAUAUCUAUCUUCAUAACCAAAUAGCGAUAUCUUCGUAACUUGGUUUCGGGCUAAUUUAGUUUUUCAGCAUUGAAUUGUGGAUUAAAGUUUUUGAUUGAGUUUUUAUUUAAUUUCAGACUGGAAUGGGUACAUAUCUGAGCACUCCUAAAACUGAAAAGCUCUCCGAAGAUGGCGAGAAUGGCCGUGUCAGAUAUGGUUUGUCGUCCAUGCAAGGAUGGCGUACCACAAUGGAGGAUGCUGUGAGUACAUUUAACUUUCCUCUUCCUCUCAGAAGUUUAUACUUUUGUAUCCUUUUCCGUCUUUAUUUAGCAUGCUAUAGUUAGGAUUCAACUGAAUAUGAUAUUACUUGACAUGUUCAAUUGACUGCAUAAAUCUAAUUCCACUUGGCGGAUUAUUACUGUCCUUUUAAUUAAGAUAGAAGUCAAUUAUCUUGUGGCAUAUGAUGGUGCAGAUAGAGGGUUGGGCAUGGCUACUCCUUGCUUGUAGCCUGGUAGUUUCCCGUGGUCUGUUUAUUUGACUAGCCCUAUUGGUGCCUUCUGCUUGUUGUAGAAAUGAUCCGGACUGUAGGGACUAAGUAGUACUUUACAAAAACUGCUACUUGCUUCCCCAAUUGGUAGAAACCAUCCCACUUAGCUUUUCAAAAUCUAGUUCUCUCUCUUUGUACAAAAUCCUUUCCGUGUUUACUUUUCCUGAUAAAUUGUUGGAAAACUAAACUCUCCUGCAUUCAUAAAUAUUUUUGCAUCCUGUAUAAGAGGAAGUGCAGUGAUUACUUACUUUGUUUUCAGAAAAUGGUGUCACAUUAUUAAGUGCUGUUUGUUACCAUGAUUUAUUUUGUUAGCAUGCAGCAUAUCCUGAUCUGGAUGCAUCCACCUCAUUCUUUGGUGUUUAUGAUGGCCAUGGAGGUAAGAAUUUGAAACUUUUGGUAUCUCUCUCUCUCUCUCUCUCUCUCUCUCUCUCUCUCUCUCUCUCUCUCUCUCUCUCUCUCUCUCUCUCUCUCUCUCUCUCUCUCUCUCUCUCUCUCUCUCUCUCUCUCUCUCUCUCUCUCUCUCUCUCUCUCUCUCUCUCUCUCUCUCUCUCUCUCUCUCUCUCUCUCUCUCUCUCUCUCUCUCUCUCUCUCUCUCUCUCUCUCUCUCUCUCUCUCUCGUCUCUCUCUCUCUCUCUCUCUCUCUCUCUCUCUCUCUCUCUCUCUCUCUCUCUCUCUCUCUCUCUCUCUCUCUCUCUCUCUCUCUCUCUCUCUCUCUCUCUCUCUCUCUCUCUCUCUCUCUCUCUCUCUCUCUCUCAAAUGAAUGCUUUCUGUUUAUCAGAUCUACAUUGCACUUUUCGAAGUAUUUAGCAAUAUUUACAUUUAUUGUAUUAUAUCUGACUUAAAAUCCAAUAAUUUUCUAGGCAAGGUAGUUGCUAAGUUCUGUGCAAAAUAUCUUCACCAACAAGUACUCAAGAAUGAAGCAUAUGCGGCUGGAGACAUAGGAACUUCUGUUCAGAAAGCUUUUUUCAGGUUACUACCUUUGAUCUACUUAAAUUCAGUUGCCUUUUACUGUUUUCUGAGAGGAGGGUACGAAUACAAUUAGUCAAGCUAUAUCGUAUUGGGCUGUUCUUUAUGAUACCUUCAGCUUAUCAAGCCAAAAUAUUGGCCAUAUGGUUUUAAGCCUAUAUUGUCCUGGGUCCUUGUGAGAUCAUAGAUACUUGAGAUAGUAAUGCUUUUAUUACUUGUCUUUAUUGUUGUGGUCUUAUUACUCUCUUUUUAAUUUUGAGGUUGAAGAUGUUGUUAGUUGGUUUAUGUAGAAUGGAUGAAAUGAUGCGUGGACAAAGGGGUUGGAGAGAGUUGGCUGUUUUGGGAGAUAAGAUAAACAAGUUUACUGGCAUGAUAGAAGGGUUAAUUUGGUCUCCAAGGGGCAGUAAUGGUAAUGAUCAAGCUGAUGAUUGGGCUUUUGAGGAGGUAGGUGCUAGAACCAUAUAGUUCAUUGACUUUAUUGUCUCUUUUUGGAGCAGAUUCUGAUCUGCUUUAUCUGGCUUUAUUGCAUAUUAAAUUGACCACAUGGAUUCUUUGGUAAUUUAGAACUUAAUCAUUUAGUAUUGCGAUUUGUAUGGUUAGAAGAAAAUAGCAGUAUACUUCCUGUAGGGGAAGGCAGAUUGGAGGAAGGAAACCAUGGCUCCAUCCCAUUGUUGCAAAUUUAUAGUUCUAGACUCUAAUGUUGAAAAUUUAUCUCCAUGCUUUAUAUCCAAACAAGCCCAAUAAUUUCCCUCCUCUCAAACCAAAUAGGAGGGAGAAAUCUACUCCCUUUCCAUCUGUUCCAUUUUCCAUUCCGAUGAUCCAUCUUAAACCGAACACAGUUUAGGAUUGAAACCUGAGGCACCGAGAGAUUAUCUAUAGUACAUGGGGACAUCCCUGCACACACCAAGAAAUUAUCUAUAGUGCAAGUAAUUUGUUUCAUUUGGUUUCAUAAUGUCAAGGAAUUCCACAAUUUAAACACAAUUAUGUUUUCAGGGGCCUCACUCUGAUUUUACUGGUCCAACUUCUGGGAGCACUGCCUGUGUUGCAAUUCUUCGAAACAAGCAACUUUUUGUGGCGAAUGCUGGUGAUUCUCGUUGUGUGAUAUCAAGGAAGGGUCAGGUAAUUUAUUAUAUUUCUGUUGUUUUUCUUUCUUGUUAUGUUGAUUGCUUAAAAUAGAUAAUCAAGUCUUUUCAUUUCUAUAUCAAAUGGUUAAAAGUGAUGAGAGGUCUAAAUUCCAAGGCUAUUUAUAUGUGAUCCUAUGUUUACAAUUGAGAAUAUUUGUAUAUACUUGUUUCCUGCUGUAAAUUGCAUAUAGUUUUCUGAUGUCACUUCUAUUUUUCAGGCAUAUAAUCUGUCAAGGGACCACAAACCUGAUCUUGAGCUUGAGAAGGAGAGGAUUUUAAAAGCUGGUGGUUUCAUCCAUGCAGGACGAGUCAAUGGAAGUUUGAACCUUGCAAGAGCUAUAGGUAAUUAUAGUGCAUGAAUGUGCAUUCUUAGUAUAACACUGUUCCGAAAUCUCAAUUAGAUUUGUAUCCAAAGGAAUUAAAUUAUGUUUUGAAAUUUAUAUUUAUAGAUGUAUGGAACUUCCUUGGAAGACGUUCAGUGUUGUGUUGUAAACUACAUUGAGUGUGUGGGUGCAUAUUUGUAGAGGGGGAGCUCAGUGCAUAGCUUUUUAUGUUCCCUGUACUCAUUAAUUUUGCAUAUACCGCAGGUGACAUGGAAUUCAAGCAGAAUAAAUUUUUGCCAGAUGAAAAACAAAUCAUAACUGCAUGUCCGGACAUAAACACUGUAUGUAUAUACUUGCGACAUUGAAAGUUUUCACAAGAUAUUUAGAACAAUAUAGUAGUUUGGAUAAUGAUGGUUUUGGGGGGCUAUCUACAUUUUGAAGUUUCCCAAAAUCGUUUGGUACGUGUUUUAUUAUAAAAGCAAAAAUAACUAACAGUUAUUGGCUAUUACUUUUGUCUUCCAUUUUAAUUUAUUUACUUAAUUUUUAAUUAGGUUGAGCUUUGUGAUGACGAUGAAUUUAUUGUGCUAGCAUGCGAUGGCAUCUGGUAUGCGUCUUUAACUUUUUUUUUUGCUAAUUUUUGCAUAUAUAUCUGCUGAUACUGAUUCUCUUCUCAGUUUAAUGUUUUUUAAGUCUUUCUUUAUUUUUUAUUUUUAUUUUUGUUCAAUAUAUCCUUGCUGAUAUGAUUCUGCUUUUGAUAACUCAGUUUAAUGUUUUUUAAGUUAUGGUAUGAUUGUCGGAAAUCGAGUUGAUAUUUUUGUUACUUUCUUACAGGGACUGUAUGUCUAGCCAGCAAGUGGUAGAUUUUGUACGUGAACAACUACUUUCUGUGAGUGCAUGUUUCUCUUUCUUUUCUUUGGUUUUCCUGGUUUGAAAACAAGGACAGCACUUUUGCAAUGCAGUUGAAGUGGUUCCAUAUAAUGUUGCUUGGUAUGACACCAUUGUAAAUCAUGCAGGAAAGCAAGCUAUCUGUGGUAUGCGAGAGAGCCCUUGAUAGGUGUCUGGCGCCAUCGACUGCUGGUGGUGAGGGAUGCGAUAACAUGACCAUGAUCGUGGUGCAGUUCAAGAAGCCCAAACAGUCGACUGAGUCUGAGGGUGGGCAAUCCUCGUCGACUGAAGAAGCAGCUGGCAGCGAUUCAAACGGAAGUGAUUCAAAGGCAGAUGAAAGUGAAUCGAAGUAGUGGCCCGCUGUGUACCGUGAAAUUAGUAGAGAGAUUUGCAUCACGUUUUUGCUCUCUCAGAAGAAAUGUGAAUCUCAGAUUGGUAAUUGUAGAUUGUUUAGCCUGGAAAAAAAAAAAGGAAAACGAAUGGAUCAUUAGCGAUUUAGUUAAAACUCGUUUUUGUGAUCUUCGAUGUUUGUUUUUUCGGUUGAAACACACGUUGAAAUAGUAUGUACAGAUUAUAACAAAGUACCACCAGAGUGUUUGAAUGUAAUCUUAAUAUAUCUUUGAGCUGUUCAAGUAAAAUGAUGUGAAGUGUUUUAUCUGUUUCGCUGUCACCAUACCAUCUGGAUAAAAGUGUGUUUGCAUUUUUGCAGUGUGCUGCGAUUUCAGAAGCAAUCAUAAACAAACCGGGUUGGGACCAAUUUGCCAAACCGGUUUGCAGCUUCGACGGUCUGGUGCGGCAUAGGGCCAUUUAGUACCAGUUUGGUAUGGUUUGGUACUGAGAUAUUUUUAUAAAAGUGGGUAUCAAAAAAAGGUGUUUAGUAAACACUUAAAAACAUCUUAUUUUCAUAUUUUUAGGUGAAAAAAGCUGAAAAUGUGAAGCAGUAAAAAUGAGCUUAUUCUCACAGCACAGCAUAAAUAAUUUUUUUUCAAAGCACAUCAAUACCAAACCAGCCCUUUGUCUAGCAAGAUGCAAUAUCCAUCAUGUUGCAAGUGUUACGAAUUCAAAUUCCAUCUAUGAGGAAACAUGAUAUUGAUGAGUAACUCAAUAGAAUUGAAAGAAAUUUAUGAGUUUGAAACGUAAAGAACCAAAGUGACCUUUCAAAACUUAAAAAUACCAUUUGUGAUAAAAACCCCAGAUUUUAGGAAACCACAUCUCUCGGCUCUCAAAAGCUCUAGGAAGGGAAAGACAAAAAAAUAACAAAAUAUUAGAACAACAACAAUAAAAAAAUAUUCUGUUAGUUUCAAGUAUUUUAUAUUUUUUUCAAGCGUUCGUAGAUUCCUUUACCUCUUUUAUAACAAAACACUAUUAUAAAAAAAAAAAAUAACGUGUCCUAAAUCUGAAAACUGAAAUUUCAAGGAGGGUAUUUUGGUAAUUUUAAGACUUCACCAUCUCAAAGCCCCAAUGGUAAAGCCCUUCUCAGCUAGAAGCCUACAAACUGCAAAAAAGCAAACAGCUGGCUAGUUUUGAUGUAUUAAGCUGCACUCUCUCUCUCUCUCUUCUCUCUCUCUCUCUCUCUCUACCCACCUCAAUACUCUCUCUCUCCCCAAAAUGUCCCCCCAGCUGGAGAGGAAGGAUGGAUACAUGUCUUCAAAUGUCCUCCAAUCCAACAGCCACCAAUCCCUCUCUCCUCAAACCCAAAACUUUUUUCACCUUCCACAAUUGCCCUUCUGUAACAUUCCAUCUUCAGGCUCUUCAUCACUCAUUUACUCUGUAUUCUUUGUCUCCCUCCUCCAUGGGCCUUUUCGGGUUCUCACAACCCAGAGAGUUUCUUCUCAAAGACCCAAAAAACGAAACAGACAGAUGUCCAUCUGUUUUCUGUAUACACACAAAAACCAUCUCUCUCCAUAAUUUCAUUUAUUUAUUUAUUGUUGUUGUUCCUCCUGUAUCUCUCUCUUUCUCUCUCUCUCUCUCUCCAUUGUCUCUCUCCAUUGUCUCUCUGGAAUCGAAAACCUUAUCUCCUUUUUCGAUUUGGCUUUUCAUUUCCUUUCCUUAAUCUAUAAGGUUUUUAUCUAUUUUUUUUUACUAGAAUUUGCGAGAGGGUAUUUUUUGGUCUCUAAAAAUAAGAUUUUUAUUUCCUGAUUGGAUGUGGAUUUUUGGUUUUUUCACUGUUAAAUGGUCAAAGAUUGGACCUUUGAGCAGGAGAUGAAGAGGGUUCAACUGGGUUUCGAAUUUGGUCACUUUUCUCUCUUGAAUUUUGUUGGGUUUUUGUGAUUAAAUUUGGGAUUUGAAGAGGAAGAUGAAAAGGGCUGCUGGCAACCGUAAGCAAUCUCAGCCUGCUGAUGAGGAGACUAGGACAAAGUUCAGACAUGAAAGUCUUAUGCAGGAUUACCUUUUACGACAAAAGGUUAGAUUUUGUUCCGACUUUUGUUUUGGUCUUGCUUUUCUUAUUGAAAUUCUCUUGCUAAUUAUGUUUUUCUUAAGUCUUAAUGAAAUCCUUGUAUGAUUAAGUGUUGAUUUGGAUUAGUUUUCUUUAAUUAUGGUGUUUGUGUUACCCUCUAGUUAGUUUGUUGUCAUUGAGAAAACAAGGUUUGAGAACAAUUCUGAAUCGAGAUGAUAUGUGAUCUACUUUAAUCUACUGGAAAGGGGAUUCGAACUUGGCUCGAGUUGGCGGGCACACUGCCAUGACCAACUUACUAACGCACAGUUGUUACGGGGAUUUGAACUUGGUCCGAGGUGCGGGCACACUGCCUUGACCAACUUACUAAAGCGCUUACUAACAGUUGUUUUCGAGCAUCUGAAAUACUUGUUUACUAAAGUUUGGAAACAAUGGAUUGACUAUGAUGGAAGAAACGAAAUUAAUCGGGUUCUAAUUUGUGCGGUUUUGAUUGUAUGAAUAAAAGAUGGACAUUGUUUCUUUUUAUGUUCUGAUAGGAAUUUGUAUCAAAGAAGAAGAUGAUGCAAGCUGCGAAGCAGAAAAGAGACGUUCUUUUGGCGGAAAUUCGGUAUGAUUUUGUUCUUCUGGUUUCUGUGUAUUGCAAUGUUUUCUGUCCGCAGGUAGGAUACUAAUUUGCUUCUCUCUUCGGAGUUUCAGAUUUUUGAGACGAAGGUAUAGCCAUCUGCUGAAGAUGAAAUCAGCAGAAACCGAACCAGAAGUCCGUCAUCAGAAUUCUGAUGUACAACCUAAGAAGUUGGCAAAGAAGAAAAAAGAUGCUAAUGAAGCUGUUGUAAAUAAACCCUCUCGUGUCUCGCCGGAAGGAGGAGGAGGAGGAGGAGAACACAUUGUUUCGGAGCCCGUAAGAGAAGAGAAGAAGCGUAAAAAUCGUGUAGUUAAUGGCAGAAAGGUUGGAAAGAAAAAAACUGCAGUGCAAGAUCAGGUUUCUCUGAAUGUUUAAAUUACUCAUAGUGAAAGCCAAAGGCCUUAAACAAUCUCAUUGUCAUUGCGAAAGAUAAAUACAAUUGGUCUUUUUUCGGUUUUAUUACGCGUGUGGUCUUGUCCUCGAUGCGGUGAAUGUCCGAAUGUUUCUAGGAUAGUAUCCUCCUUAUCAGAUUACGGAUUAAUAAACGUGUCAUAUGAUAUCAGAUACUCACUCUCAAUGCAACCUGGGAUGGCGUCACUUAACAUUUUGGUCAUUCUUCGGGGGCAGUUCACGCAAAACCCUCCGAAGAAUUCUUCACAAAACAAUCUCAGCAAGACGAAAUAUGAACAUUAUAUAUGCAAUAACUUCGUAUAAUAAUCUGUUUAUGCCAUUACAGAAUAUGAUUCAACUGUAUUUGACAUAGCAGGUGUGAAAGAGGUAAACUAGAUACAGCAUUUACACUUAUAUGUUAACAACAGAAACCGUACAAAGUAUAUCAGGGGUCAAAGGUAAUACCGAAUACAUGUUACUUCCUCGCAGAUACACAUCUACGCUUACAAACAUCAAUGCUGGAAAACUGAAUCUGUAUGCGUUGAGUUGAAUUGUUGCAAAAUCAUCACCCUGGAAAACAGCUAGGUUCAGACAAAAGUUUGAGAGAAACCCAAACACACCAGAAUUUGUAAUUUGUGUUAGGACACGUACCGCAGAUACGGAGAUAAGUCAGACUUGUAUAUCUUGUAAGUCAAGUUUGGUUGGGAAGCUGUGCAAAUGUUCCUACAUUGGGGCUGCAGCCACCAACCAUCAUGUUCUUGUAAACUGCAUAUGCAUGAUCUGGAUCCCCGGAUGUGCUAUACAGUCGGAUGAGAGCAUUGUAGGUAAACACAUCAGGUUCAAGGCCUACAAGUUGUAGUUCUUCAUAAAUCCUCCUCGCUUGCUCCACCAUUCCAACAAGUCCAAGAUUGAGUAUUAACGAAUUGUAUGUGUAAAGAUCAGGAGCGAUUCCUCUAGUCCGCAUUUCAUCAUAAAGAGAGAGUGCUUCCUCUACCCUCCGUGAUCGUCCAAGUCCAUUGAUCAUAAGGUUGUAAGAAACGGAGUCAGGAUCGAGGCCACUUUGUUUUAACUCCUCAAAAUAGUCCACAGCAUCAUCCACUCUCCCUGCCUGGCAGAGGCAAUCCACAAGAAUGGUGUAAGACUUCAGGUCAGGUCUUAUCCCUUCUUUAAUCAUCCUUCUAAACAAGUCGCAAGCAGCUUCUGCAUCACCUGUUUUCGCAAACCCAUUUAUAAGAAUAUUAAAAAUAGCAGAAUUAGGUUUGCAUCCAUAGUCGGCCAUCUCGUCAAAGAAAUGCAUUGCUUCGUCUAGUCGUCCUGACUUGAAAAGUCCAUCUAUGAGAGGACCAUACGUACAAGGAGAGGGAGAGAAAUCACCACUUACGAGAUCAUAAUAUAAAUCUAUAGCACCAUCCACGCUAUCAGAUUUCACAAGACUGGAGAUGACUAUAUUGUGGGUUACGGUGUUAGGCUUGCAUCCCCUAAAAAUCAUCUCCUCGUACAAUUCAAAGAGUUCGGUGAUGUUCCCAGACUUCCCAUGAGCAUCAAGUAACAAGUUGUAGGUGAAUACAUCGGGGGUACAACCACCAUUCUUCAUCUCCUUAAACAGAUCCCAAGCUCUUUCAGCGGCAUGAUCUUUCAGAAGCCAUUCAAUCAAGUAGUUACAUGCUUCUAGUGUUGGCUUAAUUCCAAGAGUUUUCGUAAAUUUCUCAAAUACCUUAUGCGCAUCAAAAGCUUUCCUUUGCGUACACAAAACUCUAAGUAGAGGAAUCAGUACAGAGUCAUCCCGGCAAAUCCUAUCAGAGAUCAACCUUUCAGCAAAUAAAAUGGCUCUGUCUAUUUCAGCUUCAAUCAAAAUCCCUCCCAUUAAAUCUUCCCAAAAAGGCCUAUCUGCUCGUACCCCAACCUGAUACACAAAGUUCUCAGCAAUUUUGAAACCAUCCUCAAUACGCCCAUCCUUUACUACCCUGGGUAGGAGGGUACACAAUGUUAUAUGAUCAGGAAGUAGUGAUUUCUUCAUCUGAUGGAAGAACCAGAACGCAUAAUCAAUUCUGUUUUCUCUGAUUAAGCCAUAAAUUAUAGUGUUAUAGGUCAGAACAUCAGGACUGCAACUCAUUGUGGUCAUUUUGCAGAACAUUUUCAAGGCCAGAGUAACCUCGUCAUUCUUGCAAAGGCAGUUCAGGAGUGUGUUGAAAGUUAUUGUGUUUGGAGGACACCCUUGUUCGGCCAUAUUCUCAAACAUUUCAAUGGCCUUUUGGACUUCUCCAUCUUUGCCUAAUGCAGCGAGUAAUGUGUUGUAGGUCACAACUGUUGGAGUGAGCUUCAUUUCCUUCAUUCUGUAAAACAUUUGCCAUGCUUCAUCUACUCGGUCAGCCUUGUAAAGCAUGUCAAUCAAAGAAUUAACAAUAAUUACAUCUGCUUCGCACCCAUUUCUUUCCAUCUCUGAGAGUAACUCGAUGGCUUCAUCUAUUUGCCCAACCUUACUAAAGCACUUCAUCAUGAUGUUGUAAGUAACUGAAUCUGGAGAAAGCCCAUAAUAUUUGAGCUCAUUAUAGACAUCCUGUGCCUCUUGAAGUCUACCCUCUUCAGCAAGACUGUACAAAGAUGCAUUACAAGCAACAAUAUUAGGAACGAUGCCUUUAUUUUUCAUCUUCUCGAAGGCCUCCAUAGCUUUGCCAGAGUCGCCACACUUUCCAUAGUAAUCAAUGAAAAGGAUGUAUGUGUAAGCAGUAGGUGGAACACCCAGACAGUCAAUACUAUUGAAAAGCUUCAAUGCCUCGUCCAACCUACAUAACCGCAGAAGUCCACCAAUUAAUGUGUUGUAAGUAUGAAGAUUCGGUGAGACCCCUUGUUUUCUCAUGGUAUCCAACAUAUUAAAUGCUUCAUCAACAUUUCCAGCUUUGCAUAAAGCAUUGACAAGUAUGGUGAAAGUAACCACAUCAGGAGCAUAACCGUCAGCUUCCAUUUCACUCCAAAAUUCUUUCACUGUGUCCAAGUCUUUACCGUCACUAAACUUAUCCAGCAAAGUAAUGUAGGUUACUUGGUCAGGCUUAUGACCACUGGCUUUCAUUUUUACAAACAACUCCUUGGCCUUAUCAAGUUUACCCGCGUUACAAAGAGCAUCAAUGAGAACGGUGUAAGUCACAACAUCGGGGCCACAUCCCUCAUCAUCCAUUCUCUUAAAAACCUCAUACGCUUCGUCAAUUUUUCCCGCCCUCCCAAGUACUCUAAUGCAUAUAGUAAAAGUAUAAACAUUAGGCCUCAAUCCCAAACUUUCCAUCUCAUUUAGCAAGCUCAUAACAGUUUUAACAUCCCUUCUUUUCCCCAGUGCCACCAUAAGUGCCGAGUAAGUCUUAAGACUCGGCUUAAUCCCUUCUGACACCACUCUUUCAUAAACCUCCAAAGCCUCCCUACAAUAUCCAGACUGAAUAAGAUUAUAGAUCAACCCAUUGUACGAAUACGCAUUCAAUACAAACCCCGCUUUUCGCAUCUCUUCAAGAGCGAAUGGUGCCUGUCGAAUCUCACCUCUGACAUCAAGACCCUUAAAGAUAGUAAGGUAAGUCUCCAAACUCCUAUUUAUGAUCUGCUUCUGCAUCAAAUCAAACACAUAAGCCAUAUCCUCCACUCUCCUAUCAACCCUCAAGACUUCAAGCAUGUAAUUGCAAGUCUCAGUGGUGUGAACAACACUAGGCAACUCAGCAAAAGACUUAAACAAUGCUAAAGCAGAUUUCGGGUCCGAAGCUGACUUCAAAACCCUCACAACUUCCUCAGAAGAAACUGAAAUUUUCGGGCUUUUCUUCCCCACCACCACCUCCUCCUCUGACCUUUUCAUCACAAACCCACAAAAACCCAUCCCUUUUUUUCGGUUUUUCUUCAAGUUCGACAAAGACCCACAUCCCCAAACCUUCAACUUCCCAAAGUUUCGAGCUUUCAAUGAACCAGCAAAUAUCCUAUCGUCAGUGAAAGCAACACUGUAAUUUACACUGCUACAGCACAUGCUUGAAGAGCAGACAAUCAACAAUUCCAUAGAUAAUACACUUUAUGAGCUAAAGAAUGAGUAACUCACAGAAAUUGAAGACGGAUUCUUCAUUUUGUUAGUUGAAUUUCUACUGUGAAAGCAAAUAAAUGUGUGCGCGUUCCGCUGCUGAGAGAGAGAGAGAGAGAGAGAGAGAGAGCAGAAGGGUUGCUGCUAUGGAGGAAGAUGGAAUCGACUAUGGGUUCGUUGAAGUGGGAGUUUGAAAUUGGAGAAGGUGUUGGGGUGAAUUGGGUAGCCCUCCCUCCAUCGAUGUAGGCUGAAAUGUAAUCAUGUAUGUGGGGGUGUGGUGGGUUUUGGAUAUUUUUGUUGUUUUGUUUGGCUCCAAAUUCAUUUUCCCCCUUCUCGAUAAAAAUACAAAAUUUAUAAAGAGAAAAAACAUGAAAAACUCAAUUAUGAUUUGUAGUUUAUGCCAAUUUUUUAUAUAUUAUUUUAUUUAUGGCUAUUCUCUAAAUUCAUAUGUUAGGCAAAGCAUACUAGAUGUUAAUUUGGUGAACCAUUAGUGAAAUACAUUAAUGCAUUUGAAAUUUUUAGUAUGACAAUUCUUUUAAUUGAUGGAACCGUUACGUCGUAAAAACAUAUUACGGAUUCAUUAAUUCAUUCAAAUUAUAGUAGAUGAGUCGAUGACUAAUAAUUAGCACUAAGCUUUGUAUUCAGUUAUUGUCACAACCCGUCCCGGAGGUACCUUUGACGGGAAUGUGAAAUGACUGAAUUGCCCUUAACGGGCACUAAGGUGUGUGUGUGAUAUGUUUUAGAUAUUCAUAUUUUUCCUAAACUAUUGGAAAUAUUAAUUAAGUUGGAUAAAAUUUUGAAAGGUUGGAUUGUUUGUUUGGUUAGGGAUGUAAAUGGAUGGCGUGGAUUUGAUCUUGGACCACUCAUACACCUCCCUGUUAUUCAUCCCUUCCCCGUGUCUCUCUCUCUCUUCUCGUCCCGACUCUCUCUCCCUCUCUCUACACACCCAAACGUACGGCCACACCCAAAAAUCUCCAAAACUCGACGGAUCGAGGCAACUAAGGUAUGUAUUUUCAUCCUUGAGACGUUGUGAGUCGUUUGGUACUAGUUUUAGGAAGUGAAACCCUCGGAAUUGCGUGAAACCCGAACUUCUAUUUUUGGUCACUGUUCAUGCGAACGUAAAAUGUUGUGUUUCAGGGAAUUUCAAGCUCACAGUGAGCUUAAGGAGGUUCUCACGAGCUUCGGGGUACUUUGUUGGUAGGAUUUGGACGUCGGAGGACUGAGAACGAAGCUUUCAAAGUUUGGCCGAAUUAUCGAACUACCUCAGGUAAAAUUUAGUGGAUUUUAGACUUUGAAAUUGGUGUAAUGUGAUUCCUCAUGCUUAUAGCUUCAUUUUGGUACCAAUUUUGUGAAAAAUGGUUGAGAAAUGAGUGAGAAACCAUAGUUGGAAACCUUACCCAGAAACCGGCGAGUCGCCGGAGAAGACAACGGCAUAUUCCGUUAAAGUUAACGGAAUAUGCUAACGCCGUUAGUUAACUCUGACUGUAACCGUUAGUUUUUGACGGAAUAUUCCGAGGAAUAUUCUUGACGCCGUUUGUGAUUCCGUUAAGGUACCUGCGCGUGGGCCGCGCGUAAGGGCACGUGGAAGGUCCAAAAAUUUUUCUAAAAAUUAUGCGACGUCGAGUAGGUCGAUGUGGUAUAUUCAUAUACCCAAAUUGAGCAUCGUAUGAGAAGUUAUUACGAAAUGUUGGUGAUGUUUUUAAAAUUAACGUUUUUAUAGUUGUUUCGCAUAUAGGUGACACCUAUCCCGAGGACGAGCGCAUCCAGGGACGCCACGGGGGUUACGACCCCUCGACUUAUCAGUGAGUGGGCAGUUUUAAUUUCGUAUUACCUAUAUACAAUUGUUUUUCCCAUAAAAUAUGUUUAUGUGAAAAAUUAUGAAUCUAUUUGCCAUGCAUGAAACUGUUGAGAUAUUUAGUUUGAUAAUUGAUAUAUAUAUAUAUAUAUAUAUGAAAUGACGCUGUAGACGCUCAGGUGAGUUUAUUUAUUUUCAGCUGAGUUAUUUAUCAUGGAUUGCAUUGAAAGCUCAUGACCUGCACCUAGGUGAUAGUGCUUAUAUUGUUAUUCACCACACCGCACGCUCGUCUUGGAUCCAAGUAGGUGGAUGUCGUACAGACCAUGUGAGGGUUUCGACAUGCUAGUCGUACAGAUCACUAGAUGUGAUUUCGACUAGUGGGUGACCUUAGUUAUGCGCGCUGAUGAUUGAUGAGAGAAGCACUAUAGCGUAUUUAUACACCUGUCAUCGUACAUACUACUAUAUGUAGUUCUGAGUGACGUGCAAAGUUGAACCGUACGGGUCACCGAGGUGAUUCCGGUUGGAUUGGAUGUUGAGCUUUAGAAUCAGCCGUACAGGACCGUUGUAGGGUCUCCGGUUGAUUUAUUAUUUCAUCUGAUUGAUAUUGAUGCAUUCUGAUUAUAUUUUGGGCAUGACAUAUCAUUUAUGAGAUGUUAUGAUGAUGAAUAUGUGCUGAGUGUUGAUGUUGCGUAUAUAUAUAUAUAUAUAUAUAUGUUUAUAUACUAUUUUCUGGGAAAGUAUACAGGUUUUUACGGUGAGGGGUUAGAAUUGUUUUUAAUGAACUGUUUUGGAAAACUAUUUGGUUUUACUGACCCACUCAUUUUGUUUUGCGCCCCUCCAGGUUCUAGUUAGCGGUUGGUGGUUCUCGAGGUCUUAUUCCGGCUUUCUGACAGACUCUUGACAUGUAGGACUCACCUGAGGGUGAUGUACUUUCAUUUUAGUCCUACUUGACUGCACUUUAACCUAUGCUCUGAAUUCACGUGUUUACUUUAUAACUCGUCCUGUUAUUCUAGUAGGUUGCUCUGCUAUAGUUUGGUUUGAAUUCCUUCUUAUGCAUGUUAUUGUUUCGCUUCCGUGUCGCACUUAUGGUUACGUCACGCUCACGUGACGGCCAGCACACCUGGAUCCUCUGGAUCGGGAUGUGUCAGUUAUAUUAUAACUUAAUGAACUCGUAAUACCACAUGUGCAUGUUGUGUAAGCAGACAAUAGUUUUCGCUUGCAUCGUUCGAAUAUUUCACUGCCACUCGUCUUUUUAUUAGGAAAGAUUUUAAAAAAAAAAAUUUCUCUCUAUUUGCACUCUUUUUUCUGUUACGACAUUUGAAUUAAAAAUCACUCUAUAACGAUUAUCUUUAUAAAAAGAUUAAUUAAGAUUGAGAUUAUUUAGGCAAUCAGUGAUAGUAAAUAGAUAAACGAUUCGUAAUUCGUGUAUCGAAUCCGUUAAUUUAUUUUUAUACAUUUAGAUAAUUAAAUGAUCUCAUAUUCGAUUAGUUUUGUACCGAAAUAAUCUUUACAUCGUAAUUUAUAAUAUAGAGUUGUUGUGCACUCUUGUCCCUAAAUUGCCACCAUAAACCCUGAUUUCAUAUCUCAAAUCCCCUCUUCUUUUUUGGCACUAAAACAAAAGCCCUAGCCCCCUCAAAAACUCGACAUUUACUGCCUCCUCCUCCGAACUUGGAAAUUUCGCUGUCUAAAUCUGCCACCCUCACACCCUCUGAGUUUAUUUUCUCUUCUAUUUCUCUGCCACAGCCGCACAUAGAUUUAGAGAGAGAAAGAUAGAGAGAGCGAGAGACGGAGAUCAAUGGAAGGAAGCUCGAUAAUACCAGAUUCAGUGAUGGAAUCAGUGAAGAAAACCUUGGGGGACGUCGAAGAACUUCGACCCCACCUCCUCCAGUUCCUCUCCCUCGCCGACGCCGACGUCCUCGCCGAAAUGCCGCCGCUCGAGCGCGCCCACUCGCUGCUUAUGCUCUCCAAGGCCACCACCCUCCUUUUUGCCUGUAAGUCUUCGCUUUCCUUCACUCAAUUUUCAGUUAAUUCCGAUUUGAUUGAGGUUUUUGGGUAACCCAGUUCGAAUUUUAGUUGAUUUUUUGUACUUUUUGGUUUUACAGUGAGGCUGAGGUGCACUGGAGUAAACCCAUUUAACCAUCCAGUCAAAACGGAGUUCGUAAGUUUGCUAAUAUUUGUAUAUUUUUUUAAUCAAAUUCUUGAAAUUUAUCGAAUUUAUGUGGAUAUUGUUUCUGGGUUUAUGCAUGUCUGUGUGUGUGAGUUCAUGGUUUUUGAGAUUAUCGGAUUUGCGUAACUGUUUGAAUUGGGUGAAGUUGAAUGCUUUUCUGUUUUUGUUGUCUCAUUUAUGUAGGAUAGAUUAAAAUUGUAUGAGGAGAAGCUUGAGAAGUUGGUGGAUUUGAGUAAAGGUACAUGCUCUUCUUUUGGAAGUGCCAUUAUUGAUGGAUCGAUUUGUAUAUUGUAGUAUCGAGAUAUGCUAAGCGCAGUCGCCUGCGCCAAGUGAGUUACCGUUAGUAAUUGAUUUGGGGUGCUGUCAUUCGAACUCAGUGUUGUGUGGGAGACUGUGAUUAGCAUUUUCCUUGUUUUCCGUCUGUGACUGCGGGCUAUAGAUUGAGGUGCUGCCAUUCGCGCACGUGUCAUGUGGGCGGCUGUGCUUAGUGUUCUCCUUGUUGUCUCAAACAAUGCCGCAACCAAGAAGGACAUUACAGAUUAUUGCUACACAUGACAUAUAUCCUAGAUAUCGUGUUUCAUGCGUUUUACAUAUUGAAUUGUUUGCAAAUUUCCAUUUUUACUUAUGAUUGUUUGACUGGUGGGUUGUUUAUAUUCUUAUUGACAAUUUGAUUUUGUUCAAGCACCCUUGCGACCAUCCACUACUUUAAAUCAUCAGGCAGCUACCCGUUUCAUCGAGCAUUCUUUGCCCGACCUCACCCCUGGUAAGUUGGUCAUUUACCUUUUAUGUCAGUAUAGUCACUUUUUAAACACCUUGAUAUCAUUCCACUCAAUAAUAGCUGAUUUUGUUCAGAUCAGAGGCAAAGUAUGAGAGCCAUUAGCAAAGGAGAUGGGCCAACCAUGAAGUAUCUAGAAAGGAAUGCACCAAAGAAAAGGAAAUAUCAAUCUCCUAAUAAACAAUCAGUUCAAUCUGCUGCCAAGGAAUUCCUUGAGAAAGCAGCACGAGAGAUACUUGGUGAUAAUGAAGGUGGUAUGAAGGGACCUAUACAGAUCAGUUCAGAUGAAGAGGACGUAUCCAUGAGCUGAUUCCUGAUUUUCCCGGUAGAACUCUUUUCUUAACUCUUAUUUCACGUUAUGGUUUUAUUUCCUCGGUUAUUUCGGCUGUUUCAAGUUCAUUAUGGUCAUCUGGCUUUCAAUAUUACAGAGUCAUGUGCCCGUGUCAGUGUUAUUGGACAUUGGUAUGGCAAUACUUGUGCUACUUGUCUAAAACCUGUAUAGACGUUGCUCGGUCAAAAUGGGAAGACCAAGGAUUUGAUAUAUCCAUAAAUUGUUACGUAUAACUGAUAAGAUUUCGUUAUUGAUGAUUGAGUUGCUAAUAAUUGUAGUUGCCAUGUUUGGAAUAACUAUAAUUACAAGUAAAUUUGUUAUUGCUACCAAUGCAAGUCAUGUUUUGUUAUUAACCACUUAAAUAGUAUUGCUAUCCUUCCACACCUAAUCUUCUGAUUUUGAUGAUCGGUGCAAUUUGGGGGGAUUACAAAUCACUCUUUAUCACCAAUGGGAAUUUAAUAAUUCAUAGCCGAUCUGGAAAUGCAAGUGCUAUGCUUAUUGAAAGUCUAUGAACUUUAAGGGAAACUUAUUCCCACGGGGACUCCCCAUAUGGGAUAUAAAACUAUUGAUCACAGGCAGUACCACAAUCUAAAUAUGUAGGUUUAGGUAUGAAUGAGUUGUUGCUUUGUAAUCAUAUAAAAUUGUUAGCAUUUACAAUAUGAUAUGUGAGCCAUAUCCAAAUAUUCGUAUGAAAGUGAAUCUACUCUACGACUAGAUUUGCCGUAGUUAUGAGUAUUUAUAACUAGGACUGUGGGACACACACAUGUUUUUGAAGUGAUUGAUGUAUAAGAUGGUGUUUGAGACAUGUCCUACCAUCUAUUACGAUCAGAUGGAUCUAUUUCUCAAUCUUUCUGACUUGCUCCUAUGGAACCAAGGUCGAAAAGAUUGAGAAAAAAUCACCUUGAUUUGGAUUGUGAAAAUAGAUGUGUCGAUGCACAUAAACACACACUUGAAAUCAGGUUUUCCCUUAAUUCUGGAGAAGUAAGGAAUCAAGGCACAUCUUUUAAUCCUACUUAAAACUCACUAAUCAGAAUUGCUGAUCUUGCCCUCACGUUUCCAGUUAGGCCAUCGCAUAUGAAUCGUUGUGAACUGCUUGUAAAAGCAAAUUAUCUUAAAUCUUUUUGUUCCUUUAUACCAAGUUUGAAGAGAUUUAAGUUUCAACUUCUUUUGACCAUCUUCUUUCUUAUCUUACUUUCACAGGGUUGCGUUGCGGAGACCAGAUUUGCUCUCGUUUUGGAAUGAUCCGUCAUCCGUCCUCUCUGUAGUUCCUUUGCGUUUUCUUUCUUUUUCACAGUGCAAGUUUUUGUGUUGUUACCUUUUGAUAAGUAGAAAUGUAGUUGUAAUUUACCAGACGAAUGUAUAAGCAUCUUAUUAUGUCUUAAACGGGAAGGUGUUGCUUGGAGGAAUGUGUAAUCCAUAUACUGUCUUAUAUAUCAUGACUGCAACUCUCUGGAUCAAAUUUUGAAGACAAUUAGAAUAAUAUAUAAUAUGACUGGCAAUGCUGUGAUGAUAUUUGUACCACUUUUGUACUGUUGAUUAAGAGCUCGUCUGGAAGUGUUUUUAAAAUGAUUAAAAGAGUUUUUAGAGCAAAAUUUUUUGGGUUUUAAAAGCACUUGCGGUUCUUUUUAAGGAUUGACUUGUGUUUUUACUAAGAAUUGGUUUUAAAAAUUAAAAGCACAUUUAAUCAUUAACAAAAAUGUUAUAAGCCGUGAAGAAGUCUUAUCAUUUAUUGAGAAAUUAUAAAAUCUUCUUUAUUAAAAUUUGAAGCUGAAAAUAGAAAAAUCAAUCAUAAAUUUCAAAGUAACAUGCAAGACUAACCUACAAAAACGAAACGGUUCCUCCGUAACCAGUCAUUCAUAAUAUCAACGUUUGGAAAUUUUCCAAAAAGCUAAUCGUAAGUUCUUCUCUUUAUGACCCAAAACUUAGCCGGAAUGAACAUUCGUCGACUUUGAACAUCUUCGGAUUAUUCCGCAUGAAAAUAUUACCAAAAUGGGGUUUUAUGAUGAAUUUUGUUGAACUAGGCAAAACCGAUUAAAAAUCGAGAGUAAAUAGUUAGUAGUUUUUGUGCAAGAAGAAACUGCUAAGAUUUCGCAAGGUAUUUUGUGUGCACACUAAGAAAAAGUUUUUAUGUCAUUUGAAACCCAUCUUUGUUGUAAAAUUGUGAGGAUGAAUGAAUGAAUGCGCACAGUAAGGGAGACUUGACAAUAGUAGGGUAAUAGUUGUUGUGUAAUGCUUUCAAAAAGAGCAAUCAUUUUGUUUGUUUGGUUUGUCACAUAUGUUGUUCUAUAUAAAGAGCAUUCCGUGUGUGAUCACAAUACACACAACAAAGGAAAAGAAAAGAACUAAAAGCAAUAAUAUCAGUAUCCAUCCCUUCCUCUUUUUACCUGUAAUUCUUUUGUGUUGUAGUUACGAAACUAAACAGUGUGAUAUUUUACAUCUACUUUGCUCCUGUCCCUAGCAAAUAUUAUCGCUUUAACUUUUGCUUAUUUAUAACAGAAGAGGAUCCUCGAGCUCAAGAUGGAGAUCCUCCUGACCACGAAAUACUAGCCGUUCAAAUUUAAUCCAACAACUCCAAACAGGAGGACCCUCUAAAAGUUAUAAUAAUUGCAACCGUUGAAUUCAAUUUGAACGACCUGAAUUUCGUGAUCAGGAGAAUCCCCAUCCUGAGCUCAGGAGAGGAUCCUCUUCCAUUUAUAUAGUUGAACAGACCCUUUCAUUAAAAAAAAUAAAAAUAAAAAUAAAAUUACCAAAGUUUUGUUCAAAAAGAUCCACCCUAUCCAAAAACAGAGAGACAGCGCGAGAGAGUGGCAGUGAAUUACACCCUCUUCCUUCCUUCUGUAAACGACAACUUGUGCUUUUUCGCUUCUUCUAUCUUCUUCCUCUGUCUCUCCCUCACUCCGUCAAUGGCGUCGACGAGUGCUUUAAGCUCCCGGCUUUCCAACUUCCACCGCCUCACCGACUCCCAGGAGCACCUCUCUUUCCGUAAGCUACCUCUCUCUCCCUCUCGAUACGUUUUGGCUUAGUACCAGUAGCAAUCCUUUCAAUUUUGUAUGCAAAUAUGUCUCGAAUUGCAUAGAAAAAUUAUGGGUUUUUGGAAACAAGAUAGAACGGAGAUUGAGUUCCUUCUUAUACCAAUUUUAUGCCCUUACUAGCAAACACUUUAGGAAGAAUCGUAGCUUUGGCACAGUGAGAAAUUAUGGUUGGCAAGUUGGACCAUAUUCUCGGCAUUGAAAUUUGAUGCCACCUAGCUGAGCUAGAUUGUUUAGGAUGUCAAACUAGAUGGUGGGCUUUGAAAAUUUAUGUUCUUUAAUGUUUGCGAAUCUCCGAAAUGGAUGCUCAAUCUGUUAAUCAUUGAUUUGUUUUGCAAAAAUGUUUUGCCUAAUCUGCCGUGAGACGGGGUUAUUGUGUAAUUUCUGAUGACAAAUCGAGCUUACUGCUUUUUCUGAUUAUAGGUGAAGUAGUAAACUCACAUCCAGCAUGUCCUUCAAUUGUUUCUUGGCCUGGUGUUAAGACCAGGAGGGCGCCCCGUUCCUCCCGUGUGUAUGGCUUAUUUGGAGGAGGAAAAAAGGAUAACGCUGAAAAGGGUGAUGAUGCAGCUUCAAAGGUUUAGCAUUUUCCCUCUUGUAGUUUGUUUUUCCAUCUUUCUGGAUCUUGUCUUGGGUAGACGAAGUUUGUAUUGAUCGUUAGAAUUGCUAUCUACUGAAUUUAUAUACCCGUUAAUCCUUCUGACUGGUUAAAAUAUCGGUAUUGGUGGAAAUAACGAUAUGAAAAUUUGUGGAAAUAUCAAUGGAUAUAUCGAUAUCGCUUGCUUUCGAUGGAAAUGAUGAAAAAUUGCUCAAAAACGUGGAAAUUUAAAAUGAAAUUUUGGGGAAUGUCAUACACUGGUAUAGACAUAAGAGUUUCUCCAAUAUUUAACUGAUAUGUCGGAAAUAUCGAUGAAUUAUAUUGAUUUUAGUCAAAAUUUAAGAGUUUCUCCGAUAUAGGGUGAAGUUUAGACUUCAUCACCCUCUUCCCAUAUCUUUCUCUAAUUUUUCAAUAUUUCCAUAGAAAUUUCAAUGGUAUCGAAGAAAUUUCAAACAUUGAUCUUUCUCAUAAUCUUUUUUUUGCGCCUUUGUAUUCCUCUGUUAAGUAUGUCAAGUCAAUACAAACUCGGUUAAAAUGAAAGGGGAUAGCUAGUUUUAACUUUUACAUGCUUCAUAUGUGGACAUGAAAUCAAAUUUAUAUGCUUCAUGCACUCUUAGAUUGCAGGGUUUCGUAGCCCUUCCAUUUGUAGGCUAAGUAGCUUUAUGCAGCGCUAGGCCCAUCAGAUUCUGACAUUAGACUGCCAACUGUAAUUUAGUCAAACAUGGUCCAGCUAUGUUUUAUUAUGGAUCAUUAUAUCUUGCUCAUUCAAUUGGUGGCAGGAUUUGUUCAGGAUAAGGGGCAAUGGGAUGGGCGUAAAUUGGGGUUGCUAGCUAUAAUUAUAGUCGAACUAUAAGGUUGCUAUGCUGAUAGUGUUAUCAUCAUUUGCUUUGUCUUGUGUAAUGGUGACAUUGCAAGCUUGAGGUCAUAUAUCACGGUGGCCACUUUGGUUUACUAGAAUAUAUGCUGAUAGUGACUUCAUGUCGUUGCUAGCAUAAUUGUCACUAUGAUCCUAUGUUGUUUUCUGUUACAGUAUCCUGAAUCUUUCUUGGUCAACGUGGAGCUAGUCCAGCAGUUUUAAGAAUAGAAACCUUGAUUUAAAUAUUAAGUUGAUGUACUGUUAUGUCUGCUCACUUGUGAUGCAGGCUGGAAUAUUCGGUAAUAUGCAAAAUCUGUAUGAAACAGUUAAGAAAGCUCAAAAUGUAGUACAAGUUGAAGCAGUGCGUGUGCAGAAAGAGCUUGCUGCGUAUGUUCUUAAAGCUCUAUCCAAUUUAAUCUGAUACCCAUAAUCCUUUCAGUGGUAUGAUUAUUUAUCUCUUCAUUCUUUCUUUCCGUUUUUUCAGGGCAGAGUUUGAUGGUUACUGUGAAGGUGAGAUAAUAAAGGUAAGAAUGAUUCACUCAACAUUUGAUAUUUGUUCGGUUUGGGAAUCUAAGCUGGUUUGCUUGUGUCGGACUGGUAUUUUAACUCACUUUCAUAGUAUCAAGUGCGAAGACACUUUCGCUAGAAAAACUUUUACUGACCUACACAGAUAACUCUGAGUUUUUCCAAUCAGUACAUUUUAGUUUUAUCAGCUUGGCUGUUAGUUACAUGGAACCUCCGUCUUCUCUUCCCCUUUGCAUAUAUAUACUCUUGUCUCUGUUGCUCUUCGAUUUGACAAUCCACUGAUCUCUAAUUUUCCCCUCUAUUUUUUUGUCGAACAUCUCUGAUUUUCCCCUAGGUAACCCUUUCUGGUAACCAGCAACCCGUACGCACUGAGAUAACCGAGGCUGCUAUGGAACUAGGAGCAGAAGUAAGUCAAGAAAACUAUUUUUGCCUUUCCCAUUCGCCGGAAUGAGUUUCUCCUUAGGAUAGAUGUGAUUUCUUUUCCUUUUUCUUUCACGAUGCAGAAAGUCUCUGAAUUGGUCACAGAAGCAUACAAGGAUGCGCAUCAGAAGAGUGUCAUGGUGAGAACGCUGUCUCGUGUUUUUAUGUUUCACGGACUGAUUGAUAAAAGUCGGCUUCUUUAACUGAUAGUAUUCGUGUGCACUUCCCAUCUUCAGGCCAUGAAGGAGAGAAUGAGCAACCUUGCCCAGAGUUUAGGAAUGCCACCAGGCCUGGGAGAAUUGAAAUGAUGAGUUACCGGCGCAUCUCUAUGACACUCAACUGUCCUAUCUUGUAAUCUCUAUGUUGAAUCCUUUUUUCUUCAUACCUUUAAGUUCGAAUUCAAGGAAAAAUCGUUCAUUGCUUUGUAACGGAAGAUUCAAAAUUUUCAAUGAGGUCGAGUUUCAAGAUUUCAGCUAAGGUUGUUUUCACUUUCAAGUUAUUGUUUCUCCGUUGUUCAACUUAAAAUUUGAGGAUUUUGAUUUCCGACUUUUCAAUUUUUCGUUUUUUUCAACUUAAAUCACUUCAAAGUUUUGUUUAUUCUCCUUCAUAUCUCGCUAUCCUCUUACCACCCUUUCUCAUCCUCUUUUCCACCAUGUACUUUUCUUUUUAUCCUAGCAUAAAAGAUAAAAAUUAAAAAUGAUAUAAUUAAAAACACCAUACCUGCUGACCAUUUUUUUUGACUCGGGGUCGGUGGCAGCUCUUUCCCCAUUCUCCUAACCUUUCUCUUUUCUCUUCUUAGAUCAUCUUCAAUGGUUGGGCUAAAAGCCAAAUAUUUUAGCCCGAAAAAUAUAGCUUUUAGCCCAAAAACAGUUGUUUUGCUCCAACCGUUCUGGCCUAAAAUUUUAGCCCGGAAUUAUUAAAAAAUGAACGUAGGCUAUUUUUUUCUAAAAAUAAAAUUUAAUAAAUAAAUAAAUAUGUAGACUAUCGUAAAUUAAUUUUAUGAACAUUUUAAUCUAAAAAAAUUUAAAUUCCAAUAAAUAUUGAAAAAUUACUAAAUUUUCCACAAAGCAAGCCUUCAACUUUCACCAAUCUUUCAACCCUGGGCUAACUUUCAAUUCACCAACCGUUCAACACCAAACUGUCAACUUUCACCAACCGUUCAUAGGUAUUUAUAGAGUUUUUUUGAUGAAUUUUGAGUUAAAUAAUUUUUUUUAAUUAUUUUAGCCGUUGGAUUUAAAUUUGGGCCGUUAGAUUUUUUUUGUACCGUUAGAUUUGAUUAUAUUCAAUCUCAGCCGUUAGAUUCAAUGUAUUUUAAAAUAACAUAUUAUAAAAAAAUGAAAUUUGAAUCUGGACCGUUGGAUCAACCAACGGUUCUUAAAUCACAGCCCUUGGAUGUAAUUAUAGCCGUGGGGAGCCCAAGUGGGUGGCCGACACACGACCUAACAAAGGGGCCCACUCUGUCGGGAAACCCUUGUAGGUGCACGCGUGGGGCGCGUUGGAGCGUGGACGGGCUGAGACUGGCCCAAUUGCCAACGAGUCCACUUGCACAGGGAGGAAUUUGGUGGGGUAUUUGGCCCAGCUUUAGCAUUUGGCUUUUAGCCCAAUGUUUUAGCUUGGGUUGGAGAGUGUUUAGGGGGGGGAAUUUGGGGGAAAAUUUGGCAUUUAGCCCACUAUUGGAGUUGGUCUUAUGGAUUACCAUAGUUUUAUUUUUCGUUUUAGUUUUAUUUUUCGUUUUAAUAUUUCCGUCUAUAGUGCCUCCUUAUUGAAGGUUACCUGUGAGUAUCUCUUAUCGGGUUCUCCUGAGUCUACUUAGUCGUUUAUGGUGAUUUUGCUAACGGUGUUGAGCACAAAAUUCAUUUUGGUAUGGACAUUCCUCAUCAUUUCCUCUUCAAAGCCAACGUUGCUCAUUAUCAAAGAGUUGGAUACUUUUUGUGCUCACGAUUUCUGUUCCAAUUUUGGUUUUUUCAAGAUACUUCCCUUUGCUUAUUAGACACGCGUCGCCUUAAAAUCGACCGAUACUGUGAGAAUUAGGCCAAGUUGGCGUUUGUAUUAGUGAAGUUUAUCGAAUUCAAGACCUCUUGGAUUUUAUUCAUAAUGUUCUAAUUAAUGUUUGUAUCAGUUUUUAGUAUUAUAAUAAAACAACUAUCGUUUUGUCUGAAAAAAUAAAAGAAGAAUAAGGCUUUUAUAUUUAGAAAAUGAAUAUAUUGAUAUUAUGACAUUCGAAAUAGAAUUACAUAAUAUCUCGUCUCAUAUAUAUAAAAAAUAAAGAAAUAAAGAAAUAAUUAUCCCCCACUCUCAAAACAAAAACCCAGAAAGAUAACAACCACAGUUCAAAAAAUCUCCCCCUCUCUAAAACCACAGAGAAAACACUCCCAAUGCCACCACAGUCAGAACACCACCCUUCAAGCUUGUAGCGCCGCUUGUCGGAGCAAUAGCAGGACCGUCGACCUCCCCUGCCGGAGAAGGAGCGGGAGAAAUACCGAGGUGCUUCCUUGGAGUCAUAACCACCAACACCAGUUUCUGCCCCUUCUCGCAGUGUCCCUUGGUUCCGCUGAUGAAGUAGUAAGGCCCUGGCUGGUCAAGGUGGAGCUUUGUUUCGCCGUCCUUGAGCUGCUCAAUUGGGUUUGACGCAUUGCAGUUUCCGUAGUCUUCUUUCGUCACUCGCAAGACUGAGUCUUUGGCGCUGUCGUACUUCCACACUGCAAAAAAAAAAUGACAGAAACACACAAAAUUAGCAAUGUGCGAAAGAGAACUUAAAAAAUGGAAAAUCCUAGAUGGGAGUUGAAAUGGGGAUUUUACCAAGAGUGUCGCCGAUGCGAAAGCGGGUGCUUUCGGCCCAUUUGUUGAGGGAUUGGGAUUCAGAGCCGACUGCCCAUGAGCCAUUCUUGCCACCGACGGUGAUCUCUCUGGCUUCUGAGAAGCUGAAGAGUAGGAAGACGACGAGAAGAGAGGAGUAUGACAGAGCUUUUGAGGAUGAAAAGCCAGCCAUUCGAAAAUUUUAGAGAGCGAGUAGAGAGUGUUGGGGGAUUUUGAAUAAUUUGAGAGAGAGAGAGAGAGAGAGAGAGAGAGAGAGAGAGAGAGAGAGAGAGAGAGAGGAUUUGAGUUGUGGUGGCUAUGGGGUCUCAGCUGUGAUGUAUAUAUAGUGUGGGGAGAAAACUUAGCCGUUGUGGGGAUUAGGGAAAAGGUUAAAGCAACGGGAGAAAAAACGUUAAUGGCGGAGCAGAAAACGUUUCUUGCAACGGUCACAAAAGCAUGGAAAGACGAGAACACCUGGUUGCAGGGCUUGGGCCCUGUGAGUGAGAGUGCACACUAGCUGGUUUCGAAACGCUUCAAACCGUUGUCGUUUUAGAAGGUGGGGUUAAACUGGACCAGUACUACGGUAUGGAUGACGAAUUCGAUACCAAAUUAAGUUAUUAUUAUGUGGUUUAGCCAAACUCUCCCCUCCCUUAAUAUAAAAUAUAUAUUUGUACUGAAAAAAUAAAAUAGGAGAACAAAAGAAAAGAAAAAAUAAAUUAUUUGGUCCCUAGCUUAGUGGUUUUGUAGUUGUAGUUCAAUUACUUGCAGACUUGUAGUUGUAAUUUAGUGAGGAUAAUACUUGCACUACAUACCCUCCGUAAUGUAUCUUGAUUGUAUAAAAUUAACGAUUUGAACCUUUCAAUUUAUUCUUUAUUUUUGAAAUCACUUCUACAAAGAAUAAUUUCAAUAAGAAAUCAUUUAGUCAUUCAAAUGUAUAAUACAAAUCGACGGUGUAGGUACCAAGAAACCUAUUCAUGAGGAACUGUCCAUUUAUUUGAUAUGUUUGGAUGGUAAAACGGCCUCCAGUUUGAAUGAUUUUCUGUAGGAGUAGUGAUUUUCAAAUGAAGGUUAUAAAUUGAAUAGUUUCGAUUGUUGAUUUUAUUCGGUCAAGAUACGUAUUUGCGAAUGGGAUAUAUAUGUGCAUCCCCACAUUGAGGUUGCAAAUAUUAUGCUUCAGUGAUAUAUUUGCUCGAUUUAUUUUUUCUUUUAAGAAACGUAAAAGUUUUCGCACGUCGGACGCCUGUUAGUUAAUCAUAAAAUAACUUUAUGAUUUCAAAACUUUAGAAUUUAAACAAAAAUCAUCUAAUAACUUUAUUUAAUGAUAAGGACAAGAGAAAUAAAAAAUAAACAAAAAGCGCGUGCAUGAUACGUAGGAGUUACUGUAGCAGAUUGACUAGCAACCGUAUGCAAUGAAGAAUUAUUGACUUCGUAUUAUAUCCAAUUCCCAAACAAAAAUCCACCCCACGCACACCUCGACCAUCGCUUCCACUCCCUCUACGUUUCCUUCCACCUACAGAAUCCAUAUAAUAUGAUCAUGUGAAAUUCAAGAAACCUUCUUCAAAUAUCCAGUAAAACUUACCAUCCUUAUCUUGCAAACGAAUCUUAGGAUAGAAAUUUUAACAAGGGAAACUUACGAAGUGUUUGAUCAAAACUUGAACUUUGGGCUCAAGAAAGGGGCUGGCCCAAAAGGAUGCCUAAAGGAAGAGUCGGCCGAAGCCCAGCAAAUUGGCCAAAGCCCAGCCGAAACCCAGAAAACCAGAAAAGGGCUUUUCUGACUUGGUGCAGCUCAUGAAGACCACUUGUUCACCUACCCAAAGGCCAAGUGGUAUAGACUGACCAGCUAUACAGCCCAUAAAGUACUUUAUAGUGGCAGAACAAGUAAAAUAGUUGAUGAGUCAUUGCCUUUCAAGUUGCAUUUGGGCAAGGCUGCUGCUACAAGAAGCAAAUCUAGGUUGUCUAUAAAAGAAGAAAGAGAAAUCAGGAAUAAGGACACUCAAUCAAACAAACAAACAAAAGCACAAACUCUGCUCAAAAGCCAGAUUUGCCUUUAAAACGAAGCUGUAGUCAGCCCAAGCCUUCAUCCCUAUCGGGACAAGCCUUCACUCAAACCUUUGUAAUAGCUUUGCUACCUUGUUCAAAUUUGUUGUAGUAUCGAUUCAUCUCUGUAAACUCAUCUCCUCCCUCUAAAUCUCUCAGACCCUCGAUAAGUCACAAAGAUAGGGACCAGCAAGACGAUCAGACGAUCAGGCUUGCCCGACAAGGUUAAACCUUGCCUGCCCUUCUUUGGUUUUUGACUUUUCAUUCAUUAGCCUAGCAAUAUGUUGUAUACUUCCAAUUGUAUUCAAGUUAUUUCUAGUAAGAUGACUAUUAAAAGAAUCUCUCAGUGCUUAGAUCUGAUUUGAAUAAACCUUCAUUGUUCAAAUUAGAUCUAAGUUCUAAGCCCUCGGGCAUGUAAUUUUGAUCAGUUAAAAGUCCUUGGCCUCAAGGCAUAAAAAAGAAUCUUAUGUGGACUUAACCCAUCCACGACAGUCCUUGAUAAACAAGAAGUCCGAAGUUACUUGGGGCGCAAGUAAUCGACCUACCCCUUAGUUUAUUUCUAUUAUAUUAUGAUUAUCAUAGAACGCUUAAGCAUGGAAUGAAUUCUGAUAGGAAGCCUCAAGGUCUACACCUAAGGCCCCACAAAGGCACCUAUUUGGAUUCAUUCCGUUCUGCGGUCUAGAAUGUUUGAGUAUAAAGAACGAAUUCUGAUAGGGAGCCUCAAGGCCUACCCCUAAGGCCCCACAAAGGCACCUAUUUGGGUUUGUUCUAUCUCUCGGAUUCGGGUAAUCAGAAGUAUAAUAGUUAUAAGACUCCUGCAGUCAAUGGAACGAAUAUUACAUGUUCAAGCACUGGUUUAGUUAUUGAUGGGAAGCCUCAAGGCCUACACCUAAGGCCCCACAAAGACACCUGUCAUAACUAACACGGUUUCUCGGGCAUAUAUAUAUACACACAACUAAAAAUCGACAUCCAUUUCACAUCUGCCAUGCUAAAGAUGGCAGUGGCACGCCUGAGUACUUAGAAUUUAAUCUUGAUUGUGAGCCUCAAAGGCCUACAUCUAAGGCCCCACAAAGGCACCUCUCAAAGUUAACACUGUCAUUCUCUUCCAGCCUUGCCCGACGAGUCUUGCCCGACGAAGCCCGACAGCAGCCCUCAACCGGCGCCAACCUCCCGGGGAGCUGUGCGCUCGUCGGCCAGGAAGCAUCCCCGGCGGAAAUUCCUGACGCGAACACGAAGAGAUACAAAGAAAAUUAAGUAAUUAGUGUAGAAAGUUAAGAAAUUGAAGAGAUACAGAGAAAAUUUGAUAAGUAUUGAAGAAAAUUAGAAGAAGAAAAUGUGUUUGGAAGGUGAGAAUGUGCCAAGAAUAUUCAAGAAAAGAGAGAAGAAUGUAGUAUUGUUAAGUUUUAUAAACAGUGUAGUACCAUUAAGUUUCAUAAACAGUGUAGUAAGUUUCAUAAACAGUGUCGUAAGUUUUUAUAAACAGUGUCGUAAGUUUCAUAAACAAUGUUGUAAAUUUCAUAAAUAGUGUAGUACCGUUAAGUUUCAUAAACAGUGUAGAAAGUUUCAUAAAUAGUUUGUGUAAGGAUGCGUGGGUCCACGAGUCAGAUAAUUUUUUAAUAUUAAAAUUAUGUCUUUUUUAUUAAAAUUUAAGUUCUUUUGUCAUUUUUAUUAAAGCUUAAGCGUUUUUCAUUAAAUUUAAGUAUUUUUUAAUUAAAUAAAGUUAUAGCAUGGUAUUUUAUUAAAAUAAACUUAGCCCAAGCUUUUUUUAUGAAAGUUCUGUAAUUUUUCUUUUUAUAGAGAAUCACACACUAUGAAGAUAAUUAUCAGCUAAAAAUACCGUUACGAUGAUAUUUUUGCUAUAAAUAAGAUAACAUAUCAUGUUCCAACUUGGUUAAUAUAGAAUGUGCCUAUUCAAGCCACAUCGGGGUGGUUUGACAAAUUUGUAGACAAAAUCAGCGAAAAUGGAUUUAUGUGUUAUGGGCACGUAAAUUAGGGUUUUAGGUUGGCAAUAUGCAUUUCAUGAGAUAAGGUUUAGAUUCAUGCCAAAGUUUGGAGCCAAGGUGAUCUUUUUCAAAUGAACUAACUAGUUUCAACACAGUAAGGUUUUAGUUUUUCCACAUCACAUUCCAUCCUAAUGUUUUGUAAUUGUAUAUACCUAAACCUUGCACGAACCGGGUACGUACGUGUCGAGUGACUGCUGCACUUGGUGCCAUGCAACUUAAAACGUACGUGUCGACAAGCCUCUCCUUUCACCGUCUCGGCCCCAAAACAAAAAUAUAAGAUAUACAGAUCAGAGAGAGGUAGACUGUGGAUCAAGAAGAAUUGAAGAUAGGAGAAAAAAAUGGAAGAUGCACCAAAGGGCAUCCCCCUCCCGGGGCUGCGAGGAGUGGCCUUUUCUUCGGCCUGACCACUACCACCAUGGCCAUCACUGCCGCUGUUAUCGCCGGUGGCGUUGGCUAUACCCUUUAUGUUAAGAGAAAUUCAGAGGCAUAUCCUCGAAGGGUUGCAGACCCACCACCCACAGCUAGGGUUGACCCUGACAUACUCGUUUAUUUAUUUUUUAUUUUUUUGUAGAGAGAUCUUUCUUCAUGGUUUAUGUAUAAGAAAUUGUAGCAAUAGUCAACUUUAACUUCAAUUAAGUUAUGGUCUCUUAACUAAAAAUUCAAUUAAAUUGGAAUUAUGUCUUUUAAUUAAAAAUGGAAAAUUUUAUUUAAAUUCAUCUAACCUAUUUCUACACCCAACUUACUCUUUGCACCCAUUUGAUUUUUAACUAAACUAUUAAUAUCUCUUUAAACUCAAAUUUAAUACCUAAUAUACCCUCAUAAACCCAAUUCAAUAUGUGAAUUUAUUUUUACACCCAUUUAAUUUUUAGAAGCUAAAUUUGAAUAAUCAUGCGCUUUAUGGCGGUGCUGAGAAAGGCACUAUUGGAACAUGAUAUAAAGGCUAGGAUUAUGGAUUAUUUGAACAUUCAUGAGAAUGAGUAUGGUCUUGUGUUUACUGUGAGUAGAGGUUCUGCAUUUACACUAGUACAAAAACAUGUUUGCGCGACGAAAACUUGCGCGACGCAUAAAAUUACGUCGCGCAAAGCCGUUUUGCGCGACGUAGGUGUACUUACGUUGCGCAAAACGGCUUUGCGUGACGUUAGUUUGCACGACGAAGGACUACGUCACGCAAAGCCGUUUUGCGCGACGUAGUCCUUCGUCGUGCAAACUUUUGGCGCCAAACCCUAAGAAAUUACCGCUUUUUCCCACCUUUGCGCGACGUAGGUUUACGUACGUCGCGCAAAGCCGUUUUGCGCGACGUAGUCCUUCGUCGCGCAAACUUUUGGCGCCAAACCCUAAGAAUUUACCGCUUUUUUCCACCUUUGCGCGACGCAUGCCCACCUACGUCGCGCAAAGUUGUUUUGCGCGACGUAGGUGGGCAUGCGUCGCGCAAAGUCACCAACUUUUUUUUAUAAGAUUGUUCCUACCAAGCUCUUCAUUUUGCCCUUCACCCUCACUAGUUUUAAAUGCAGGCACCCCGUCAUUGCCAAAAGUGUCAUCCCUUGAAGGAUCAACCUGACUGGUCUGAAAAAAUAAAUCCAAGCUAAUCCAAGUUUUAUUUUGUACUUAUAACACUUAAGAAAUUUAAUGAUAUAUAUGUAAAAAAAAAAAUUAUAUAUUUACUAAGUUGAUUUUAAUUUAUUUAUUUUGUACUUAUAACACUUAAAAAAUUAUUGUGAGUUUUUGUUAGAAAAAUAUAUUAUUGUGGGGUUUAUGUAAAAUUAAUUUGAAUUUGAAAGAAGUAAAGUCACAUUUUUAGUAAUUUUUAUAAUAUUAAAAAAAAAAAACCUUGUACGACGUCUUAAUGUAGUCAACGCGCAAAACUACUUUGCGCGACCUCAAUUUGUAUACCUACGUCGCGCCUGAUGUGAUAAUUUUGGCACUCCAAUAGUGAAAAAUAGGCGUAUCUCAAUAAAACGUUUCGUACAAUGCGUAUCUCAAUAAAACGUUAGAUUCCCUAACACUUUGAUUUUAUUUAUACUUUCAUCAAGUAUAACAUAAGAUUUUGUGGUAUCCACUUGUGUAAAUAUUUUAAAUUGACAAUCGAAUUAGUUCCUUGCAUUCAUAUAGGAUCCAGGAGUGUAGCUGUAAAAAUCAUCAAAAUCGAAGUUAAAAUAACCGUUAAAUUGUGAUUUUUUCGUUUAUAACCGUCGAAAAGUUUUGUCCCGUUACAUGAUCUCUGAAGGUUUGUUUUUUGUGAUUUUUUUCGUAUGCGAUCUCGAUGCAUAUACAAACAAGUUUGACGGUUGGAUCGUUCAAACUAGUUUCGUACAAUGCGUAUCUCAAUAAAACGUUAGAUUCCCUAACACUUCGAUUUUAUUUAUACUUUCAUCAAGUAUAACAUAAGAUUUUGUGGUAUCCACUUGUGUAAAUAUUUUAAAUUGACAAUCGAAUUAGUUCCUUGUAUUCAUAUAGGAUCCAGGAGUGUAGCUAUAAAAAAUCAUCAAAAUCGGAGUUAAAAUAACCGUUAAAUUGUGAUUUUUUCGUUAUAACCGUCGAAAAGUUUUGUCCCGUUACAUGAUCUCUGAAGGUUUUUUUUUUGCGAUUUUUUGCGUAUGCGAUCUCGAUGCAUAUACAAACAAGUUUGACGGUUAGAUCGUUCAAACUAGUUUCGUACAAUGCGUAUCUCAAUAAAACGUUAGAUUCCCUAACACUUCGAUUUUUUUUAUACUUUCAUCAAGUAUAACAUAAGAUUUUGUGGUAUCCACUUGUGUAAAUAUUUUAAAUUGACAAUCGAAUUAGUUCCUUGUAUUCAUAUAGGAUCCAGGAGUGUAGCUGUAAAAAAUCAUCAAAAUCGGAGUUAAAAUAACUGUUAAAUUGUGAUUUUUUCGUUUAUAACCGUCGAAAAGUUUUGUCCCAUUACUUGAUCUCUGAACCUUUUUUUUUUCGAUUUUUUGUAUAUGUGAUCUCGAAGCAUAUACAAACAAGUUUGACAGUUGGAUCGUUGAAAUUAGUUUCGUACAAUGCGUAUCGCAUCAAGUUAAAUGGUAUAUAUAUUUAUUAAGUAAAUUUAAAUUUAAAAUUUUUUUACGUAUAACACUUAAGAAAUUAAAUGAUAUGUAUAUUUAUUAAGUAGCUACCAAUUUAUUAGUCAGGUUUUUAUUAGAAAAAUAUAUUAUUGUGAGUUUUAUGUAAAAAAAAAAAUUAAAAUGAGUAAAGCCACAUUUUCAGUAAUUUUAUAAUUAUUUUUUUAAAUUAAAAAUACCUUGCGCGACGUGAAUUGUAUACCUUCGUCGCGCAAGUUUUGAUAAUUUUGGCGCAAGUAUAAAAAAUAAGCGCCAGUUUUGAUAAUUUUGGACUAAAUAUUCCCACACCCUCCUCUUCCCAGACCCCUUCUCUCUCUCUCUCUCUUUCACUCGGUCUCUCUCUUCCAUAGCCUUCCUCCCCUUCCCAGACCCCUUUUCUCACUCUAUAAUUUCCCUCAAAUCUGCUUUCUUUGCUGAAAAGGUAGCUAAUCUGCUUUCUUUGCUGAAAGGGUAGCUAUCGUAUUGUUCUGCACCGUCGCCUGCACCGUCGUCUCAGAAAAGUGAGCCAAAAUCUCGCGAGAAUCAGGCUGCACACGAGCGGAUCCAAAGGCCAAACCUCCGAUCUUGAAGUCGACACACCCAGAGGUAAAAAUUUCUCAUCCUCUCUCUUCGAUUUCAGAAUACUGUUAUAGUUGGAGCCCCGACCCUCACUUUGAAAUUAAUCACUGAGAUUUGAUGAAAAAAGGAAUAUUAAUCACUGAGAUUAGAUGAAAAGGUUACUUCUGAAUGCAAUAAUGUUACUUGUUUCUCAAAAUAGAAUCACUGAGAUUAGAUGAAAAGGUGGUUUAGUUAGAAGAGUUGGAUUAUAGAAGCGAAUCUGCUUUCUUUGCUGAAAAGCUGGUCACUGAGAUUAGAUGAAAAGGUGGUUUAGUUAGAAGAGUUCGAUUUCAGAAUACUGUUAUGAGGGUAGCUAUCGUAUUGUUCUGCACUCUAGUAGUUUUAACUUUUAACUUUUAAUUCCUUUAUUUUCUCCAAUUAAUCCAUGGAUUUGCAUAAAGGAUUCAAAAUUUUGUAUCCGAAGUUUGUUUAGUUUUUGUUAGUCUUAUUAUUGCAGGCACUAUUAUGGUCUUGCCUAACUAUUGAAUUUUAGUAUUCAAAGUGGAGCAGUUGGUUCAUUAUGCCUCUUCCAUGUCAUUGCUUGGAUCCUAAAUCUUCCAAUUUGUUGCAGCGUCCUUCUACCAGAAUAGUAUUCCCGGUGUUCUCAAUUACUGACCUUUUUUUUGGCUUUGCAGGAUCAUAUCAUAUGGACGCCUGGCUUUUGGUUGGUCUUGAUCCUAACUUUCUUUGGCAAGCUAGGAGUAACUUUUUUUUUUUUUUUUUUUCCUAUUCCGUUUUCAAUGACCCUAAUUUUUGCCUACUUUGCUUAAAGAAGACUAUACAAUUGUUUGUCCUAAAUCCUGAAAGGUCGCUAAAAUUUAAAUACUCGUCUACAUUUCUUAAAACAUGAUUUAAUGGAUGGAAGGUUAGAGGUGGUAAAAGGUGCAAAAUAGUAGUUUUAAUUCAUUCUUGUGUUUCCAGAUUGCAGCAGUCUCCUAAUCUAUUGGCUUUCGGUUCGCUGGUAAUGUGAUGUUGUCUCUGUCUUGGCUUGAAGUAUCUCACUCAUAUGUAUUCAAUCUGAAAAGGUAAUCCUAACUCUUGUUAUUGUUUUCAACAACCCAACUUUUGCCAAUUUUUGCUUUAGAGUGCUGCUUCUGUAUUGUAUUGGUAUUAAGCUGUUAAAGUUUAUUUAUUUGAACUGAGGUAUUCUAUUUUGUUCUUUGGUUUUGUGCAGGGAGAGCUUGUGCGUGCUUUAGGAGGAGUUGUGGCAUCCACAUCUCUUCUUGGAGUUCCUCUUGGACAUAACUCAUCGUUUCUUCAAGGGCCGACCUUUGCACCUCCAAGGAUUAGAGAGGCUAUCUGGUGUGGGAGCACCAACUCAACAACUGAAGAAGGUAUCUAAUUAUCUCAAUUAGUAGCAAACUUUUGCUUCUCAAAACAUUCAGUUUCGAGAAGAUUGGCUGCCCUGCUCGUGUUCUCAUUAGAACCCCACUCUUGAGAUCUUUCAGAAUAUAAACAUUAUGUUUGCUUCCUAAGUUCUUUUCGUUAGAACCAAACUCGUGUUCUCAUUAGAACCCCACACUUCUCCACCAUUCCGGUUCGAAGCCUUUUUCGUAUAGGGUUGAGGCACGACGUGAGGUAAAAGUAUAUUAAUUUUGAAAUUUCAAUUUAUUUUUUAUUAUUGAUUAAUAAAUUUUUCUUAAUGUUUUUUUUUUCUUUAGGAGGGUUCUAAGUUCCCACAGAUUGACAUGUUCAAGCAGGUUUACGUUCAUCCCAACAAUGAGAACAGUGACCAGCUUUAUGUAAGUAUAUGUAAUUGUUAUUUUUCUUAUUUUUAUGAAUCGUUCAAAUAUUAUUUAUAUUUUGUUAUUAAACAUUAUAUGUUUUUUCUUUAUUAUUACAGGGUGAUAUGGUGGAAAAGAGCACUGCUAUUCUCCAAGAAGCAACAUCGCAGCUUCCCCCGGAGACCCCGAUUGAGGACAUCAUUGUACCCAAGGAUGCAGAUGUUCAGAUCGUGACUAAGGUCCUGGAUCAGAAGUUCGGUCGUCGUCAUGGUAAGGUUGUUCGGUGUACGGGGAAGGCGGGGGUUCGUGAAACGGGUGCCUCUUCUUCCAGAUUGUCCACAGGAGAGGUCAAUUCCUUGAAGGAGGAAGUGACCCUAAUGUUGGAAAUGUGCCCUAAAGCCAAUCAUGUGAUGAUACUUUACGGACAUUUCACAUGUUAAACUAAUCUAGUUUUACAUAUAAAGGGCAUACAUUAUUGUUUGAGCCGUCUCAUAUAAAUGUUAUAUGCUUAAACGAUAAAGUCCAAGGAAUAUGUGAUUGGGAGAAUGUAAUCUAAUGAAGUUAGAUUCAUGAGACAAUUCUUUCGUAGACACAUCCUAAACGUUCCUGAUCAUAGGAUUGUCAAUUGGGCGUUGACAGUCCGUUAAGAUCAGUACGUACUAUGUCUUCUCUCAGGGAGAGUGAUUAGUCUCGAGUCAUUGGUGUGUGUGACAUCAAGACAAGUACGUAGGUGCUCAAUAGAGAAUGAGUUCACUGAACGUGAUCAACGAAGAGUUCUUAUAUUCCAUGUCACAUGAGAACUCAUGGUUGGGAUAAUGCAAAGUAGUUCCUUUGACCUGAGGCAUCACAGUUGUCUUGUGGUUAAGUCCUUGAUCUUUGAUUAUGUCAAAGUCACCCCCUCGGGGUGUCCACGGCAUCGUUGGGGUUAAGCCACUUAGCUAUGGAGACAAGUGAAUGCGCAACAAGGGAUCUCUAACCUUCAAACAGUUGAGGGAGAAUACUCUAUGAUAUGAUUUGGAAUCUCUGGCCAGAGUAUGAAUGAGAUUUAGGGAAUGCGUUCCAAAUCACAUUCAAGGAAAUCAUAUAAGCAAACGAUUUACAUUGGAUAGUAGACAUGAGUAAAUAAACUAUCAUACCAAACAAUGUGGUCAAGAGUAUUAGAUUAGAGAAGGACCGUAUUGCAUUUGUAAUCCCAAACUGAAUAGGUUCUCUAUCCUCUUCUGAUUAGCUUGGGUAACCAUGAUAUGCUGCUAGGUGUCACUCAUGGUUUGUGGAAGCCCUAAACGUGUGUAAUCACUAAAGGGAGAAUUGAAAAUAGUUUCAAUUCACAAUCGAUGUAAAAUGGUUUUAAUCGCCCACUACCUCGCUAAAAGGAACCUAAUGGAUCGCACACCAUAAAAGGUGGAGAUUGAAGAUUAAACGGAAAUGAGUAAGAAUGAUUAAAUGGUUUAAUCAUUUAUUUAUGGCAAGGAUUAAUUAAUAUGUUAAUUAAUCAAACGAAUAAGUUCGUUAAAGACUUCGGGAUAGUUUUGGACCUUAAGGCCCAAUGGGCUUCGAAACGUCAAGCCCAUUAACUUAAGUUGUAUGACAAUUUAAUGAAUGAAAGAUUCAUGAAAGCCCAAAAUCCCCUAAAUGGCCGGCCAUAGUGUGAUGAAUUAGGGUUUUGGGUUAUUUAGGUCACUUAAAGAAGUGACUAUAUAAAUGACUUUAUAACUAAAAUAUUCAUUAAGUGAUUAAGGGUUUAUUUUGGGGGAAAAUUGGUGAGAAUUGUCUCUCCAUUUUCUCUCUAAAGAGGCCAACACCUUGGAGGGUACAUCUAGCAAUCCUACUACUCCAAGGUCACUCAUUUCUUCUACAAUCAAACCUUGGUGAAGAGACUUAGAGGUUCCCUAAUUUUGGGAACUUGGAGAAACCUAUUUUUCCAUCCAAAUCCAUGGAUCUAAGAAGCAAGGAAUGAAGGCCCUAUCUCUUUGGGUGAUUAGCCUUUGCUUAUGCAAAGAGGAAUCUACAAAGGUAAUAAUUUCAACUCACUUUGUUUUGAGUUGAUUAUUGGUUCACCAAUCUACUAGGCUUUGAAUUUCAUGGUAAAUGUUUUGUUUUUGAGUGCAUGCAAGCAUGAUUCCGCCUUUAAUUGUUAAUUGCAUGCUAUAUGAUGUUGCUCAAAUGAACAUGUUUUUCAAAAUAAAUCCUUCAAGUGGUAUCAGAGCCUAGGUCUAGUAGUUGGUGAAUCCUUUUGGGUUUUGUAGUUCAUAAGUUUAUGAUUUAAAAGUUGUAAUUGUUACAAGCUUUAUUCUUGCUUCUUUGAAUGUAAAUUUUGUUUGAAAAUUUGCCAUCUCAAAUGUUGUAGAUGUAGUUCAUAUGAGCAUGAAUAUUGGAGCUAAAAUUUGGUGCCAUGAUUUUGGGGAUUUUCGGCCAAAUCCAAAGGGUGAUUUUUUUGGUUCAUGUUUGUCUUGUUAAAAUGGUUUUAAGGUGACUUUUGGAACCCCUAAGUACCCUAGGAUGUUAGCCUCAUUUUUGAAUGAUAAAAAUUUGAGUUUUAUUGGCAUGAAAACAUUCAUGGAGCUCUUAUGGGUUUUUCAUGGAUGUUCUUCAUAUGUUCUUGAUGUUCUUGCCAAGAACACAAAAGGUUUGUGUUUUGAUUCAAAGUUUUGAUUUAUUUCAUAAAGUUUAUGAUAUAUGUUUUUCAAAUGAUUUAUCAUGUAUUUAAAGUGUUAAAUAUUUGUAUAAAUGAUGAUGGAAACAUCAAUCAUCAAAACAUAUAUUAUUUUUAUGAAAGUAUUUAAAGUGUUAAAUAUUUGUAUAAAUGAUGAAAGAAAUAUCAAUCAUCAAAACAUAUAUUAAUUUUAUGAAAGGUGAAAGCACUACUUGAUUGUUUUUGACAAAACUAAUAAAUCAAAACACCCACCACUCCUUUUUAUCCCUAAAAACCGGCCACCCUAAUAAAAUAGGGUAUUUUUGGGCUUUUAUGCAAUUACAUAAAGUUUUGAUACUUUUGUGUAUUUGUACUUUGACCCGAAAGUUUACGUUUUGACGUUAAGGCCUAAAAACGCUAAAGGACAAAUUGUUUUGCUCCUUUAAUGAAGUUUUUGAAUUUAUUUAAAUUUUGGGUUCUAGUUGUAUUUACAUGAAGUAGUGACUUUUGUGUUUUUACAAAGUGACCCCAAAAGUUUAUGUUUUCGCAAUAUGGCCCAAAAAGUUGUGGUUAUUGCAUGAUGGCCCAAAUAGGAUGAGAACAAAAUUGUUUUGUCUCUUUAAAUGAGAAUUGGAUUUUCAUUUUGUUUAGCUCCACUUUAAAUCAAUUUUAUGGAUACAAAAACCAAAUGAAAAUGUUGCAUUCAAUUAAAUUAGUUAAAGCGUUAAUUAAUUAAAGGAUGAUUAUGAACCUAAGCCUAAUAUAAUUGAGCUAUGUGAAAGGCGUUUCAAAUUUGUUUGAACCAUGGGAAUGUGUAGAUUAGAUUUUGGUUGUAAUUUGAUUUGAUCAAAUGUUGUAAAAGGGCAUAAGCUCCUUCUUUACUUUAAGGUAAUUUGUUUUAUGCAAAUGUUGUAAUGAGCAUAAGCUCAUCCUUUACUUUGAAGUAUUUCUUUCUUGCUUUAUAUGAUAUGCAUGAAAAUGAAGUAAUUGGGUCCAACGCCCCUAAGACAACACGCCUUAAUGUGAUUAAACGCGUAACUAAAAUCAAUCUCCAUCCCUAGACCGAGAUUCAACACAAGGCUCGUGUUGAAUCUAAACAAAGGUUCAUAGUCAUCCUAAGGCCCUAAGGCAACUAUAUAGUCCAUCAAAUGAAUGCAAACCUUAUGUUAGUAGUAACAUAUACUCUUGCUUUAAAAACCGUUUUAAAAGCAUAGUGGGAGUAUUAUGUACAACUAAAACAAUCAUAUGGACCAAUAGUUGUAAUAGGACCAAAAUUGUUUUAAUAGAGAUUAAAAUGUAUAUUGAUAUGUGAUGAGACCUAAAACCCUCAACCAAACCAAUUAUUAAGUUGAUAAGCGUGAGAGUGCUUUAGAACACUCUUUCGUGGCCUUCCACCGUGGUAGGCUUCCAAUCGUUUAUGACUUGUACACCGGCUUCACCCUAUCAUGGGGAAGUACAAAGUGCAUGCUUAUACUCAGGAGGAGUCUAUAUACAUAUGAUGAGGUGAGUGUAGGCAACGAGGAUGGCCAAUAUCGUAUCAUUCGUGAGGCUAUUCUUGAACCCCUUCACUGAACUAAGCAUGGUGGGAAUGACUUAACUAAGUGCAAUGGAACCAAUAUCAUAUCAUUGUGAGGUGACAUUCUCUAGAGGCCAAAUAAGAUGGGUACUUGCAUUAGUUGCAAAUGAGUAAGCGUACUCUCUCAUUAUUAUUAAUGCUAGCCAAUAUCAUAUCAUUCUGAGGUGGGCUUGGUAAUAGUGAGCCUCCCAUAACCUACUAAGAGUUUCAUCCAAAACUCUCGAAUUCCAAUGAGGGAUAUGGAAUUUGCCAAAAAUAGUGGGUGGUGCUAUUUGAUUUAAAGACCCGAAUCAAAUUGCUUAAAAUCAAUCAAUUUAUAUUCGUUAUGUAUUUGUUUACCAAUAUAUUUUGCAAACGCUAUCCAACACUUGACAAAUAAAAGCCGAACGUUUAGUUUACGGACUUGGUACUACAAAACCAUAGAUUGUCUUUAAUGGCUUGUAAAUGUACCUAAGUAGUCUCAUCCUCACAAUCUUCCUAUUGAUAAUGUAUCAUUAGAAGAAUAUGUUAGAAAAGGUCUAUAUCAUAGAAGAGGACAACACUUUUAAUGUCAUAAUUCUUCAAUUACAAAUUGUUGUAUGAAGAAAUAAGAGUUGCUUUGAACAACCCUUAGUCAAUGCAAACACUUAGUGCUUGUUUCUUUGUUAAUUGAACAAAGAACUUGAGAAGUAAAGCACAAGGGCAUGGACACUUUAUGUGCCAUGAUUCUUCACUUACAAAUUGUUGUAUGAAGAAAUGAGAGUUGCCUUGUACAACUCUUGAAAGUUUGUAAUUAUGUUUAGAACAUAAUGGUUGGUUGACAAAAAUAGUCCAUUAACAUGGACUUAUGAUGAUUUUGAAUCAUUGAGUGUUGAAGUGUUAAACCACUUAACGAGACGGAAACUAGGCAAGGACUUCACCUUUGUUUCCCUAUCCUAAUGGUUCACUAAGUUUAUUGUAAACUAUGUAGUGAACAAUAACCACAUACUCUCCAAAUUGUUUGAUGUGUAUAACACAAUUGAAAAAGGUUUCAAGAGAGAUAGUGGGAGUUUAGGGACCAUGACUAAUGUAGUCAAAGGUGAAAGUCAAAUAAAGAAGAUAAAUAACUCCAAGGGAACAAACUUUCUUUAUGAAAGGAUGGACAUUGGAAGGGGUAUUUGCAAGAAAUGUCUUGCAAGUGUCAAGAACACACCUUUCGAAGGUGUUGUAAAUUGUUCUUGAAUAGUUCAAAACAGUUGGUUCUUCUACUUGAAUGCUUGAUUCCGUAUUAGUAACUAUGUUUUACAAAUCGUUGUAAAAGUGUGACUAAUAAGAAGUAGAAGAUAUAUGAGAGAAGAGAAAAGGUGCUUCACAUACGGAACGUGAAUAAAGAUAUAGAUCUCUGCGAAAGCAGAUAGUACUUACUUCCUCAUAUGAACUACCAAAGAAAUUGGAUUAUAGUAAUCUAAUUGAUUGUCUCUAUAUUAGAGAUGAUAUGGUAGUGUUAACUGUUUAGAAUAUAAUGAUGCUUAAAACCCAAAAGGUUGCAAGGUAGUGACUAAUCCCAACUAAAGUUGUGAUACCUCUAAAACAUAAAUUACGAGUUGGUCAUAAAAUGACGCUUUGGAUCGUUAGAUCCGGAUCCAAUACCUUCUUGUUAAAAUUGUAUAGAGGCGAAAUGUUCGAAUCUUUAUUCUUUUGGAAAGAAGAAAGAAUCACAAAGUUGUUGAGGUUAAUUCACUUAGAUGUUAGUGGCACUUGUCCACAAACAUAAUACUACUCAUGUUGAAUAACAUUCACCGAAGAUCACUCUCGGUUGGACUAUAGUUUAUUUUGAAUAAACACAAGUCCGAAUACUUUGCAAAAUGUUUCAAAGAAUUCAAGUAAUGUAAGUUGAUGAGUAAGACAUCUAAAGUAUUUACCUCCUUAGAUUUGAUCCAAGGAAAGGUAACACUUUAGAUGAGUUUCCUUGAAAGAUAUCAAGGAAAUAAGCAUCAUAAGAUAAUGUAUUUCUCCAUUAGGAGAAGAACGAACUCGAAUAAGAUUUAGUUCGUUAGAUGUUAUCUAUUACCCAUAUAUAGGAUAUAUACUUCUAAAACAAUAUGAUUGUCAAUGAGAAGAUCUUCCAAUAUUUUCAUGACUCCAUAAGAUGUAGUUGGAAAGAAAGACAAAUCUUAAGCAUGUUAAAGAUUUGGGGUUGUGUGCUAACAAGCAAUAUUUGUUUGAAUAACAAUCUUGUGGGAUAUCCUUAAAUUAACUUUUGGAUAUCGCUUCUAUAAACCAACUAACAAAUGUUGUUUUGUUGGGUAGUUCAUUGUAAUUCUACAAUGUGAUUUGCCUAAAAGCAAAUGAACGAGAGAUAGAACUCAAAGAAUGGGUUCUUUGAGAGACAAGAUAGUAAUCAACAAAUAUAACAACCUAGUUCCUAUACCACAAGCUCCAAGGUAGUCGAUAAGGAUUUAUAAACCGUCUCAGUUGAAUGGUUUUGAACUUUAUGACUACAAUGAGUGCAUAUACGAUAUAUACUCAAGAAAAUGGUAAAGUACCAUUUGACUCGAAAUAAUGAAACCUUCAAAGCUAAUUGGUAGCUUAAGGUGACUACAAUCAAAGAGAAUGGUUGACUUUAAAGGAACCAUUUUUGACGUAGUCUUAGUUUCAAUUAAUUCGAAGAUUGCUAGCUACAACUAAAAUGGUGAUUCAAUGUUUUGACAUAAUAUGGGUUUCCGAAACCAUUAUUAAGAUAGUCUUGAUAAUAUAUGUCCAAAACUAUAAAUCACAAGACAUGUAAGUUGUAGAGAUCCAUCCAUCAUGGAUCUUAGCAAGUUAGUGGGAGCUAUUUGCAUUUUAUGAGAAAAAAGGAUCAAAUCGUUUGAUUUCUCAUAAAGAUGUAAAUGAAUCUUUUGUUUACUAGUUUUACAAAAGAUUAGUGGGAGUUAAUCAUGUUCCUAAAAUUUAAAAUAUAUAUGAUAUAUUAAUUUUGGAAAUGAAAAGAAUACUUCUUCGUUAAAGUUAUGACUUUAAUACAUUAUAUGAAGAUAGAAUGUAUAUGGGAGAUAUAGUCUAUAUACAUGGGAUGGAAAUCUAUAAUGAUAUAUUUCAUGAUAUAAUUGGAUUAUAUCAAUCCCUAAUAAUAGACAAUGGAUGCUAGGAAGUUUCUCAUAUGAUGAUAAACUUCAAUAAGAAGGACGAUUCUAGUGAGACUAGCAAGUUGCCCUUCUCAAAGGGAACGUACCCUUUGACUCCCAAAGAAAUAAUGCGUAAAUUGAAUCCUUUAUGCAUACGCAGAAAGGUGAUUUAUGUAUUUCAUAUUGUAUGAAAAACAUUGAUAUGAGUUGUACCUAGAACGGUACAAGAUGAUAUCAGUGCAAGCCCAGGAUCAGAACCAUGGCAACUGUCAAGUGAGUCCUUAAGUAUUUGAGAAAUACUAAAGGAUAAAUUCCUCAAAGAUCGAGGAAGAAUCAAAGUGAACGUAAUGGAAGCGUAAAUGUAUUAGAUUAUGAAUCUAAUCCAUCAUUGGAUGUUUCUUCAUUAUGAAUGAAGAGAUAAACAGAUAUCUCUUUAUUAUGACUAAAGAGAUAUUUGGAUGGAAACAUUAAAGUAAUGACUUUAGUGUGUUCCAUUAUGAAUGCAAGAUAUAUUGCCAUAUAGAAGUUUACAACAAUGUUGUUUGGAUGGGAAAGUUCAUUUAUGAACUCUCUAUUCGGUUCCAACCAGAAAGUGUAUGACACUAAUGGGGCGAUAGCUCAAGCCUGGGAAUCAAGGUCUCAUCAAGAUCCGAACUCAAAUGAGAGACUGAACCACAUGAUUGAGAAUCAUGUAUAAUGGUGACGUCGUUAUUCUCAAGGUUGCUUCUAUGGAUAACACAUAUAGAUAUCCACUGUCUAGGCCUACUAUUCAGCCAUUUAUGAAAUGACUACAGAAGAGGUAUCAUCAAGAUGACCUAAGCUGAUUGGCUCUAGUGCAAGUGGGAGAUUGUUGGAAAUGUGCCCUAAAGCCAAUCAUGUGAUGAUACUUUACGGACAUUUCACAUGUUAAACUAAUCUAGUUUUACAUAUAAAGGGCAUACAUUAUUGUUUGAGCCGUCUCAUAUAAAUGUUAUAUGCUUAAACGAUAAAGUCCAAGGAAUAUGUGAUUGGGAGAAUGUAAUCUAAUGAAGUUAGAUUCAUGAGACCAUUCUUUCGUAGACACAUCCUAAACGUUCCUGAUCAUAGGAUUGUCCAAUUGGGCGUUGACAGUCCGUUAAGAUCAGUACGUACUAUGUCUUCUCUCAGGGAGAGUGAUUAGUCUCGAGUCAUUGGUGUGUGUGACAUCAAGACAAGUACGUAGGUGCUCAAUAGAGAAUGAGUUCACUGAACGUGAUCAACGAAGAGUUCUUAUAUUCCAUGUCACAUGAGAACUCAUGGUUGGGAUAAUGCAAAGUAGUUCUUUGACCUGAGGCAUCACAGUUGUCUUGUGGUUAAGUCCUUGAUCUUUGAUUAUGUCAAAGUCACCCCCUCGGGGUGUCCACGGCAUCGUUGGGGUUAAGCCACUUAGCUAUGGAGACAAGUGAAUGCGCAACAAGGGAUCUCUAACCUUCAAACAGUUGAGGGAGAAUACUCUAUGAUAUGAUUUGGAAUCUCUGGCCAGAGUAUGAAUGAGAUUAGGGAAUGCGUUCCAAAUCACAUUCAAGGAAAUCAUAUAAGCAAACGAUUUACAUUGGAUAGUAGACAUGAGUAAAUAAACUAUCAUACCAAACAAUGUGGUCAAGAGUAUUAGAUUAGAGAAGGACCGUAUUGCAUUUGUAAUCCCAAACUGAAUAGGUUCUCUAUCCUCUUCUGAUUAGCUUGGGUAACCAUGAUAUGCUGCUAGGUGUCACUCAUGGUUUGUGGAAGCCCUAAACGUGUGUAAUCACUAAAGGGAGAAUUGAAAAUAGUUUCAAUUCACAAUCAAUGUAAAAUGGUUUUAAUCGCCCACUACCUCGCUAAAAGGAACCUAAUGGAUCGCACACCAUAAAAGGUGGAGAUUGAAGAUUAAACGGAAAUGAGUAAGAAUGAUUAAAUGGUUUAAUCAUUUAUUUAUGGCAAGGAUUAAUUAAUAUGUUAAUUAAUCAAACGAAUAAGUUCGUUAAAGACUUCGGGAUAGUUUUGGACCUUAAGGCCCAAUGGGCUUCAAACGUCAAGCCCAUUAACUUAAGUUGUAUGACAAUUUAAUGAAUGAAGAUUCAUGAAAGCCCAAAAUCCCCUAAAUGGCCGGCCAUAGUGUGAUGAAUUAGGGUUUUGGUUAUUUAGGUCACUUAAAGAAGUGACUAUAUAAAUGACUUUAUAACUAAUAUUCAUUAAGUGAUUAAGGGUUUAUUUUGGGGGAAAAUUGGUGAGAAUUGUCUCUCCAUUUUCUCUCUAAAGAGGCCAACACCUUGGAGGGUACAUCUAGCAAUCCUACUACUCCAAGGUCACUCAUUUCUUCUACAAUCAAACCUUGGUGAAGAGACUUAGAGGUUCCCUAUUUUGGGAACUUGGAGAAACCUAUUUUUCCAUCCAAAUCCAUGGAUCUAAGAAGCAAGGAAUGAAGGCCCUAUCUCUUUGGGUGAUUAGCCUUUGCUUAUGCAAAGAGGAAUCUACAAAGGUAAUAAUUUCAACUCACUUUGUUUUGAGUUGAUUAUUGGUUCACCAAUCUACUAGGCUUUGAAUUUCAUGGAAAUGUUUUGUUUUUGAGUACAUGCAAGCAUGAUUCCGCCUUUAAUUGUUAAUUGCAUGCCAUAUGAUGUUGCUCAAAUGAACAUGUUUUUCAAAAUAAAUCCUUCACCUAAGAGGUCAGGUUGCGGCCCAGGGCGAGAGGAUGAAUAUGAUUCUUCAGGCCUUAGCGAUGUCCGGCCUCCAAAUCCCGACGAUGCCAGCACCUAAUGUUGCUCCACCUUCGACUUCCCAGCCAUUUCGCCCAGACGAUACCGAGUAGCAUGAUGUAUUAAACUUAGAAGACUUGUAGUUUUUUAUUUUUUUGUUCGGACAAACGUACAUUUUCAUAUAUUCUAUAAUUAAUUACUUUUUCUUGGUUUAUUAAUUAUUGUUUAGCAUUUAAUUAUAAUAUUCAAUAAUUUAAUUAUAAUAUUUAUUAAAAAUUAAAUAAAAAAAUAUAAAUGACACACAAAAAAAAAAACUUUGCGCGACGCAGGACCUCCCUACGUCGCGCAAAGUAACUUUGCGCGACGUCGGAUCUACGUCGCGCAAAGUAGCUUUGCGCGACGUAGGGAGGUCCUGCGUCGCGCAAAGUAACUUUGCGCGACGUAGCUACUUUGCGUGACGUAGGGAGGUCAUGCGUCGCGCAAACCCUUCCUUCACUGCCUUCGCGCGACGGUUCUUGCGCGACGAAGGUUCGUUUCGCUAAUUUUUGGGCGACGUAUUUUUGACUUUGCGCGACGAAGGUCCUACGUCGCACAAAGUCUUUUUUGUACUAGUGUUAAAUUGUUGGCCGAAUCAUACCCUUUCCAAACGAACAAAAAAUUGUUGACUAUGUUUGAUUACGAGAGCCAGUCUGUGAAUUGGAUGGUUCAGAGUGCCAGAGAGAAAGGUGGAAAGGUUUACAGUGCCUGGUUUAAGUGGCCAACCCUCAAACUGUGCUCAACUGAUUUGAGAAAGCAAAUUAAGAACAAAAAGAAGAAGAAAAAAGAUGAUGCGACUGGUCUUUUUGUUUUUCCAGUUCAGGUUACUGGGUCCUUUCACACCGGACAUUAAUCAUCGUUGGAUGCUUUCGUUGUUGUUUUAGCGGAAGGUAGGAUGCCUUCGUUGUAUUUGUUGAAAAAAAUUACAUUAAAUAACUUCUACUCUCUAAAAAAUUGAAAUCAAACGAACAAAAAAUUCAUAAAUUGAGUCAUAUCUUGGUUGGAGGAUUCAAAACUUCAAAAUCACCAUUUAUCAAUAAAAAAACUUAAUUUUCUCUAUGAGAGAUAUUAGGGUUUUAGCCAGAAUAAACGUAGGAUAAACAAAGAGUAAUCGUAGGGUUUAAUUAUAGUGUUUGGGUUUAUUGAUAAAUUUGAGUUUUAUUAUUAAUUUCAUUUUGUACAUAAUAGUAAUUAUGCAAUAGGGUAAAAUAAACAAUUAAUAUUUAAAAUUUAAGUUGGGUGUAAAAAGAGGUUAAAUGGGUUUAAAUAAAAUUUUCCAUUAAAAAUUUAUAAUCAUUAGUCUCUUAACUCAUCAAAACGAGUUAUUUUUGUCAAUUUCGUUAAUUUUUUUUUGUUAAAACGAGUCAUGUUUCAUGUGAGAUUAAAUCAAGGGUCAAAUUUGAAAAAUCAAGUGGUCUUUCCAUCUUUAAUUCAAUGGGAAUGAGUCUUUUAAUUUUAACUCAAUUAGAACAAGGGUUCUUUAAUUUUAUUUAAUUGUAGCAAAUAGUCUUUCAAACAUAUAUUAUUUUGACGGAAUUUUGACUAAAAUGAUCAUAAUUGUACAUUUUGAUAAGUUAAAUGGUCAAUGAUCAUAGAUUUUAAGGUCAAUGGUCAUAGAUUUUAAAUUGGGGAAUUAGAGUUAAAAUUGAGAGACCUUUUUUAAUAGUUGAGGGACUUUUCUCCACUUUUCUACAAUUUUCUCAUAUCUAAAACCGUUAAAGGAGUAGCGUCACCCUUACCAUUAUUUGUUAUCAUUUUUUAAUAAAAAUAAGAUCUAUUAAUACAUAUGGAUCAUAUCUUUAUAAGAAAAAUGAUAAAAAUAAAUGGUAAGAUAUUCAACUGUUAAAGGAGUAGCGUCACCCUUACCAUUAUUUGUUAUCAUUUUUUAAUAGAAAUAAGAUCUAUUAAUAAAUGUGGAUCAUAUCUUCAUAAGAAAAAUAAUAAAAAUAGAUGGUAAGAUAUUCACUCGUCCUAGUUUAAACUUAGGCACAAGAGGUAUACACUAAUUUUGAAUCCACCUUGGAUCUUCACUGAAAAAAUAGCAUUAAACUCAUAAACUGAUAAAUAAUACUUUAAUAAAAAAUCAAGUAACGAUUUUUUCUUUAAUAAACGACAUUAUUUUCGAUAAUAGUGUGGAGAGUGAACUAAGCUUCAUAAUGUGAUAGGAAUAAUAAUAUGAUUUAAAUUCAUUUUUCACGAGAAUUAAACUUAAGAUCUCUCAAUAACAAAUAAAAAAUAAUACCAUUAAAACGUAGUAUUAAACCACAAAGAUGAAUUUACUUGAGUCCUUUCAACACGCACAAAGUUGGAGUUGUCCUACUAGCUAGCUAGGGUUACACGAACCCGAUACGUGUCAAGUGGCUGAGCAUGCACUCAAAACGUGUCACCAAUGCAACUUCUCUUCUUCAAAUACUUUGAUUCCCCCUUACCAAUUAAUUUACACAAAACAUCAUCAUAUUCACAUCAUACAGAAACAGAACCAAGGCAGAGAGAAGAAAGAGAGAGAUGGCGGGGGACGAAGAUUGGAGGAAAACGGCGGAGACGACAAAAAUGAGUCCGGAAGAAGUGAAGAGAGCUGGACUGCAGGGAUCACAGAGGCCUCCCGGUCAUAACCCCGGCGGUCUUCUUCACCAGCGACGUCUCGUUCCCCUUGGCCCUACCGCCUUGGCAUUCGCCGGCUCCCUCAUUGUUGGUACCAUCGACUACUUCACCCUUUACGCCCGCAAAAAGCCCGAAGCCACCGCCGGAGACGUUGCCAGGGUCUCCGCCAAUGUUGCCAGCCCCGAGGACACUCGCCCAAGGAAGUAGCACCUCGACCUCGAGGCUCCUCCUAAAAGCUGUGUUUUUUGGUUUUUCAGUUUCUUCAUGCUUUUACACAUUCGAAGACACGGCGCGGUUAAUUGUAACAGUAAUUUUUUUUUUUUUUUGAACAAUAGAGAGGGGGUGGCUUUAGCCAUACAAUUAACUAAGAAUAAUGUGGUUCAAAUUCGUUUUUUAGAAAUAUCAUUAGACCGUAGUACUAAUUGACAAUCGUAACUGUAAUUUUAACAGAUGAGAGUACAUUUUUGUUUUUCAAAAUAAAUGUUUAAAAUGAUAUAGUUGAAAAUACCGAUAUCCAUUCCCUACAACAAAAAUUAUAUAAAUUUGCAAUGGAUAGUAUAUUAACUUAUUUAAGUUUAGUUGAAAAUAAAAAUAAAAUAAAAAGUCUGAAAUCUGCAAUGAGUUCUAACACUUAAUCUCGUUGACCUAGGGUGAAUAAUAAUUAGUCCGAAAUGCACAAUGAAUGGUGUUUUUACCAAAUAGGGCGAUUUUCUAUUCAUUUCAAUUUUAGAAGGAAGUCACCGUUUAGUAUGAUGAUGUAGUGAUAUUAUUCUUUACUUAUAAGUAAGAGGUGUUAUAUUCGAUUUUCAUCAAAGGUGAAGUUGAACCAUAUUAUUAUGAUAAGCUCAUUGUAAGAUUUAAUUCACUCUCCAACCCCUUAAUAUAAAUACUAUCGGCUUUUCAAAAAAAAAAAAUCCUAUCCAAUUUUAUAAAUGCCACACCACAUUAUUACAAAAUAUAAACGUGAGUUGCAGCGUCGUUAUCAUAUAACCGCCGGGGCCAACCAUGAUAUGAUAUCCCCAACCGACGACAGAUUCUUUGGGUGCGUCGACAGAUUCUUUGGGUCUGUCAUCGCUUGUUUUAUAACUUGCUCUCCCGUCAUAGGCCCCAUUGUUUGGGAGAUGGACAGAGACCUUCUCCAGAUAUCACUGUGGGGAGCUUAAAAAUCAGAUAAUUCGAACCACUCAAAUUAAAUAUGCCGUCUUCAUAAACUCUUUCUCUGGGCCGCCUCUGGUCCGAUAGGAAAGAAACCAGUAGCAAAUGACUAGCUCCGCUAUGGAGCCAAGCGUAUACUGCCACGUCAAGACUAUCUUUCUAGGAUAAGAUCGCCAGCACCCCAGAGAGUCAAAACUUCCUCCCUAGUGGGAUCAGACGAGCGCCUCACCUCACACAAAUCAAGCGCUCCGGUCUCUCCUAGUGGGACCAGACGAGGGCCUCACCUCACACAAAUCAAGCACUCCGGUCUCUCCGCAGAGGAUCCGGAUACAUUUUAUUGGUCGUCUCGUGGAAAUUAAAACCAUGAAAAUCAGAAGAAAACAGAUACUAAAAGAGACAAGUAACAAGAAGGUUCCUAACAAUUGGCACUGUAGAAGUAGCCUUGAAAAAUAAACAAAUAGAAAUAUACUCUAACAGUAAAUAUAACGUUGUCGGCUUUUGUCAUGGUUCAAAAAUGAGCACAAAUAAGAUACAUUUCGAAAGCACAAUAAUCCAAAGUUAACUGCAAAAUCUUACACUACUUUAGAGAGAUUAUCAUCUGUUCGCAUCUUCCGGAGGGGGGGAGAGAGGAGAUCACACCUUGCCGAGACCCGAUCUUGAGUUUAGUCGAUCUUCACCGACGAGUAGAUGAGCCUCGUGAACCAAAAGCAGGCGUAGAAGCCGAUGGUUCCGGUGACAACAAAGAAUGCAUACGAUGCAAUGAGCAUGUAUCCGAAGUAUAAGAGGGCCGAGACCAGCUUUGUGAUUUCAAGCUUUGUGAAGAAGUAGAAUGUGGCGUAGAGGAAGAGGUACAGAGCCGAUGAGCCAGAUGUGAGGUAUGAUCUCCACCACCACAAGUAAUCCUCGCUGCACAACUGGAAGUAGCAGAGGACGAUGGUGAUCUCAGCGCAUGUGAUGAUGAGGAUGAUGAAGACCAAGAAGAGGAAACCAAAGAUGUAGUAGAACUGGUUCAGCCAAAUUGAAGUGAGGAUGAAGAAUAGUUCGAUGAAAACUGCUCCGAAUGGGAGGAUCCCUCCAAUCAGAAUUGAGAAAACUGGGUUCAUGUACCAGGCCUGUUCUGGGAUCUGUCUUGGGAUUUUGUUUGUCUUCACUGGGUCCUCAAGUGCUGGCUUCCUGAACCCAACAUAGCCUCCCACAAAUACGAGUGGGACUGAGAUUCCGAACCAUAAAAAGACCAGGGCAAACAUUGUGCCAAAUGGCACAGCUCCAGAUGAUUUCUGGCCCCAAAUCAGAGUGUUCAAGACAAUGAAAAUGGCAGAGACAGUUGCUGGGAACAUGACAGCAGUUCUGAAUGCAAUUUUCUUCCAUUCUGUACCUUUAAACAUCUUGUACAAGCGAACAGAGGCGUAACCAGCAAAAAUUCCCAUGAAGACAAAAAGCAAGAGCAUUGCAGUCAUAAGACCGCCCCGGUUAGAUGGGGAGAGGAAGCCAAGGACAGCAAAAAUCAUUGUCACCAGUAUCAUUCCAAAGAACUGAACACCAGUUCCAACAUAUACGCAGAGCAAUUCAGAGUUAUUUGGAGCCCGGAAAACAUCCCCGUGGACAAGUUUCCAUCCUGUCUCUUCUUGCGCUUCUUCCUGGGUCUCAAGUUCAUUAUACUUGGAGAUAUCACGGUAGAGUGUUCUUAGCAUAAUCAUCGCUACCAUACCCGAAAGGAAGAGGACAAUCAUCAAUGAGUUGACAAUUGAAAACCAAUGGAUUUGGUCGUCACUCAUCAGUAGAUAAGCAUCCCAUCUAGAAGCCCACUUCACAUCACUCUCCUAAACAAGUAGACAUGAAAAGAAGUAUCCUAUGAGACGACUAGUUCCUCACAAAUCACAAAGUAUUUAUGACAAAUAAAUGAUGCUAUAAUAAGCAAACAGUAGACAGUAAAUUAUGAGUUAUAAUUCUCCUAUGAGAAAAUACCAAGUAAAAUUUUAAAUUAAUGAGCUCACCUGGAAUUCAACAUCAUAGGUAAAUACGAUUUCUUGCUUUUCGGCAACCUCUUGAGGAGAGUUAGAAUUAACAACAGUGUGUUUCGAAUGGGGGUCACAGGUAGUUAAACGAGUCUUUGCAUCAUUCCAUUUCCCUUCAUAUUCAUGUUUAACACUGGACAUUCAACACACAAACAAACCAUAUUACCAACUGAUAAUUUAGAAAGAAGAUUCAGCAAGGAGGAAUCAUUCAAGAGAAAAGCAACCCCCUGGAAAAACCGACCUGAAUGGUUUAACCUCAAAUCCCACGAUUCUUGCUGUUUCAGUUUGCGAAUCUCUAUGGUACUUCACAGUAAAUGCCAGAUGGUUGUGGAUGAAGUAUUUCUCUUCUUUGCUCUGAGCACAACAACAUAGCAUAAGAAAGAGAAAAACAUAAUCAUCCCCGAAUAAGAAAGUUAUUUGGUGCCAACAAAUAAUGGACAUACCCCAGCAUAAUGGCCUUUGAGCCCAACGUGGAAUCCAAGCUGAUAAACUGUAGGAGCGUCUUGGUCUGGCCUUUGAAUGGGAAAAACUAGAGGUAGAUUAUCAAGGAUCCUGUCAUAGAAAAAGAAAGUCUUAAUAAGAUAUGUGACUUCGUUUCAGUUCCUCUAAUAUAAAAGAAUACAUCAUUUAAAGUGUCAGAAAAAUACAUGUUCACUCGAUACUCAUCAUCUAUCUUCUCCUUAAACUGCUUUACAAUUUUGGCAUCAGGCGUUAACCGGCAGACAAUGUUGCACAUCUGAGGCUCCCGCAUUUUAAACUGCACAAAUCCUGUUGUAAGUUUAUGAACAUAGGAGAAACAAAUAGCCAUAGCGUUGUACAGGUGAAAUAACACAAACCACAUAGGGGGAGUUCUCGAUCCGGUCACCGCGGAGCACUUCCCCAAGAUUCUCUGUACUGUCCAAGAUUUUAUCAGGUUUGCAGUAACGGAGAGAGUAAUAUGAGUAUGGAAGCUGAGUCUUUGUAGAAGUCAAUUUGUUCACUUUAACUUUCAAAUCAUCUCCCUGCAUUCAAAGAUCCAAGAGAACGAAAUUAAUACAAAACAUCCACCGAGGAAAAGCACUUUGCUUCUCAGUCAAGUGAAGUAAAACAAUGACGAAAUUUCAAAUCUAAUUUACGAGAAAUAAUUCAAAUUCCACAAUCAACAUUUGUAAUGCAGUGAAACCUAAAUGACGAUCUUCUUAGAGUACUUGCUUAGGGCAUAUACAGAUCGAUAUCGGACCAACCAAGAUCUGAUGUGCCGCGAAUUACUCUCACAAUUACAUUGCUCUACGCAUCAAAGUAUUAAUAAAACACAUCCUAAGAAAAUCGAAGAAAUAUACAGAGCAAAAGAACACAUAUCAAAACCUACAAAUCUCAAGAUUUGAACUAUGCCAGAGGUCAACUAAACCUAAAUCGACAAUCAUUUCAAUAGCAGAGUAGCGACCAAUCGAAUUCACGAUAACCUAACCUCCAAAAAAAUUCACGAUAACUUUAUCUCCAAUCCUUCUAUUUUCCUCCAUUUUCUCGGCAACCAAACGGACGAAACCUAACACUAGGUCACAGAUCCGAACAGCGAACACGCAGAUCACUCAUUUCAUACAAAAACACAUACAAUUUCAACAAAAAAUCGAAAUUAAAUGAAAUUACAGAUUAGAUUUGUCGGCGAUUGGGAGCUGACCUUGAUGAAGUCCUCCGGAGCGACGCCGGGGAGGUAGAAGGAGUGGGCGCCAUGGACGAGAAGUAAGAGGAUCACAGAGAUCGCCAGGACUGCCGGAGAUCUACGAGAUGCCAUGGCCUCCGAUUGAGAGAGAAGAGGAAGGGUGUGCAGAUCUGGAGGAGGAGGAGGAGGAGGAGGAGGCGAAGGAGGAGGAGGAGUUAGUUUAUUGGUUGGUGGUGUAAUGGCGUUUAAUAGUUGGAUUCGUAUUUGUCUGUCGCGUAGAAAUAAAAUAAAAUUUUAACUAAAAAAUUAAAAAAUUAGAGUUGAAGAAAAAAAAAAUAUUAAAAAGGGAACAGAGGAGGCGACUGGAAGCUUACAAGGCGGGUGGACUCCGCGCUUUCUCUCCGGUGAGAUCUGGUGUACGUGUGGGUCCCUUUUUUAUAAAGAUAUGAUACAAAUAACGAUACAAAUAUUUGGUAUGAUUUCUUCUUUAUUUUUUAUUUUUAUUUUUUUUGCGGCACGUUAUCCAUUUUCUGAAUUAUAAAGGAAAUAUACUAUGAUAUAAAGCCACUAUGGUAUAACAUGCUAAUUUUAUUAAUCGUUACGUAAAUAUCAAGUUUGAGAUCGAUUACUGUUGGAUUGUCUUGGGGAAUAUGACUUUGCUCACGCACAACGUUUUGUGUUUAAAAUUUUUUUCUAACUCUAAUUUGGUUGGUUAUUUUAUUAAGACGGUGAAUAUGACUAUAUGAUCUCUGAGUUGAUUAAUGUCUUUUCAAACGAUAUAUUACUACUUUAAGUCCGUUAACAUGACGAUCUCAGACUUGAUUGAUUUUAUUUUUCAUAAACAAUAUUUAUAUGAUAGUUGAGAAAUUGAAAUCUUCUGAUUAAGACGUAUAUAGAUGGUAAAAAAUGGAUAAUCAUAAAUGGGUAAAUAAUUAAUUUUCACUAUUUGAUUAGAUCCGUUUCCUUUAAAUGAAUUUUCUAAUUUGCUAGGAAUUCCUUUUUUGUAGCUUUCUUUUUCUUUUAUGUUAACGCAACGACUUGUCGUUUGUGCUUUUUUGUCAACUAUAUAUGAAUGUUACGUGAACCCAAUGUGUAUGCCACUUUAGUGCAUACCUGAAAUUUUGGUUUGAAUCUGGAAAUAGGAAAUAUGAGUAGGACACUGAUAUAUCCAAUUUAAUACACUACUGAUUUUUUUUAUUCUUUUUGCAAUUUUUAUUUAUUUAUUCCCUUGAUUUUUUAUUCAUCAAUCCAAUUUAAUGACAAAAAAUAAAUAUAUAUUAUAUAUUUCCGGGUUAGGUGUGUUUUGCAAUUGGACACGUACGCUGAAAUGUUAAGAAACAUGUUCUUAUCACAUACCUGACUUGAGAAGGCUCGGGUAAAACCCUUAAGUUUUUGGGUAAAUUAUAUAAAAUUACCUCAAUUAUGAGUCGAACCACAAUCUCAUACCUCAUAUUUUAAAAAUUACAAUGUCAUACCUCAUCUUACGAAUUUGUUACAAUGUCAUACCUUCGUCAAUUUUUCUAUCAAAUUUUCUGUUAAAUGUUGAUGUGGCCUGAGAUGAGAUCCACCCCCUAACCCAACCGGAUUAAAAAAUUAAUUAAAUAUUAAAAAAAUUAAAAAUACAAUUAUUUAACGUUAAUUAUAUUAACACCUUACAAAUUGUUGAAUAAACCCCACAAACUUAAUACACCCCACAUUUGCUUUUUCACUUAAAAAUUAUCUUAAUACACCCCACUUACUUUCCCAUAAUACCCCCACACCCCACAUUCUCAAUAUACAUCUUAUAUUUUGUACAUACACCCCACAUUUCUCAAAUCUUAUAACACUCAUUUUUAAUUUUCAGGGAUUGAAUCUAACCAUAUGUACAUUAAAAGAUGAAUAUGAAUAUAGAAGUUUAAAUAAUACAGCAAAACGCAAGAUUAAAUAAUUAUCAAUGUCAUCGAAAUCACUAAAACAAUGAAAACUAUGAAGUCUUACCUCAUGCGAAGCUCCUGAAACAUCGAUUUCGUGUUCCAUUCGUCAAAAACAAUUUUUCUUAAUCAACAUGUUUGAUAGUUGAGAAGAUAAAUAAUACGCUAAAAGUGAUUUGGGGUGUAUUUAUAAAUCUUUGUUUUUUUUUAAACCUAAUAAGGUCAAAAUUGUCAUUACAUAGUAGAGUAAAUAAGUCAUUUAAUAUUAAAUUUUAAUGUGGGGUGCAUUCAACAUUUUAUGGGGUGUUAAUAUAAAAACCCUUAUUUAAAUAUUUUUAUUUAAAAAUGUGGGACCCGCCCCUACAAACCCAACAUCCUCACCUUCUUCCCUAGCUCACAUGUCUCCCCCCCCCCCCACCCCAACCUUCCUCCUUUCACCCCAAAACCAAAACCCAUCUCUACCUCCCUCCCAAUGACGCUCCUCUUCUCCAGCAACCUUAGAAUCAGGUGUGGGUCCACUGCGACGCCCUUUGGGCUCUCGACAUGGGCCUUUUUAUAAGCAUCCCAUUUCCCCUCAGCUCACCCGUCUCCCCCCAACCUUCCUCCCUUCACCCCAAAAACAGAACCCAUCUCCGCCUCCCUCCCAAUGACGUUCCUCUUCUCCAGCAACCUUAUAACCAGGUGUUGCUCCACCGUGACACCCUCUGGGCUCUUGAAAUGGGCCUUUUUACAGGCAUCUCAAUUCCCAAAGUUCUCUACUUUCAAAAGGAUGGCUUUGAAAUUGGUUUUUGAUUUUGAAAAAAGAAUUUGGUUUAUGAUUAAAUGGGGUUUACAAUUGAUUGUUAUAAAAUGCAUUUCAAUUUGGGGAAUUUCAAGUGUGGAUUUUUGCCCAUAUUUUCUUGAACUGAAUUAGUUUUUCGAGUUCGAGAUCCCAACCCAAAUUAUGCCUCUUCUUGCAGUCGUCAGAUUUUCUAUUCUUCCUCUGCCCGCCCUCGCCUUCCACAAGCCUAGAGAAGGUCCUUCAAAUACCCCGCAAACGGUUUCAGAUUGCAGGUGAGGGUUUUUGGGGUGGUGCUCAAGAAAGUCCUUGACGGAAUUGACAUCGGCAACAAAUUGGUAUGCGGUUGCUUGCUUGAGAAGAAUGAGGUGCCCUUUUUUUAUUUUAAAUUGGGCUAGUUAAUGAUGACUCGGGGGAGGAGAUGGGGGAGGAAAGGGCAGCAGUGAGGGAGUGGGUUCUGGUUUUGAUGGUGAAGGUAGGAAGGUUGGGGAGGGGAGACGAGUGGGCUGGGGAAGAAGGUGUGGGAGAUGGGUUUGCAAGGGAAAUAUUUAAAUUAUUUUAUUUUUUUAGUUUUUUUAAUAUUUAAUUAAUUUUUUAAUCCAGUUGGGUUAGGAAGUGGGUCCCGCCUCAAGUUACGUCAGCAUUUAACAGAGAAAUUGAUAGAAAAACUGACGGAGUUAUGACAUUGCAACAAAUUCGAAAGAUGAGAUAUGCCAUUACAAUUUUUAAAACAUGAGGUAUGAAAUUGUGAUUCAACCCAUAAUUAAGAUAGUUUUGUAAUUUACCCUAAGGUUUUUUUUAUGCAAAAUCAUAUCAUGUUAUGGUCCUCCUUUUAUGGCUUGACUUAGAUUGGACUAUUUUAGAUUUAGUCUAGCAUCAAUGCCGAUGUUUAGUGAAUUUGUAUACGCUAAGACAAGAUUUUCCAAAUUGGGCAACGGUCCAAUAUAUUAUUAUGUCUUACCUGUCUCAAUUAUAGUUGCGUGACUCAAUAUGAUUGGAAUUAAACACAACUCCAAUCAUAUCAAGAGCUUGUUUCGAAGUGUUUUUCAAAUAGUUAAAAUACCUCUGGUGAAAAUAUUUUUGAAACCAAACUUUAACAAAAAUGCAAGUGAAUCUUGAAAAAACAGCUAAAAUACUUUUGAAAUUCAAAAACAUCUCUAAAAUCGUAUUUAGUCAUUUUCAAAAGUAUUUCCAAAAAAUUGCGAGUUUUCUUUGCCAAUAUAACAACUGAUUUUGCCAUGAUAUGAAAAAGAAGUAGAGAGAGAAAAGAACACCAACGGCUAAAAGCCUAAAACACCAUGUUUUGGGUCGGUGUGGUGUCGAAAGUUUGGUUUUGCUGCCAACCUAGGAACUUGGGUUGGGCCCUUAGUUUGUGCCCAAGUUUUAUAGGCCUUAUUAUUGAGUUUACUUGCAAACAUGACCGAUGUAGCUCUCCGUCCAACUCAUUUCAAAGUGGUUCGACGUGAGGUGGCAUGUUGAAUAAAGUAAAUUUUUUUACAUCGGCAAUCUUACAAAAACAAACCACAACUUAUAUUAAAUGGUUUCACUUUUAAUUAUAUCGAGGUCUUUUGCAUAGAAACCCUAAACUUAUUGAUUGCACAGAUGCUUAAUUAGGGACACUAUCGAAGGAUCUUGCUCUUUGCAUGGAGAAUGCAUCCACUUGAACAAAAGGAGGGGACGGAUAAGCAUCGUUUACUUGUUCAAUAUCCUUUCGGAGUAAUGACUUGAAGUGGACAUGCAUCAUCUUCAUCUACUUGUACCAAAACAAGCGAAAAACCCACAGAAAAUCACUCUCACUACUUGAUGGACGGACAAAGAGAGUGAGAGAGAGCCAACUCGGUUUCCUUCCUUUUUUAAGAUUUGCACAACCUCAUAAAUAUAUGUAUAUUAUGAAGUUGAAUUUUCUGGUUGUUGCUUCUUGAUAACCCUACAUUGCCACUUGCACUAUGUGGGGGUCAAUCGAUCUUCAGUUUAAGUGAGUAUGAAAUGAGUUGUAAAUAGCAUAUAUGUGAGUAUGAAAUGAGUUGUAAACUCAAUCGAUGUUUAAGUUUGAAUUCUCGUAAGUAGGGGUGGACAGAAAAACUGCUCAACCAAACCAAGCACCAAACCAAACCGAAAAUAUUAAUUAAUGUUAAAAAAUUCAUAAUUUUAUGAACAUUUAAUUUGUUGAAAGCAGUCCAGUUGAACCUUCCUGACCUAGGUUUAAAUGACAUGAUUAUGACUCAUAAGCAUAAUACUAUUUCAGUUUACCAAAGAAAUUCCACACAAGACGCAUUAACACAACUCAAAACCCACAUGAAUAUACAAUGUGAUGAGACAUGAUUAACACAACUUUUCUCCUUUUUCAAUAAGUAGUAUGAAUUAUUCUACUAUUCUAUUAUGAUUUUCAUAUCAGCCUGCAUAUUGAUCAACACAUACUUAACACAAGCACACAACACAAUAUAAAUAAGUAACACGAACACAACUCGAUGGUCACCCCCACAUAUGAUUUCGGAUUUCGGUUACUUAGGGUUUAGGACACAAGCCAAAUUUCAUUUUCACGCUACAGUGUGUGUACGUGAAAGAGGGAGGGAAGGGAAGCAGAGGUUGAUAUGUGGGUAAAUGUCCAGCUUUAAGAGCAAUAAAACCUGGACAGAAUCUUCUAAUGUGUAACCCAAACACCAUCAAACAAACCCAAAACGUGCAACUUAUAUUCUUCAAAACACACCAAAGGCAUAUAUGGUCCCCCACAUUGCCUUAUUUGCCAAGCAAAAAAGCACAUCAAAGAUCAAACCCCUCCUCGUCUCUAUGAAGUUGCAUUGGCUUGGGACCCUCAUAUUUUCUUUCUUCCUUUCUAUCAUAUAUAUAUCAUUACUUUAUGAUGGGUAGGUUCAUGACAUGUUUUACUUAAUCAAUGCUCUUGAUUAUCUACUUAAUGAAUGAUUUUUUGGUGUGACAAUUACAAAUUCGCUUAAGGUGUAACAUACAAGUUUAUCUAUUGAUUUUACAUUCUAGGUUCAUGACAUGAUCUCAAUGAUCAGCAAUGUGGUCUAAGAAAGUGAAGAAUUUGGAAUACGAUGAGUUUUGUUUCGAUCUUCUCUAUUACAAAGAAAGUAUAAAUUUUGAUUAUAUUUCACAACAAAGGUUUUUACUAGCAAAUCGAGACUACUACUGUAGGAAAACGUCUAGAUCAAGAUAAAUUUUGCUAUACAACGACAACGUUUAAGUUCAAGAAAGUGAAGAAUUUUACGAUGAGUAGAUGAGCCUCGUGAACCAAAAGCAGGCGUAGAAGCUGAUUGUUCCGGUGACAAUAAAGAAUGCAUAAGAAGCAAUGAGCAUGUACCCGAAGUAUAAGAGGACCGAGACCAGCUUUGUGAUUUCGAGCCUUGUGAAGAAGUAGAAUGUGGCGUAGAGGAAGAGGUACAGAGCCGAUGAGCCGGAUGUGAGGUAUGAUCUCCACCACCACAAGUAAUCCUCGCUGCACAACUGGAAGUAGCAGAGGACGAUGGUGAUCUCAGCACAUGUGAUGAUGAGGAUGAUGAAGACCAAGAAGAGGAAACCAAAGAUGUAGUAGAACUGGUUCAGCCAAAUCGAAGUGAGGAUGAAGAAUAGUUCGUUGAAAACUGCUCCGAAUGGGAGGAUCCCUCCGAUUAGAAUUGAGAAAACUGGGUUCUUGUACCAGGUCUGUUCUGGGAUCUCUCUUGGGACUUUGUUUGUCUUUACUGGAUCCUCAAGUGCUGGCUUCCUGAACCCAACAUAGCCUCCCACAAAUACGAGUGGGACUGAGAUUCCCAACCAUAAAUAGACCAGGGUCAACAUUGUGCCAAAUGGCACAGCUCCGGAUGAGUUCUGGCCCCAAAUCAGAGUGUUCAAGGCAAUGAAAAUGGCAGAAACAGUUGCUGGGAACAUGACUGCUGUCCCGAAUGCGAUUUUCAUCCAUUCUGUACCCUGAAACGUCUUGUACAACCGAACUGAGGCAUAACCGGCGAAAAGUCCCAUGAAGACAAAGAGCAAGAGCAUUGUGGUCAUAAGACCACCCCGGUUAGAUGGGGAGAGGAAGCCAAGGACAGCAAAUAUCAUUGUCACCAGUAUCAUUCCAAACAAUUGAACACCAGUUCCAACAUAUACACAAAGCAAUUCAGAGUUAUUUGGAGCCCUGAAGACAUCCCCGUGGACAAGUUUCCAUCCUGUUUCUUCUUGCGCUUCUUCCUGGGUCUCGAGUUCAUUAUACUUGGAGAUAUCACGGUAGAGUGUUCUUAGCAUAAUCAUCGCUACUAUACACGAAAGGAAGAGGACAUUAACUAAUGAUUUGACAAUUGAAAACCAAUGGAUUUGGUCGUCACUCAUCCGUAGAUAAGCAUCCCAUCUAGAAGCCCACUUCACAUCACUCUCCUAAACAGGUAGACAUGAAAAGAAGUAUCCUAUGAGAUGACUAGUUCCUCACAAAUGACAAAGUAUGUUCAACACCAUUACAUCAGAAAUAUUAGGGCAAAAGACAUACGAUAGUAGUUCAUGACAAAAAUAAAUGAUGCUAUAAUAAGCAAACAGUAGAUAGUAAAUUAUGAGUUAUAAUUCUCCUAUGAGAAAAUACCAAGUAAAAUUUUAAAUUAAUGAGCUCACCUGGAAUUCAACAUCAUAGGUAAAUACGAUUUCUUGCUUUUCGGCAACCUCUUGAGGAGAGUUAGAAUUCAAAACAGAAUGUUUCGAAUGGGGGUCACAGGUAGUUAAACGAGUCUUUGGAUCAUUCCAUUUCCCUUCAUAUUCAUGUUUAACACUGGACAUUCAACAGUCAAACAAACCGUAUGACCAACUGAUAAUUUAGAAACAAGAUUCAGCAAGAAGGAAUCAUGCAGGAGAAAAGGAACGCCCUGAAAAAAACUGACCUAAAUGGUUUAACCUCAAAUCCCACAAUUCUUGACGUUCCAGUUUGCAGAUCUUUAUGGUACUUCACAGUAAAUGCCAGAUGGUUGUGGAUGAAGUAUUUCUCUUCUUUGCUCUGAGCACAAUAACAUAGUGUAAGAACGACAAAAACAUAAGCAUCUCCAAAUAAGAAAGGUAUUUGGUGCCAACAAAUAAUGGACAUACCCCAGCAUAAUGACCUUUGAGCCCAACAUGGAACCCAAGCCGAUAAACAGUACGAGCUUUUUGAUAUAGCCUUUGAAUGGGAACAACUAGAGGUAGAUUAUCAAGUAUCCUGUCAUAGAAAAAAAAGUCUUAAUAAGAUAUGCGACUUUGUUUUAGUUCCUCAAAUAUACUAGGAUAAAUCAUUUAAAGUGUCAGAAAAAAUUAAAUACAUGUUCACUCGAUACUCGUCAUCUAUUUUCUCCUUAAACUCCUUUACAAUUUUGGCAUUAGGUGUUAUCCGGCAGACAAUGUUGCACAUCUGAGGCUCCCGCAUUCUAAACUGCACAAGUCCGAUUGUAAGUUUACGAACAUAGGAGAAACAAGUAGGCUUAGAGUUGUACAAGUGCAGUAACACUAACCACAUAGGGGGAGUUCUUGAUCCGGUCACCAUGGAGCACUUCCCCAAGAUUCUCUAUACUGUCGAUGAUUCUCUCAGGCUGGCAGUAAGGGAGAGAGUAAUAGGAGUAAGGAAGCUGAGUCUUUGUAGAAGUCACCGUGUUCACUUUAACCUUCAAACGAUCUCCCUGCAAUAAUUCAAAUUCCGCGAGGCAAAGCACUUUGCUUCUCAGUCAAGUGAAGUAAAACAAUGAUGGAAUUUCAAAUCUAAUUUACAAGAAGUAAUUCAAAUUCCACAGACAGCAUUUGUAAUCCAGUGAAACUAAAUGACAAUCUUCUUAGAGUACUUGCUUAGGAGUUAGGGCAUAUACAGAUCGAUGUCGGACCAACCAAGAACAGAUGCGCCGGGAAUUACUCUACGCAUCAAAGUAUUAAUAAAAAACAGCCUGAGCAAAUCAAAGAAAUAUGCAGAGCAAAAGAACAUAUAUCAAAACCUACAAAUCUCAAGAUUUGAACUAUGACAGAGGUCAACUAAACCUAAUUCGACGAUCAUUUCAAUAUCAAAGUAGCAGCCAAUCGAAUUUACGAUAACCUACUCUCCAAUCCUUCUAUCUUCCUCCAUUUUCUCGGCAACCAAACAGACCAAACCUAACACUAGGUCACAGUCACAGAUUCGAAAAGGAACACACGGAUCACUCAUUUAAUACACAAACACAUACAAUUUCGACAAAAAAUCGAAAUUAAAUGAAAAUACAGAUUAGAUUUGUCGGCGAUUGAGAGCUGACCUUCAAGAAGUCCUGCGGAGUGACGCCGGGGAGGUAGAAGGAGUGGGCGCCAUGGACUAAGAGUAAGAAGAUCGCAGAGAUCGCCAGGACUGCCUGGGAUUUACGAGCUGCCAUGGCCUCCGGCUGAGAGAGAGAAGAGGAGGAGUGUGUAUGUCUGGAGAGGAGCCGAAGGAGGAGUUAGUUUGUUGGUUGGUGUUUAACAGUUGGAUUCAUAUAUACUAAAGCCGAAGGAGGAGUUAGUUUCAACCUGACCCAACCACAAUGGCGAUUCUCAUUGGAGGAGUUAGUUUCAACGAAGUAUUAAAUAUCCAUGAUAUCGGAAAUAUUGUUAAUCCAAAAAUAUAGAAAUUUCGAUAGAAAUAUCGGGAUAUUAUCGAUAUCGAUAAAAAUUGAAUAAAAACCACGGAAAUUGUAAGAAAAACUUGGAAAUUUUUAUUGAAACUUUGCAGGAUGUUUAUUUAGUCAAUUAUCUAUUAGUUUAUCAUAAAAAAUUGUAAGGAAAUGCAUUGCAUGAUAGAUAUAACUAAUUUAAGUUGAUUAUAUAGCGAGCUGGCAAGGUCUAAUACCUUGCAUGGUAAGAUACAUGAGUGACUUAGCAAGGUCUAAAAUAUCGAUGAUAUCGGUAGUUCAAAAACAUGUAAAUUUCGAUGAAAAUAUCGAAAUAUUAUGAAUAUUUUAGACCAUGAUUUCAACCUGCACCACAUAGACGAUGAAAAGAAAUCAACGUUCAACCCUUUCACACCCAGAUUAUAUAGUAAUUAGUGACCAAGUCAUCAAGGCAAAACUCCAUAUCAAUCGUACGUCUAUAAUUGCAUAUUAAUUUCCAGCUCCACGUUGAUUCGAUAAAGAUCCUCUGUCUGGUUUGAUGAAUCCCAAUUAUAAUAUGUCCUAGUCGUUUCAGCUGACUUUGGUUAGAAUGAAUAAUAUAUUUUAAUUUCUUUACAAUUACUUGGAAAUUUCCAAUUAUAUCUUACGUUAAUAGAAAGAUAAUUAUAAAUAGGAAAUUAAUUCUUUAAUUUUCUUUUGUCACCAAAGAAAAUUAAGAAAUGCGAAUUAGAAAUGCUAGUUUCAACAACUUCAUUUAAAAAUAUUCCGAAUAAUAUACAAUUAAUAUCACGCUAGAGUCUAGGACAAAUAAACCUACUUUGAUUAAUGUCACGUCAAGAACGGUCAAGAUGUGACAGGGGCACUUUUGUAAAUAUGAUAUAAAAACUGUGAAGCAAUCAUCUUCAACAUUGCAUCUUUCCGGGCACAUAUGAACAUAAAAAAUAAAUUGACGUUCUACACGAAAUCUUUCACACCCAGAUUAUAUAGUAAUUAGUGACUAAGUUAAGUGAAGGCAAAACUUCAAAUCAAUCGUACGUGUAGUAUUGCAUAUUAAUUUCCAACUCCACGUCGAUUCGAUAGAGACCCUCUGUCUGGUUUGAUGAAUUCCAAUUAAAAUAUUUCCUAGUUGUUUCAAUUGACUUUGCUUACCAAUCAGAAUAAAUAACAUAUUUUAAUUUCUUUACAAUUACUUUGAAGUUUCCAAUUAUUUCUUAGGUUAAUAGAAAGAUAAUUAGAAAUAGGAAAUUAAUUCUUUAAUUUUCUUUUGUCACCCAAGUAAAUUAAGAAAUGCGAAUUAGAAAUGCUAGUUUCAACUAUACAAUUAAUGUCUCGUUAGAGUCAAGGACAAAUAAACCUACUUUGAUUAAUGUCACGUCAACAAAACAGUCAAGACACGGCAGGGGCACUUUUGUAAAUAUGAUAGAUAUUUUGGGGCAGUUUUAUAAAUAAAAAACUUCUAUUGUGAGUUUUAAUUGUUAUGUUUGUGUUUUAAUCAUUAUGUAUGAUGAACACUAGUAUUUUGUUAUAUUGUGAGUUUGAAGUAUGUUUUUUAAUAUAUGUGAUAUUUAUUAGAUUUUAAUCGUCGUGUUCUAGCCGUGUCUUUAUUUUUUGAGUUUUGUCGUGUCGCUGAGUUCAUAGGAUUGUAUUUGACCUGUUGAAAAAUGGCCAUGAACGAUCUAGUAUCAUUAACAGCAGCUUUAGGGCGUGUUUGUUUGACCUUCUUAGGGGGGACUGGACUGGACUACACUAAUUGGUAUUGUAGUCUGAUGUUUGGUAGGGGCAAGGAUUAGGUUUAAUGGGAUUAGAUCCGACUCGCACGGAUUAAACCCCUCGCUAGGAGUUCUUAGCGAACCACCCCAAAAACGUCCGGAUUCGUAAGACCUCCUCCCUCACGUCGUCCUUCUCAUCCGAUUGCGCUAUUGCGAGAAAGAACCUCGGUCAUCCUAGGAGAGAGUGUCGUCGACGUCCUCCUCCCUCACGUCGUCCUCCUCAUCCUCAUCUCUGCGUCCUGCUCGCCGUCAACUGCAUCCUGGUCGCCCUCAUCUGCAUCCUGCUCCUCAUCUGUUCCUCUCGUCGUCCACUCCCUCGUCUUCACGUAACAGAUCUGCUCGCCCUCAUCUGCCUCCAGUUGUCUGGUAAGCUUCGAUUGUUCGAUUUUUUUCGUCGAUUUGAGUCGAUUUAGGUGGAUUUUUUUCAUCGAUUUGGGCGGAUUUGUUUUGGGUUUGAGCUUUAUUUGAUUCUGCAGUUGAACAAAUUUUAGGGUUUUGAUAUUUAGGUGAAAUUGAGAUUAGAAAUUGGGGUUUUCAUAAAGCUUGGAAUUUGGGGUUUGAAAUUGAGAUUAGAAAUUUGGAAUUUGGAGUUUGAAAUUUGGAAUUUGGGGUUUUCAUAAAGCAGUGUGUGUGUAUGUAAGUAUGCAGUAGAAAUUUGGAAUUUGGGGUUUGGAAUUUGGGGUUUUCAUAAAGCUUGGAAUUUGGGGUUUGAAAUUGAGAUUAGAAAUUUGGAAUUUGGGGUUUCAAAUUUGGAAUUUGGGGUUUUCAUAAAGCAGUGUGUGUGUGUAUGCAGUGUGUGUGCGUGUGUAUGUAUGUAUGCAGUGUGUGUGUGUGUGUGUAUGCGGUGUGUGUGUGUGUGUGUAUGUAUGCAGGGUGUGUGUGUAUGUAUGCAGGGUGUGUGUGAGUGUAUGUCAGUGUGUGAGAGUGUGUAUGUCCGUGUGAGUGCAGUGUGUGCAUCUGACCAGUGUGUGUGUGUGUGUAUGUAUGCCGUGUGUGUGUGUGUAUGUAUGCAGUGUGUGUGUGUGUGUGUGUGUGUGUAUGUAUGCAGUGUGUGUGUGUGUAUGUAUGCAGUGUGUGUGUGUGUGUAUGUAUGUAUGUAUGUGUGUGUGUGUGUGUGUGUGUAUGUAUGUAUGUAUGUAGGGUGUGUGUGAGUGUAUGUCCGUGUGUGAGAGUGUGUAUGUUCGUGUGAGUAUGUGUGUGAGUGUGUAUGCAGUGUGUGUGUGUAUGCAGUGUGUGCAUCUGACCAGUAUGUGUGCAGUGUGUGCAUCUGACCAGUGUGUGUGUGUGUAUGUAUGUCGUGUGUGUGUGUGUGUGUAUGUAUGCAAUGUGUGUGUGUGUGUUUAUGUAUGCAGUGUGUGUGUGUAUGUAUGUAUGCAGUGUGUGUGUGUGUAUGUAUGUAUGCAGUGUGUGUGUGUGCGGGUGUAUGUAUGCAGGGUGUGUGUGAGUGUAUGUCCGUGUGUGAGAGUGUGUAUGUCCGUGUGAGUAUGUGUGUGAGUGUGUAUGCAGUGUGUGAGUGUGUAUGCAGUGUGUGUGUGUAUGCAGUGUGUGUGUGUGUGUGUGUAGUAUGUGUAUGUGUGUGUGUGUAUGUAUGUAUGUAUGCAGGGUGUGUGUGAGUGUGUGUAUGUCCGUGUGUGAGAGUGUGUAUGUCCGUGUGAGUAUGUGUGUGAGUGUGUAUGUAGUGUGUGAGUGUGUAUGCAGUGUGUGUGUGUAUGCAGUGUGUGCAUCUGACCAGUAUGUGUGCAGUGUGUGCAUCUGACCAGUGUGUGUGUGUGUAUGUAUGUCGUGUAUGUGUGUCUGUAUGCAGUGUGUGUGUGUAUGUAUGCAGUGUGUGUGUGUGUGUAUGUAUGUAUGCAGUGUGUGUGUGUGUGUAUGUAUGUAUGUAUGCAGUGUGUGUGUAUGUAUGUAUGUAUGCAGGGUGUGUGUGAGUGUAUGUCCGUGUGUGAGAGUGUGUAUGUCCGUGUGAGUAUGUGUGUGAGUGUGUAUGCAGUGUGUGUGUGUGUAUAUGUGUGUGUGUAUGCAGUGUGUGUGUGUGUGAGUGUAUGUCCGUGUGUGAGUGUGAGUAUGUCCGUGUGUGUGUGUUAGUGUGAGUGUGAGUGUGAGUAUGUAUGUGUAUUUUGCACAUUUGUCCAUGAGUGUGUGUGUGUGUACUUGGUUUAUAACCAUGAUAUUACAAUGUGAAUGUUUUGUAUUGUGUGGGGUUGAUGCUGAAUUACAAUUUUUUGUGGUUGUUGGUUGCAGAGAAGAGGAGCAUAAACGGAAGGCUAAGGCUAAGGCUACUGCAUUACAGGUGUCCUUUAAUUUCCCUCUUCACAUGCAAUGCCUAGCAAUGAUAGCAAUCCUCAUACUAGUGUUCUUAGACACAUGUUUAUAGAUGUAUAAGAGUAGAACAUUUUGAAUAUGAUGCCUCGGGUUAAUGAUAACUUUUUUUUUUCAACGCCACCUGUAUAUUUGUUGCUCGGGUUAAUGAUAACUUUUUUUUUUUCAACGCCACCUGUAUAUUUGUUGCCUCGGGUUAAUGAUAACUUUUUUCUUUUCAACGCCACCUGUAUAUUUGUUGCCUCGGGUUAAUGAUAACUUUUUUUUUUCCAACACCACCCGUAUAUUUGAUGCCUCGGAUUGUGACUUCGCUAAUUACUUUGAUCUAGUUCAUUUCGUAUCAUAAUCACUUCAUUUCCAUCACCCUUAAUAACAGUAAAUAUUACAUAUAUAAUGUCCUUAAUUUGUUUUUUGUUUUUUUUUUGUUUGGAUAGAUAUGGAUCGAAUGAAGCUUUUAUUGAUCUUAUUGUUAGAGAUGUCUUAUUUGGAGACAAUUUGCAUUUGUACGAUUCUUGUGUUGAUGAUGCUACGUGGCAAACAGAGACAUGUUGAACGACCCACAUUGACUAACCGUUCACUUAUUAGACGAGAGAUUAGUUUGUGUUAUCUGAAUGGUAUAAUAGGGAAUACUGAUAUUGAAUGUGUCAACGAAUUGAGAAUGGAUAGAAGGACUUUUGGCAUAUUAUGUGACUUACUUCGUCAAGAUGGGAGGGUAAAAACUGAUGGUUUGGUGUCUGUAGAGGAGCAGGUGUGUAUGACUUUACAAAUAUUAGCACAUCAUACUAAGAAUCGUAGUGUUGGCGGUAGAUUUUAUAGGUCGGGAGAGACUAUAAGUAGGUAUUUCAAUAUCGUAUUGCAAGGAAUUUUGCGAUUACAAGGUAUCCUACUAAAAGUCCCUCAGCCUGUGCCUAUUGAUUCUACAGAUCCUAGGUGGCGAUGUUUUAAGGUAUGAUGAGAAUUUUUUUUCAUUUUCCCUAAGCUUUAACUCUUCAUUCCCUUUGUAUAAAUUAACAAAAACUUUUUUUUUUUUUUUUUUUUUAAGAAUUGCUUGGGAGCAUUGGAUGGAACACACAUUGAUGUGCAUGUACCUGAAAUUGACAAACCAAGAUACCGAACAAGAAAGGGUCGAGUCGCAACUAAUGUGUUAGGUGUGUGUUCAGGAGAUAUGUAGUUCAUAUAUGUGUUUCCGGGGUGGGAGGGUUCCGCAUCAGACUCUAGAGUGCUACAUGAUGCAAUUACUAGGCCUAAUGGUUUUAAGGUACCAGCGGGUAAGACUAUUACUUAGUCUCAACUUUGUAAGUUAGGUCUAGUUCUGUUUGUCAACUACAAAACACUAAUAAGGUCUGUUUUUUUUUUUCAUUAGGUUAUUAUUACCUUGUAGAUGGUGGUUAUACAAAUGGUGAAGGAUUCCUUGCACCCUAUAGAGGAAUACCUUAUCAUUUAUCUGAAUGGGAGGGACGAACACCUUCUAAUAAGGAAGAAUAUUUUAACAUGAAGCAUUCUAAGGCAAGGAAUGUAAUUGAAUGCUGUUUUGGCUUGCUAAAAGGAAGGUGGUCGAUACUAAGGAGUCCAUCUUUCUAUCCGAUAAGGACACAAGGUCGAAUAAUUACCGCUUGUUGUCUACUACACAAUCUUAUUAGGCAAGAGAUGUCUGUAGAUCCAAUGGAGAAUUUGCCAAUAAUAGAAGAUGGACAAAAUACAAAAGAAGGUGAAUAUGUUGGUAGUGUUCAAACAUCUGACCAGUGGACUGCAAAGAGGAAUGACAUGGCUCAGGAAAUGUAUAACGAGUGGAGAGCAAUUAGGAACUAGCAACCGAACUAGCUAUAUGUGUUAAUGAUAACAUUUUAUUUUAGUAUUCCUUUUUAUCAUGCAUUUGUUAGAUAUUAGCACAAUGAUUGGAUGGUAUGCAAAUUAAUUGGAUAUUAUGCAAGUUGAUUGGAUAUUAUGCAAGUUGAUUGGAUAUUAUGCAAAUUGAUUAUUUGUAUGGUAUUUUCCUUCAUUAAAAUAUUUUUUGUUUAGGUAUGGAUAACGAAAAUAUUUUGAAUGCUACUCAAGAGCCAAAAGGAAGAAGGCGUAAAUGGGAAGCAUUUGAGGAAGAAGUAUUACUAGGAGUUCUUGAGGAUUUUGUUGCUCGGAAGCAACGGUGUGACACCGGUGCUUUCAAACAAGGUACUUUGGUUGAAAUAGCAAAAGCUGUCAAUGUUUUAUGUCCUCAUUCAAAUAUAAAGGCAAAUCCACAUAUUGAGUUCAAGUUGAAGAAAUGGAAAAAAACAUAUAGUAUGGUCGUUGACAUGAUAAACACAAGUGGAUUUGCAUGGAAUGAUGUCAAAAAGUGCGUUGAAGUUGAUAGUGAUGACUCAUGGCAAACUUAUGUGCAGGUUCAUAUCCUAUUUUAUUUAUACAUUAGUUAUAUUAUUGCUGCUAUAUUUGUCACGCAUGCUAAAUUUUAGUUUUGCUAUGUUGAUAUAAUCUUAGAGAAAUAAAGAAGCCGAUGGAUGGAGAAUCAAACCUUUUCCACUGUUUGAUAGAUUUGCAUAUAUAUUUGGAAAAGAUCGGGUUACGGGUAAUGUAGCCGAAACCCCUGCUCAAAUGGUGGAGGAACAAAGUCAUGAUCAUGUUGGUGAAAGUGAUAUUGGAGGUGAAAAUUUUGUUUCUUCAAUGAACCAACAAAGCCAACAAAGCACCCCAUCUGAAAAUAGCCAAAGAAAGAUGAAAAGAGCUGUGGGAAGUUCAAGUGAUGGAACCGAGGCAAUUAUCAGUGGACUGAAAGAUUUUUAUGUUGAAAGUGGGAAGAGGAUGCAAAUGGUAACUGAAGCUUUAGUUCAAGGUACUGCAGAUCAUACUGACAUAGCUAAUGAACUUGAAGCAAUGGGUCUCUCUCCUAUGGAUCAAAUUGAUGCAUUGUCUCUUAUUUUGGAUAAACCAAAAAAUGUGGGAGUGUUCAGGGCAAUCAAACCGGAACUUAAGAAAGUGUUCGUCCAAAGGUUUUUAAGCGAUAACGCAAGCGGAUGAGGAUUUUGGCUAAUGUUAACAUGGAUGUAUUUUAUUAAUGUUAACAUGGAUGUAUUUUAUUAAUCAUAAAAUCUUAUGUUAUGGCUUAUAACUUAGUUUUGCACUAGUAUUUUGACUUAUGUUAACUAGCCAUUUUGUAAAUUAUGGAGAUCUAUUUUGGCUAAUGUUAACUAAUGUUAACUAGGAUUUUCUAAAUUAUGGAGAUCUUCUUAUGUACUUGUAUUUGUUGAAGUUGCAUGUAUUGGGCACUAUUAUUUUUCUUCUGUUGGGUGAUAGAGUUUAAAUCAAGCUACAUUUGCAAAUUAAACCCAAUUCUAUUAGCAGGUAAUAGAAACAAAACAAUUGUCAAUUUUUUUUAAGAUUCAUAAUAUACAUGGCAAAAAUAUGCUCCAAUUAACCCAUAUCAUGAGAUUUGUAGCAUUACUCUAUUACACAAUGGCAAAAAUUUGUAGUCCUAGUCUAAGCAAACACAAAUCUGGUGAACAGUACUGUUUUUCUUAUCCUGCUUCUUAGUCCGACAUUACACCAAACGCUUCACUAAGUUAGUCCAGCUUAGUCCAGUCUAAGCCAGUCCAGUUUAGUCCCGGCAGCUAGUCUAGUCCGAGACAGUCCGGCGCAAUAAACGCACCCUUAAGGAAAUACUAGGAAUUACUUUCCAAUGCCUGCAAGUUCUCAUGGCAUCGGUGAAUAUGAUCAAAAUUUCACUUGAAAUUUCAGUAGGGGGAAGUUGAUGGUCAAGAUCAUGCUUUUUGCUUCGAUGGAAUUCCUAAAACCAUAGAUUCCGAUUAAGCAACAUCUCUAAGGCAUUGUCUUAGAAUUAAAUUGUCUAAAAAACAACUAAAUUAUGUAGAUUAAAGUCAAACACCAAACCUCAUGAAAAACUUUUGGUGUCCUGAUGACAUUUGAAGGUCCUGCAAAAAGCUUCUGCAACUAAGAUAAGCAAAUCCUGCCUGUGGCUUGGAAAUUUGAUAUCGAAUUUCGUAUUGUAAGAAUAGUUACAUAUACUGGUGAAUUAGAAUAUCAAUCGAAUAUUGAUUAGUACGCAAUCUAUCGAACAACACUUGAAAAUGAAAACGGCUAUUCUGGCUCAAGGGCAAGAAUAUAAGGUUAGUAUCAAUCAAUAAAUUGGAACAACUUCAUAAGUAUAUUUUAGAUAUAUAAAUUUAAAGGAUCUAAUUCGAUAAAAUUUAAAAGUUAAUUUUGUUGGAAUCGAUAAUAACCAUGAUAAUAACACAGUUUUGCUUUCUUUCCAAGUCCAACAACAAUUCAUAAUUUCGUAUGUAUAGCUGCAAUAGAUCUAUGUCUGGAUGAUUAAGAAUUGAAGGGAAUUCGCGAGAAGUGGUAAAGUCAUUUUCAAUCAAGGAUAGUAGUUGUAUAGUAUUGUCCCAAUCCCAGCAAAUAAAGCUUUUCUAGUCCAAGAUCGGACAAUAAUAACACACUAGUCAAGCAGGUUAUGAUUUAACUUCAAUAAGUAAACUUCUGAUGAUACAAUUAUAUCAGUGAAAAAAUUAUGUAUCUUGCUUUCUCGAUCAUUAUCCGAAUUAAAUCACAUGAUCUACCAUUUAUGUGGUCUCCGUUAAUUUUAUUGAGUUUCAUUUUUACGAAUCUACUUUUUAAGCGAGCUACUUAACGCGUUACUAAACUUAAACUUGAAGUUUUUCUUCGAUUAAAAAAAAUCCAAUGCUAUUAGAAGUGCAGAUUUCAGUUGGAGGAGGAAAAGUAGGUAUUGACUGGGUAAAAGUUGUCAGACUCCAUAAAGCACGUUUCAUGUUCCAACUUUUAAGUUUUUGGGAUCAAAACAAAAGUCACUGAAACAUCCCAUGUGAAACUUAUACUCUAGUAGCAAGCAAAACUAGUACUCUAGUAGCAAGCAAAAGUAGCUCAUCCCCACAAUCCAAACUAUUUCUUCUUUUUUAUUUCAUUUCAGAUUUGCAGACUUAUUUCUUAAGAAACAUCAUUUAAUUUCUAUACUAGACCCAAAAGCAAUACGUGUAAAAAGAAGAACAAAACUUCCUUCCAGUAUUGUUCGUUUUAAUGAAAAAGGAAAAUUUUAUUAUAAAAAGUCACUUAUGCCACUAGUACUACGGUCUAGUGGUAUUUAUCUUCACUGAUAAGUGAGAGGUCUUAGGUUCAAAUCUCGUCAAAGGCGAAUUUGCACCAAUUUAUUGCUAGCCCAUUAUGAGGUUAAGUCCAACCCCUCCCCUUAGUGUAGAUAAUAUCGAUUAUUCAAAAAAAAAAAAGUCACUUAUGACACUAUUUAUAUGCAACACCUUUUUGUCAUUUUGAUUAAAACUCAAAGUUUUCAAACCAUUUUCAUUAGUUUUCUUAUAAAAAAAUCCCACAGCAACUAACACUAUCGCUGCUAGUAGAUAGUUUUGGAAGUGUGGUGCUAUCACUCACACCUCUUUUUAUUUUGUAUACAAUGCUCUCAAUUUUUUACCGUUAAAUUAAAUGCAUUGAAAAUAAUCAAAUGAUAAAAAUUAGCAAAAAGUGUAUGAAAAGUUAAAUAAGAUGGAUGGAUAGUACCACGCUUUUAAAAAAAAAAAUCAUAUCUUAACUUGUUUUACUUGAGCCCCAAAAAGAAGCCUGGCGUUUGAAUUCUGUUUCCCUCAAGACUUAAUCGUAUCUUAACUAAUCACUCCUUAAUAAAUAAAAAAAUUAAAAAAAAAAGAGAAGGAAUAUUUUAGAUGCGAUUCCUAAUCUUUAAUAUUAUUUGAUUAAAACCUUAAUGGUUUUUAAAGUUUGAUCAAAGUCCCUUGACUUUGUACACCUCAUUAUGUUACUAUUAAUAUUUAUAUUUUUAUAGUUUUGACAUUAAUUGUUUGAUAUUUUAUGAGAUUUAUAAUCCUAUAAAUUUAAAGUCUCUCAUUAUAAUACUAUUAGAAACUGUUACAAUAAAUAAAUUCAAACAUUUUGAUUGAAUAAAUGGAUAUAAACUAUGUAACAAUAAGAAAUAAUAAAUGACAAAAGAAUGUAUCUAUAGUGUUAAAAAAAUUGAUAUAUUUUACAAAAAAAUUAUACAUUUCACAUAUAACAAAGUGGUACAUUAAUACAGAAGAAUUAAUACAGAAGAAUGAGUACAUUAUGACCAUGGCUGAGUUGGUAGGCGGAGCUUUUCUCUCUUCUUUCCUCUCUGUUUUGUUCGACCGGAUAGCUUCCCGUCCCGUCCUCGAUUUCAUCUCUGGGAAGAAAAACGAGCUGCUCAUGAGAGAGUUGAAGCUCAAGUUGCUCACCGCUGACAAGCUGGUUGACGAUGCCGAGGAGAAGCAGAUGACAAGCCCGACCGUGAGGAAGUGGCUCGACGAUCUCAAAGAAGCUAUCUACUGUGUAGGAGAGUUGCUGGACGAGAUCAAAGCUGAAGCUCUUCGACGCCAGCUGGAAGGUGAGGAUGACCAUUCUCCUGCAGCUAGCAGCAGCACAAGCGGGAUCUCGAGAUCAGAGUCCAACCCUUCUUCUCCGUCCGAUGAAUUUCAGAUUCCAACCGACUUCCCGAUCCCUCCCAUGCCCACCAUGGGAAGCACUCCUAUCUUAGGGCCAGUCGGAUCAUUCAAACGUAAUGCUUCAAGGAUCCUUUUUUUCUCCUUUUUCCUUCCGAAGACGGCAGACUCAUCGAUCCGCGAAGUAGUUUGACGAGUUCUUUCUUGUGGCCUAUGUUGAACUCCUUCUUUCAGACCAUGAACGUCUCUUUCAUUGAGAAUGAGGUUUAACACCUCAGAAUGUUUGAUAUCUUCGGUUCAAGAGAGUUGUGAAAUUCAUCGGACGGAGAGGAAGGGUUGGACUCUGAUGAAUUUCACAACUCUCUUGAACCGAAGAUAUCAAACAUUCUGGGGGUAUUAAACCUCAUUCCCAAUGAAAGAGAUGUUCAUGGUCUGAAAGAAGGAGUUCAACAUAGGCCACAAGAAAGAACUCGUCAAACUACUUCUCGGGUCGAUGAGUCUGCCGUCUUCGGAAGGGAAAAUGACCAAAAAAAGGAGCCUUGAAGCAUUACGUUUGAAUGAUCCGACUGGUCCUAAGAUAGGAGUGCUUCCCAUCGUGGGCAUGGGAGGGAUCGGGAAGUCCACCCUUGCCCAACUUGUGUACAAAGAUGUCAAGGGUGACUUUGAUGUCCAAGCAUGGGUUUUUGUCGGAGUAGAAAUUGAUAUUCUUCAAAUAGCACAAACGAUACAUGGGAAGAUCACAAAAAACCCUUGCACGAUCACAGAUCUGGAUCUGCUUUCUGAAGAAUUGGAGGAGGUUUUGACAGGAAAAAAGUUCCUCUUCGUUCUUGAUGAUGUCUGGAGUGAGGAUUAUCUUCUCUGGAAUAACUUGAUGACUCACUUCAAUAGCUGCGGAGGGAAUAUCCGAGGACGAUUCUUGGUUGUUAUUUGCAAAGCAUGCCUUCACGGAAGACAGUGUUAUUACUGCCCAUCCGUAUCUUGAAGUCAUUGGAAGGAAAAUUGUUAACAAGUGUCAAGGCCUUCCUUUAGCUAUAAAAUCAUUAGGGGGCCUGUUACACUCUGUUUUGAAUCGAAGGGAAUGGGAAAAGAUAUGGAAGAGCGACUUAUGGGAGUUGCCAAAUUAUGAGGUUUUGCCAGCUCUACGGUUAAGUUACCAAUAUCUACCUCCGCAUCUCAAACGUUGUUUUGCUUAUUGUGCAAUAUUUCCUAAAGGUUACAACUUUCAACGUUCAACGUUAAUUUCAUGGUGGAUGGCUGAAGACCUCUUACACCCCACGGGAAGGAGGCAAUGGAAGAUGUUGGAAGUGAUCACUUUGAUAUUCUAGUAUCAGGGUCUUUCUUUCAACAUUCAUUAGACGAGUUGGGUAUGUUAUGUUUCACCAUGAUUUAGCAAAGUUUGUAGCUGGAGAAUUUUGUUUAAGAUUGGAGGAAAAUCAGCCGCCCAACAAAAAUUUAUGCAAAACUCGUCACUUUGCAUUCAUGGAAUUUGGAGGUCAUGACAUUCAGAAAUUUGAGGCGCUGGAUGAGGCUAAGCACUUGCACACCUUUCUACAACUUGAAGGAGGCUACAAAGACUGCAAUAAGUUGGUAUUGAACUACACACUUGUUGAUUUAUUACCAAAUCUACCAUGUUUAAGAGUGAUCAAGUUAUCAUGUUGUGAUAUCGUUGAGUUGCCUAGCUCAAUUGGCAACUUAAAACACUUAAGGCAUUUGGACGUGUCGUACACUAAAAUAAGAGAAUUACCUGCGACGGUGUGCACCUUGUACAAUUUACACACCUUGUUAUUGUAUUUUUGUCUUGAGCUGAUUCAACUACCAACCAAUUUGGGAAGGCUAAUCAACUUGCGCCAUCUCAACAUCCGAGAAACAGAGAUCAAAGAGAUGCCUGCAGGGAUGUGUAAAUUGAAAAAUCUCCAAACAUUAAGCGAUUUUGUGUUGGACAAACAAACAGCUCAAAGGAUUGGAGAGUUAAAAGAGCUUCAGCAUUUGCGCAGAAGCCUUAAAAUCUCAGGAGUUGGUAACGUUAAGGGGAAUGCUUUGGAGGCAGAUAUCAUGAGCAACAAGGAGAAUCUGAACCUACUUUUCUUGAUAUGGGGAAGAGCUUAUGAUGCUAGUAAUCAUGAUCCAGAAAAUGACAGAGAAGUGCUCAACAAGCUCCAACCUUAAACAACUUAUAAUUAGGUCUUACGGGGGUUUAACAUUUCCAGGUUGGUUAGGAGAUCCGUAUUUCUCUAAACUAUCUCGUAUUGCACUUGGUGAUUGCAAGCAUUGCUGCUUAUUGCCACCACUUGGGCAACUACCCUCCCUCAAAGAGCUUCAUGUUCUAGGGAUGAAUAACGUGGUUGAGAUUGGUAGCGAGUUUUACGGUAACGAUACUUGUGGGAGUGCUCCAUUUAGAUCUCUACAAGAAUUGCACUUGGAAGAUAUGUUGGAGUGGGAAAAGUGGUCCUAUUACGAUGGAAGCAGAGGCAACACCACAAUAAUGUUUCCUAAUCUUCGUGAGCUUGAAUUGAGAAAUUGUCCCAAGCUGACUGAGAUAUUACCGUUGGAGAAGCUGCAAAGUCUUGAAAGUGUAAAAUUGAAUGGUCUGGAGUCCUUUAGUGGUUCACUUGCACAUGUGGAAUCUAAAUGCCCUAAAUUCCUUUCCCUCGUUCACUUGGAAAUGGUCGACUGCCCAAAUUUUGUAUGUUUUCCAGAUGGAGGGAUGGAUGCGCCCAAAUUGGAGGAGCUGCUUAUCUAUCGAUGCAAGAAAUUGAGGUCGUUGCCAGAACAAAUGCAUACCUUUCUACCGUCUCUUCAGAAAUUGAUGGUAAUUGGCUGUCCAGAAGUGGAAUCAUUUCCUCAAGGAGGGCUGGCGUCAAAUAUACAAGACCUUUUUUUUAGUGUUGUAGAAAACUCGCUGCAAACCGCUCACUGUGGGGUUUAACAAGACUCAACUCUCUUAGAAUGUUGGAAAUCAGUUUCAGUGAAGAAGGUGGAGAAGAAAUGGGAUGUUCGUUUCCGGAAGAGGGUUUGCUGCCCGCCACUCUCACUAGUCUCUCCAUCCGCUUUCAUCCAAAUCUUACAACCAUCCAAGGCAAGGUUUUGAGACAACUCACCUCUCUUGAAUACCUCAGAAUAGAAGGAUGCCCUGAGCUCCAGGGCUUUACAGAAGUAGCGCCCAAAUCUCUGAAAAGGUUGGCUAUUUUGGAGUGCCAUAAUAUCGGGUGCUUGCCAGGAGAAUGGCUUCCCACAUCUCUUUCUCAUCUGCUUAUCAAAGAGUGUCCGCUGUUAAAAGAACGAUUCCGAAGAGAGACAGGGGAAGAUUGGCCCAAGAUUUCUCACAUCCCCCGUAUAAAUAUAGAAUAGAUGUUCCUGAAAUUGGUACUUGCCGAAUUCUCUCUCAAGUGUGUGCGUGCCUAUAUGUAAUAUAUGUACGAAACACUUUAGUUGGGUACUUUUUCUGAUGUUUUUUUUUUCCUUGCGCGUUUGAUUUGUGCUUCUAGUCCAGGCUCCAGCAGCAUAUGCUCUUGUUGUUUCGUGUUGAAUUUGUCACAAACUCUUCCUAAUGCAACAACAAAAAUGGAGCUGGUAUAGCCUUUGCUGUUUUGCGGUAAAGUAGUACUACGUACGUAUUCGCAAGAUGAUUACUAGGCUAAAACAAGAGCAAAUUUGGAUAAAAAAUGCUAUUUCUACCAUCUAGUUGUACUAUCAUUCGUGCCGUCUCUCUAAUAGAGAAGAGACUCGCAUGUGUUGGUGGACCCUCCUCUAUUAGAUUUCAUGAUUCACUAACGAAAGCUCGAAGCACCCUAUUUUCAUCCUCAGCUCGUCAAAGCAACCUAUUUUCAUCCUCAGCUCGUCACACCUUUUUCAAGGGGUUUGCUUCUGAAACUCCUAAGCAGGUUCAUAGAGGCGUAACAUGUGCCCAUCAAUACAUCGUAUGGCAGCAACCUGUUACACAAUAGUCUUAUCGUAAUCUUUGCAACCAGCAUGGUGAUGAUAUACAAAUAAAUUAUCGAAAUUGUUUCGUUUAAAAAUUCGGUGAACACGUAGCCAUGGACUUCACAUUGCCAUGGACUCACUCGUUUGACACGGUGAUCAAAGCCAAGGCUACUGUUGAUAGAGUGCCUAAUUGCAGGAACAAGGUUACCUGUGCUGACAUUUUGGCCUUGGCCACAAGGGAUGUUGUGAAAUCCCUUUCCCAGCAUUCAGGUCCAUCGGAAUGUGUCCGUGCUAGACUAAAUGCAAGGACUGUCCUUGUGUAAAUUUUGAGCGAACGAAUGAUAUGGCACGAAAGUCCAUGUCCAAGACUCCAAACGAUCGUGAUUUGGAGUUAAAGCAGAUUCCCUUAUUAGUAAAACCCAUGAACAAGUCAGAUUAUUUUACAGACAUGAGAAAACCCAAGAGAAAAAGUUGCCACCUUUUCACACAACCAAAAAUUUCAGGGGAAAAUAAAACACAUACUAAUAUUGGAUCCUUCCUUAUUUCUUGUUUUUAGUCUCCUACUCUGUACAGUAAUAAUGCAAAAGCAUAUGCAACAGCCUUCACAUUGAAAAGCCGAUAUGUGAGUAAAAACAACCAAACCGUAAACUUCAUGUUAUUUGGCUACAAAUGAGGAGAAUCCUCUGGCCAAAUUUAACAUCAAAAGUAAACUAGUUGCAACCUAAUCUAAAGACACAAGGUUAUUGCUAAGCGCUUCAUCAUCAUCGUCAUUAAUUUUUGCUACUCGCUCGUCACUUGAAGGUACAAACUUAAGUCUCUCUGUGUGUUUCCCUUUUGAAAAGCUCAUCAAACUGUAUAAUGUUGUUGAAUUGUAUCGAUGUCAAGUCCUUUCAGCUUCACAACUGACUCAACAUGACCCUUCAGCGUAUGCAACUCCCGAAGCCUGCAACCAAAACGAAAAGCUCUUUUAGAACUCAAUUCUCACGUGGAACAAGUCCAACCAGCAAAGCAAAACAAUGCAAGAUGAAGCAUUUUCCAGGAAACAAGAAACAGAACCGGCAGACAUCAUUACGGAGACAAGCCUGAUUCUAAAUCUAUGUAUGAGUGCAAACGGUCCUUACCUUGCAACCUCAGCCCUCCGCUUGGCUUGUUCUGCAAUCUCAGAAAGCUCCCUGUAGCUGUUCUUCUCAUAGAAAAGGUUGUUCAUUUCAGGUGGCUGAAGGCCGUGAAGGGUCCUCUGUGCUGCAGCCCACUGUGCUUCUCUCUCCUCUUUCCCAUAAUCUUUCUUUGUAGUGAAGGCAGUCUGGUGGGAAGACACAAUAAGGUAAAUUGUGGCAAGAAACAUGAAUCUAACUUAUAUUGUUGGGUAGCGCGGAAUGCAACAUACCUUGUUCUCCAAAAGAUUAUUCCACGCCUUUCCGCUUUGAAUGUAUCGGAUUGCGAAUUUAAGAAAGUCACGAGGGACAUAUGUCACUAUACUGUAAAGCCACAUGACACCAGCCCACCCCUAGCCAGCUCCCUUUAUCCGUGCAAAACCCCAGUUUGCAUAGACUGCCAUUUUGCGGAAUGAGUUAUUUAAAAAAAAAAAAAAAAAAAAAAAAAAAGGAAAAUUCUUUUGUCAUACACAUACGAGAGCAACCAAGUAAAAUAUCACACAGGUUUUUAAGCUUGCUAACGGAGUAAAAUUCUUACUUUCAAAAUGUACAAAUUUCUAGAUUAAUUGUCUUAACAUUAUUGGAAAUUACUACAACUUUUAAAACCUUAAGCAUCCAGUUGAGCAAUUAGGUAAAAUUAUAAAGGUAAUCAGUUUGCUUACCAAUUGAGCAAUCAUGAAAGCUCCAAAUAAGAGAAGUCCAGGGCGUUCAACAAAAGACCAGCUACGAGACCUUGUGAUGAAAAUAAGGGCUUGGCUCACAAUACUCACUUGUAAGUACAACACCGCCAUCGCUCAGGCCUAUCCCUCAAAGAUCUCACAUGAAACUUGUCCUGCAUUAUGAAAAUAAUUAAAUAAAAUCAGAAGAAUGAACUUAUUUGCCCAAAUAACUGUGACCUAAAUAGCUUAUAUAUUAAUGGAAAACAAAGAACUGUAUAUUCCCACCGAGAAGAAGUCGGUAUCAUUCAUAAGCCAGAAGAAGACUACUGUCAUUAGUGCCAAGUAACCUCCAAGGACAAUGCCAGUAGCAAAGAUCUCCCUCAAUUUCCAGCUGUCUGGUUGUGGAGAUGGCUUCACUCGAUCCUUUGAUAUUGUCAUGAUAGUUCCUAGCAGAAUCGUAAAAAAAACAAAGUCAGACUCAUUUCUCAUUGAGGAUUGUCCGAUGGUUUCCAAUGCAGGAUCUUAUCAUUGAGGAUUGUCCGAUAGUUUCAGAGCGCUUUGAACAAGGCAGUGGAGACGAGUGGCCCAAGAUUUCUCACAUCCCAAACAUCGUACAUAAGAAGUGAUUUGUAGCAGGGCAAGGAACUGAUGAGUGAGAAGCAAGCCAAGUCUACCAUUGUCAUCUCCCGGUAAUAUCCGAGCUUUAUAUUAUUUAGAAGUUACGUUGCAUCAAUUGUGGCUAUCAUCAUAUUUGUUUUGCUUGGUUUCUUCUUCUAUAUAUAUAUAUAUAUAUAGGGAUAGGAUCAAGGGACAAAUAUUUUUACACUAUUUUUAAGCCUUUUGAUGACAUGACAUCCAAUGAUUCUUAUUUAUUCAUUAAAUGACAUAAAUGCUUAUGUGGAUUUUAACUAAUAUUAAAGAUUAAAAAAAAACUGAAAAAAAAAAAUCUGGAAAAUUAAAACUAAAAUUAAAAAAAAGGAAGAAACCUUAACUGAAAUCUAAACUUAAUAUUAGAAUUUAGGGUUUCGGUUUCGCAUUCACACAUUCUAUCUUAUUCCCUAGCUUGAUUUUUUUUAGGAUUAAGUACCUAAAAUUCUCCAACUUUUUAGUGUAAUUCUAAAUUGGUCUCAACCUUUUUAAACAUUCCAAGCAAGUACUCAACUUAUUGAAAAUGUCACAUUCGUUAAGCCUCAUUGAAAUUUUUGUUAGAUUAACUAAGGCAUACUUUGUCUCUAACAUCAAUAAGAAUAUCAUGAAAGCAUGGCCUCCACUAAUUAAUGGUCACUACCACCCCUUUUAGGCCAUAACCUCCAAACCCUGCAUACAACCACAAACUUCACCCUACAACUCAAGCUACCAAAAUCGAGAAGAAGGUCAUGGAGGUUGCUGAAAUGGUAUGAACUGUCAUGAUGCAGCUGCCACCAUCUUCACCGCCCACAAAGAAGAACUCGAAACUUUACUAGCUAGAGAUCGACAAAUGAGGAAUUCACAUGAGCAUAAACAAGCUCAUUGAAACCCUAUAUGAAUUUUUAACCCUCUUCCUUGUUAGAAGAUUUCCCAGUCUUCAUUUUUUUCAUUUAAUUCGUGAAUUUGUUUAUUUUUUUUAUUUUUUUUCAUUUUCAUGUCUUUUUUUUUAUGAUUUUUUUUGUUUGUUAUUAUUUUAGUGUCCAAGUAAGCAAAUAAGUGGAACCUAUUAUUGCCACAUGUACAUUUAACGGAAAAGUUAACUGUGACUUAAUGGAUGCGACAUUGUCAAUAGGUUGAGUACUUGUUUGGAGUGUUUAAAAAGGUUUAUACCAAUUUGGAAUGGUACUUAAUCCUUUUAUUCUAAUGUAUUCAAUUUAAUGACAAAAUAUAAAUGUAUAUUAUAUAUUAUCAUGUUAAUCGUGCUUCGCAAUUUGACACUUAUGCUGAUGUGUUAAAGAAAUAUGUUCUUAUCACAAACCUGACUCGAGAAGGCACAACUAAAACCCUUAAGUUUUUCAAGCAAAAUCAUAUCUUGUUAUCGUCCUCAUUUGGUGGCUUGACUUAGAUUGAACUAUUUUAGAUUUAAUCUAGUAUCAACACUUAUGUUUAGUGAACUUGUAUACGCUAAGACAAGAUUUUUCAAAUUGGACAAUGAUCCAAUAUAUUAUUAUGUCUUACAAGUCUCAUCUGUAAUUGUGUGACUCAAAAGGAUUGGUUUAGGGUUGGCGGAGUUCUUGAAGGCCCAAUUGCCUGUUGUUGGUGGUUCUGCCCGUCCCCAGAUUGUCGGGUGCCCCCGCCCCCAGGACACAUCAAGGUGAACGUAGACGGUUCUUGGAAUGAGAUUUCUAAUCGUAGUGGUGUAGGCAUCAUUGCGAGGAAUUUCCAUGGUGAUUUUGUUGCUGCGCGGGUUGCUCGUUUCGAGAGUGUGUUUCUCCCCGGCUCAUAUUGAGGCUUUGGCGGUGAGGGAAGGUCUGUCGUUGUGUGUGUUCCUUGUUGAAAGGGGCUAUCAAAAUUUCAUUUUAGAAAGUGAUACCCUCCAUAUCGUGACGGCUUUAUGUAAGCCUUCGGUUAAUAGGUUCUUCAUCGGUCCUGCUAUCGAGGAUGCUAAAGCUAUUUUUGUCUUCGAUCGCUGGAGGUUCUUCUACCCAUGUUCGACGACAGGCUAAUGAAAUGGCCUACCAACUCACUAAGCUUGCCCUUCAUUGUGAGGUUCUCCGGUCUUAGUUCGAGGAACCUCUAGAUGUGUUAACUGAUCAUUUUGUGUUGGAUUGUAAUGGUUGAUAGUUAUUGAGAGGGGCUGUUUCUUGCUCCCCUCCCUCAGAUGUAAUGGUUGUUAUCAGGCUUCUUUUGAUCUAAUGAAAUGCUCUAUCGUUGCUCUUCAUAAAAAAUAAAAACAACUCUAAUUAUAUAAAGAGCUUGUUUUGAAUUGUUUUUAAAAUGAUUAAAAACGUUUCUAGUAAAAAUGAUUUCGAACCAAUCUUUAAUAAAAAUGAAGUGAAUACUAAAAAAACACUUUAAGUAUUUUCUAAAAAAAAACACCAAUUAUGUGUCAGCACUUGAAGUGCUUCAAAAACCUAAAAAUAUUUUUUCUAAAAACGUUUCAAUAAUUUUAAAAGUACUUUCAAAAGAGUCUGAAGUCUUUACCAUAAAGCAAAUGAUUUUGCCAUGACUCAAGAAGAAAAAGUAGAGAUAGAAAAGAACACCGACGGCUACAGGCUACAACACUAUGUUUUCGGUAGGUGAUGUGUCGAAAGUUUGGACCCGACUUCUCUGCCCUCUCACUUCCCAUGCACUCUCAUCCCCUCCUAUUAUGUGUGGUCACGGUUAAGCCACGUCAACAUUUUAUAUUGAUUUUUUUUAUAGAGAUAAUAAGACAAAAAUCAAUAGUAAUAUAAAAUGUUGACGUGGUUUAACCGUGACCACACAAAUAGAAGGGGAUGAAAGUGUAUGGGAAGUGGGAGGGUAGAGAAGCCAGGUCCCGAAAGUUUUGUUUUGCUGCCAACCUAGGAACUAGGGUUAGACCCUUGAUUUAGAGGUGGACAAACCGCCCUUGAUAUAGAGUGGAAUAUUCUCGACGCAAACACAGUGAAUAAUGUCUUCCUCUUUAACCCAAUAGGUCUUUAAUUUUAACUUUCAUUCCAUUAGUUUAGAUGAAUUAGUUUACGUUAUCCAAUCACUUGUAAAAGAAAAAAUAUUGGUCAAGUUAGGAUUAUGGUGCGCGAAUACGAGAGUGGAGGGUUCUGCAAUUCGUAAAAACUCAAAAUUUCUCAAUUUGAGAGCGGAAUGGAUUCAAAAAUUAAAAAAGUAUAAAACUAAUUAAAAAAUGUCCACUUCUUAUCUGUUAACAUGAGCAUUAUUAGCAACCCAACCCAAUUGAGUCUCCUAGUAUUUUUUGUUGAAAGGUACAAUUUAUUCAAUCAAUUAUAAUUGAUAAGUUUAUAUCCUCAGCAAGAAUGUUGAAAAGAAAAUCGGGACCUAUACAAUCUCAUAUAAAGGUUCCCCCUACAAAUUGAAUGAAAGUUGCCAUGUAUGGUCUCCUAGUUGACUGCCGUAUAAUUACCAUGUAUAGUCUCUUGUAUAUUACAUGUAUUUGCCUUCAUAACGGAUUAGAAUAAUACACAAAAAUUCUCAAAAUUUUGACAUGGUAACAGAGUGGGUUUUCAAAUCUGUUGUCAAAUUAUUGGGUUCACUUAUAAACAUUACCAAUGUAGCUCCACGUCUGACCCACUCCAAAGUGGUCCUACGUGAGGGGCGUGUUGAAUAAAGUAAAAGGUUUCACAUCGGCUAUCUUACCAAAAAAAUCACAACUUAUAUCAAAUGUUUCCACUUCUAAUUGUAUUGAGACCUUUUGCAUAGAAACAUCACACCUAUUGGUUGCACAGGUGAUUAAGUAAAGAUAGUAUCGAUGCUACUAGUAGUGUACCGUGACCAUCUCUCUGAAACUUUGACAUUAUCGUACCAUGCUUCAUAGGAUUGGUUUUUCAAUGGUUUAUAAGCUUCACAAUUGUCAAUUUGUUCUCUAAUCCCCUCCUCCCCGAGUCAAGGAGGUUCUUGUUCUUUGAAUGGAGAAGGCAUCCGCUUGAACAAAAGGAGAGGAAGGAUAAGCAUUGUUUGCAUGUCCAAUAUCCUUUCGGAGUAAUGACUUGAAGUGGACAUGCAUCAUCUUCAUCUACUUGUACCAAAACAAGCAAAAAAAACCCACAGAAAAUCACUCUCACAACACAACUCGAUGGAUGGACAAAGAAAGAGAGAGUGAGAGAGACCCAACUUGGUUUCCUUCCUUUUUAUGAUUUUCACCACCUUUGUGGUAACCCUACAUAGCUACUUGCAAUGUGGGGCUCGAUAUUGGAGUUUGAAAUAAGUUGUAAAUAGCAUAUAUAUGAGUAUGAAAUAAGUUGUAAACUCGGUCGAUAUCUAAGUUUGAAUUCUCAUAAGAAGGGGUGGGCAGAAAAACCGUUCAACCAAACCAACCACCAAACCAAACGGUAAAUAUCAAUUAAUGAUAAAAAGUACAUAUUUUAUGAACAUUUAAUUUGUUGGAAGCGUUCCAAUUGAACCUUCCCGACUUACGUUUAAAUCACAUGAUUAUGACUCAUAAGCGUAAUACCAUUUCAAUUUACCUAAGAAAUUCCGCACAAAACAAAUUAAAACGACUCAAAACCCACAUGAGCAUAUGAUACGACAAGACAUGAUUAACACAACUUUUCUCCUUUUUCAACGAGUACUAUGAAGUAUUCUAUAUUGCAAGUCAAUUUGUAAAUUCUGACUUUUGUUAAAUUCCAAGAUUAUUUUCCUCAUUCAAAUAUAACAUUGUAGUAAAUAUGAUUUCCAGUCCUUUCUAUUUCAUUGGUCCACCUUUCAUAGAAACCCAAAUAACUCUGAUAUUGACACAGAUAUGCUUUCUUUCUCUUCUUUCUGGAUUUUGGAGCUGAUUAUCUGGGAUUCUUGUUCGACUGCUAUUCUGAAGAGAAUCUCAACGCUGUAACUUAUAAUCAAUAAUGCGCGAAAAAAUUUUCUAUUCCAAAAGGGGACAAAUAUGAAAAUCACUGAAGGGACAAUAAGAACUCAUUCCCUCAAUCAAAUAUGCAAUCUCUUAUUUCCACUCUUGAGUCUCCACUUGGGAACAAGUGAUUCAGCGUGAAUGUUCUACGUUCUACUUUUACAUUGGUUUACGUGGGUUGAUCAUACCGAGCGAAAAGUCCCCGAUGUAAACAAAGAAUGCUAGAGCAGUUAAGGUGAUCAUUAAGACCGCCGUAGAGGAAGACGUAGGUUAGAAAUGUGAGGUAUGAGGUCUCCACCACCACACAAGUAAUCCUCGCUGCACAACUGGAAGUAGCAGAGGACGAUGGGAU